rnacentral:lncRNA from 1 species
GUCGUCAGGUACUCGGAUCUUGACGUGAGAACGCAUGUAGUAGGUGAUCAUGUGUCCAGUGAUCGUGUGUGCUUUAGUGUCCCAGCUAGCUUCUACUAGCUGGUUGUCGUUGUAAGUUGUGGCCAAGCUAUGCUGCUCUCUGUAAUGUAGUGCGUCUGUUUGUUUGUUAUGAAUCUGAAACUCCGUCUGUGUGCAAUGUUCGCUCAGCAAUGUACCUGGUAUAUGGUAUAAAUAGUUCCCAUUCCCCAAGAAAUCCUAAACCUACGAACUCAGCGAGAUGGACGCCAAGUGAAUCCCGUUCGGGAUCUAACCCUCGAGCAUCAAGAUAACCGGUGGUACUACAAUUUCUGACGCUUUUUUUUUGAGAAGUACUAUAUUUAUAUCAAUAUAAUAUCAACAUAUUACAACAUACAUUCUCUCGAAAUAGGCUUUCGCUCCGCUUUAUAAAUAAAACAACGAUCCACACGAUCCAAGUUUGAACAAUAUCCAACAGAAAACGGCUGGGCCACAACAUAAAUAAGCCCAAGAAAGCAUAAAAAAAAUAUAAAAAAAACCACCUAAUGGCUACCACUAAGCGGCCCUACAAGGACGCCAGCUGACGCGCCGAGGCCAAAAGCGCAUCCAUUAUCAAGCCGAGGCGAUCACGAUCACGCUGCCUCGAGAGCGGGUGCCGAGGCCAAAAGCGCAUCCAUUAUCAAGCCGAGGCGAUCACGAUCACGUUGCCUCGAGAGCGGGUGCCAGUGCUACAUGAAAGCAAGGAAUUUGAAGAGGGAGUCAGAUGCCUUCUUCGAGAAAACCUUCUCAAUCACCAUCUUAUUCCUAAUCGUCUAAAGAGUCCACGGCAUUGCCGCAAAAUAAGCCAAAAUAGACAGUGAUGUCGUGUUGGCUGUAUAGCUCGAAGCUGAAGGAACUCCGCGAGAUUUAAGGCCUCCCAAUCAGGCCCCAACACCUCGCGGACGAAAGUCCAUAAUACUCUCGCUGCCGUACAAGAGAAGAGAAUAUGGUUCCCAGUCUCCGGUACUGCACAGAGAGGGCAUAUACCGUCCUCAGAUCCGUGCCACUUAAGUACCUCUAUCCCCAAGAGGACACGAUUUCGUAGAAGUUGCCAAACAAAAAUCUUACUCUAUAAUGGGACGGAGGCUUUCAUAGAGGGGGCAAGCCAGGGGCUAGUUGCCGACGGGCAAAGGACCUGGUAUGCCGUGCCCCAGAGAACUCCACUGUCAGCGUGCGACGUCAUGAAACUAUGUCCGGAUAAUCCAAGAGCACGAGUGGCAGGGCGGCCCGUAAUGUAGUCCAUACAUGGCAGAUCUGAGGAGAAAUCUAAAGAGACAUCACACCAAGAAAAAUUGCAAGAAACAAAGAAAAUAGAAAAAUCUUACUGGUCCUUGCAUCCACCAACAAAACGAGCAUAAUAUUCAGCCACCGCCGUCGUCGUAGUCGGAUCUUGACGUGAGCACGCAUGCAGUAGGUGAUUAUGUGUAUAGUGAUCAUGUGUACUUUAGUAUCCCAGUUAGCUUCUACGGCCUUUCUCGGUGCUCCAUGGUAUACAGGUGCUAAGGGUGUCACAUAGGCAAAAAUAUGAUAUGGCAAAGCAAUUAAAAAGGAGACAGAGCAUCAGGGCCGGUCGUGAGAUUUUGAGGGCCCGGGGCGAAAGUAACAUUCGGGGCCCUUAAUAUAAUCAUCACAACAAUAAUAAUUAAUUUAAUUCUACACGAAAUGUUUCUAAUAAAUACAACUACAUCCAAAAUCCAUGUUUAUAUAAUAACUUAUACACAUUAUUAUUUUAAAAAAUUUAUUGUAACAUUCUUUGAUACAAAGUCACUUAUGAUUGUGUCGAUGUCAAUCUCAUCCUUCUUUCGCAUGCAUAAUGUUGCCUAACCAUUUAAGCUUUAUUGGGUCAUUGUUUACGCCAAAUGGUCCUUCAAUAAUUCCAAGUUUGAAAAGCUUCUUUUAGCUGUUGCAAAAAUCACAUGCACAGUAAAUUCGAAUAAAUCUUUACACACCAUGAGUUUUUUAAGCCCUUUUUCAAUGAAGUGAUUGAUAUGAUCACCAAAAGAAACAAAUAUUUAACAUGAAAUUUUUCUCGCCUUCUAGAAUUUCUUCUUGGUCAACUACUUUUAUCAAACUGAUUCUCCUCAUAGCACGANNNNNNNNNNNNNNNNNNNNNNNNNNNNNNNNNNNNNNNNNNNNNNNNNNNNNNNNNNNNNNNNNNNNNNNNNNNNNNNNNNNNNNNNNNNNNNNNNNNNNNNNNNNNNNNNNNNNNNNNNNNNNNNNNNNNNNNNNNNNNNNNNNNNNNNNNNNNNNNNNNNNNNNNNNNNNNNNNNNNNNNNNNNNNNNNNNNNNNNNNNNNNNNNNNNNNNNNNNNNNNNNNNNNNNNNNNNNNNNNNNNNNNNNNNNAAACCAAUGUUAAGCACGUGGACCUAGGAAAAAGACUACCAACCAAUACAUGAAGGAGUUUUAUUAUUAAACAAUUAAAUAGAGGAGGCUUAGCUACAACAUCUAAGCAUCGAUGCAUUGGGGAUAUUAGUUGCUAAGCAUCUUAAUGCACUUAGCACCCCACUUUAGCACCAAUGCAUUGGAAGAGGUCUACUAGCUGGUAGUAGCCGUCGCUGUAAGUUGUCAGUUGUGACCAAGCUAUGCUUCUGCUCUCUCUAACGUCUGUUUGUUAUGAAUCUGAAUCUCUGUCUGUGUGCAAUAUUCUUACUCCAGAUUUACUGCUCGGCAAUGUACGGGUACGUGUUAUAUCAUGCGAGUGAUAGGCUAUGUAUCACAAUGCAUGGUUGAUUUCGCUAUUAAUGGCUGACAUUCAUUAGCUCGUCAUAAAUUCAAAGUAUAUACUCCCAUCACCAUCAUGUUUGGUAGGAGUAGAAGAAAUUGGAUCAAGAGAAACAAUCAAUAAAACAUUGUUUCAUAUCCAAGAGCCGUUCUUCAAGGAUUGCCGAGCAGUGACAUCUAUGGUUGGUGCAGGCCACCAUGAUUUACAUCCUAGGUAUAUGAGGCUAGUACUGCCCAUUUUGCCACCUGUCUAUGGUUUUUUUAGCCACCACUUACUUUGCAUUUGAUAAUUUGCCACUCUUUACAUCGUAAUUGAUAUUUUGUCCCUCUUUACUUUGCACUUUGAUCUUUUGCCCUAUGUAGGGUGGGUCUCAUGUAAAAUGACUAGAAUAUCCCCGUCCUAUAGAUUGACUAUGCGCACCCUCUCGCCGGCAAGGACGCCAGGAGACGGCGGCCCUGACGCCCUCCAAUCCCAGCCAAGCGCCGCUCUGGCCCUCCCUCCCUUGAUCUGCGCCAUGGCCGCUGACCCAGAAUCACGAGUCAUGACCACACAUGCAUUGGGCGAAACCAGAACGCGCACCGGCGGGAGCGCAUUCUGUUGCCGCCGUGCUCGUCGCCCCAUAGACCAUGUCACUGCCCCUCUGCUCUUCUCCAUAGGCCGUGCCGCUGCUCCCCUCUCAACUCUGGCAAGCACAAGCAGCACCAGCACGCGGCGAGCACAAGCAGCGGCAGCAGUACGCGGCGUUGGUGAGCAUAUAGACGCCUGUGGCGGAGCCAGGAAAAAUGAAUGAGCGGGGCCGAGUGUUCUUAACCCUUAUUGGGGAGGGCCAGUCCACAAAAUUACACCAUUUUAGCAGCAAAUAAUCAUAUAUCCAGAUGCAUCUUAGGCCUAACUCAGUGUUGUUAUAGGGGGCCAGGCCCCUGCUGGUCUGCUCGUUGCAUGGAUUCUUUGGAAGACAAGCACGUACACAACUUAAUUGAUUCCGGCGAGUUACACAACACGCAAGCAACGCACGAGGAAACAUACCGAUCCCAUCGAGACACACACGUGGCCGCGGACAAAAUGGAAGAGAGCGGCGCCCCAGAUCACCGGCGGCAUCUGGUUCUUUGGCAGCAUGGCCGCGGACAGACUGGAGGAGAGCGGCGCAAGGAGGAGGAAGGCGGCCAUCAGCAGAGGCGACGGCAGCAGGGCGGCGGCAUACGAGUUCAUCCCCUUUCUAUUUUGAUUUCAACCGGUGAAUCGUCUGGAUGCACCGGUGAAACUAGCAUAAAGGGUAUUUUGGUCCACUCCUUUAUGCAUAUAUUAUGUCAAUCAUUUGCUGGUAUUGUUUUUGUGUGAAAAAAUGGUUGAAGAUCAAAGUGCAAAUUAAAAAGGUGGCAAUAGAUCAACUACAAUGUAAGGAGUCACAAAUUAUCAAAGUAUAAAGUAAGUGAUGACAAAAAAUCAAAAACCCCAGCAAUGGCCAUGGGAACAAGCAAAAGGAUGCAAAAUGAAGACCAUGUCAACGUUGACUGGUCUGCUGGGCUGCCAUGUCACACAAAACCAGUUGGCAGUUGUCAGAGGGAGUAAUUUAGCUAGUAUUGAAAGUACAAGGUUGUCUUCUAACCGGUUUUGGAGUUGGAGGUUGUAAAUUAAACUAACCCUAAGUCCAGGAUUGAAAUAUGCACUUCUAUUUUUUAUCCUCAUCAACUUGCCAUACAAGCAUUGCCCCAUAAAAGUCAGCUUUCUUUCUAACACCCACAGGAAUUGGGUAUAGAGGCAUCAUAAAACAGAGGUAUAUUAGUUUGGCGGGAUUGCGCCAAAGUCACCCUACCAAUAAUGUUUAAAAGUCUUCCCUACCAACAGACACAUAUUUUCUCAAUUUUUUCAACAACCACCUUGCAAUGUUUAUUCCUAAUUCUAAUAUCAGACAUGCAUCGCCAAAUAUUUCAAAGGAACAACACCCAGUUCACAAAUGAAAAUCUCUUGAUAUAUGGGAGCUUUAUUAACUGCCUCCCCAAAAAAUAGAAAUUUCACUCUUAUGAAAGUUAAUAGUGGGACCAAAGAUUUGCUCAAACGCACUUAGAAUAAACUUGAGAUUCCUAGCAAUAUCCUCAUCAUCUUGUAAUAGGAAAGCAGUGUCAUUUGCAUAUUGAUCACAUUGUUUAAAUUUUCACUCAAGGCCCCUUUCACAAAUCCAUUAUUUCUAGCUCUCUCCAAAAUAAUGACAAGGGCUUCAACUGCCAAGUCAAAUAGCAAUGGAGAUAAAGCAUCUCUUUGCUCAAGCCAUUUGUGAGUUUUAAAAUAAGGACCAAUUACAUCAUUUAAUUUGACCCCCACAUGUCCUCUCCUCAUAGUGCGCAUAAUCCAAUCACACCAUUGAUCAGGGAAGUUUUUGAGUUUUAGCAUCUAGCGAGCAAAAGUCCAUUUAAUCUUAUCAUAGGCUUUCUCAAAAUCCUUAAAGAGUAAGGCCCUUUGUUUCCUAUUGUGCAUGGAGUUCAAAGCUUCAUGUAGCAGAACCACACUUUCCACUAUGUAUCUACCUUUAAUAAAAGUAGUUUGGUUAUGAGAAUUAAUAGGGUUAACCACCCUACUAAACUUGUUCAUUAGGACCUUAGUAAUAAUUUUGAAACUAACAUUCAAUAGACAAGGUUUAAAAUUUUGAAUUUGUAUAACAUCUUUAGUUGUAGGAACCAAGGUGAUAAUUCCAUAAUUGAUCCUAGCAAUAUCUAGAACCCCAUUAUGAAAAUUAUCCAUGAGCCCUUUCAAAUUACACUUAAACAUUUCCCAAAUAUGUUGAUAAAAAUCAAGAGGCAACCCAUUAGGUACAUGGCUCUUAUUUUUCUCCAUAGAGAAUACUACAUUGUAGUAAUUUUUCCUCGAAGAAAGGUUCCACCAACUUGUUAGCAUCCUCCUCAGAAUUUUUCUAUGCUUCUUGGAUGUUUAAAUAAACUAAGGAGAUCUUAGCUUGUCCAAAAAGUUUUCUUUACAGAAAUUAGUGAUGUAUUUUAAAAGAUUUUAUUCCCUUCAAUCGUCCCCUCAUCUUGCUCCAAAGAAAUAAUUGCCAUGGUAGUAUCUAGUAUUACAAUCACCUUAUCUAAUUUCUUUAUCCUUAUAUCUUUGGAGCCAUUUUAACUCUUCCUGUUUUAAAAUUCUCCCAACUAUUCACUAAGUUCCUUUUGUUCAGUUCUAUCAUGAGUAGUUAAGCCAUUAACUUCUGCAUCCUUAUCAAUGGAAUCUAACUUGGAUUUUUUAAUUUUCCUAUGCCAAGUCUCAACAUUCAAGUUUCAGCCCCUAAUCUUCUUCCUAAGAAUUCUCAACCUAUUUUGCCACCUCUCGAUAUAAGAACUUUCAUAAUUAUUAGUCCAAAAGUUUGGUGACAAAGUCCUUAAAACCAUCUCUCAGGAUCCAAUAUUUUUUGAAUCUAUAUAUUAGCUUUGAAAUAUUAUGAGACCCAGUGUCAAGAAUGAGAGGACUGUGAUAAGAAACUUCCCUCUCCAAAGCUUGUACCAUAGCUAAGCAUAAUGUUCCUCCCAUUCAUGAGAAUUCUAUCUAAUUUCUCAAUGGUUGGUUUAGCCAAAUUAUUGGCCCAAGUAAAAUUUCUUCCAUUUAGAGGUAAUUCUCUAAGCUCUUCAUACUCAAUAAUAGCAAUAUAGAACUUCAGUGAUCAGUGUUAUUGGGUUAGUUUUUCUCACAAAAGUUCUAAUAAGAAUAAAAUCCCCGCCUACCACACAAUAUAAAAUGUUGUCAUGAUAGAUCUUAGACAAUUCUGCCAAAUAAGAAGCUUUGCCAUCUAAUUGAGCGUCACCAUACACAAUAAUAAUAUUCCAAUGAAAUUUAGCCAUUUUUAUCAAAAAACAACAGCCUCACAAAGUAUACCCCUACCAUACCCUAUUUUAGUUACGUCAAACAAAUCAUUAUUUACUCCCACCAGGAUCUCUUCAGAUUUACCUCUUGGAGGGACCAAUUCCAAGUAGAAAAACUCAAAUGUAAAUAUGGAUAUUCCAUUGGAUAUUUAGCUGAUAAUGUGUUUCCUUUUCAUUCAUCCUAUCUAUGUUUUUCUUUGAAUAUGCUCACAUAAACUAAAAUGUCCCACAACAACGCAUGGGGUAUUAUCUAGUUUACAACAAAGACAAAUGUGGAAGCCUUGUUUUGACCCUAAAUGCCCUACAAUCCAGCGACUGUUGAAAUACUCUAAGUGCAUCUCCAACGCUGACCCUCAAACCGCCCGCAACCGUUCGGACCGUACGGUCCGGAUGCGUUAUGCCAUCAAACGCGGGCCUGUAUCGGUCCGCGGGGCGGUCCGGUCAGACUUUCUCCCGCAAACCGGAGACAAACGUGAGUGGCUUUGCGAGCGUCCGGACAGCACCCACGCCCGCUUUUGACCACCCUGGCCCACCCAAAGCCCUCCUCCCUCGUCGUCGUGUGUUCUCGCCUGACGCCGGCUGCCCGCAUUCAUGUCAAUGUAGAGCGGCCGCUCCACGUUGAAGCCAGCUUAGAGCAGACGCAACCUUUCACUGCCUCUGCCAUUAAAGCAGUGCACCGGCCGAGGGCACCGGCUGCUGCACGCUCGGCUGAACACGCCUCCUCGCGCAUUCAAACACCUCCAGUGAACCCACAUGGAAUCCGAGAAACCUACUCCGGCCACAUGUUUGUUCACGAGCAGAUUGACAUUAAACACAACACUGACAAGCUCCUCCCAUCCGUCCUCUACUUAAACGGUGCCAGACAUCGGGCAAAAAUCACACCACACCUCCGCUCCCAUCUCCUCGCACCAUUUUCUCCACAAUAUCCAUGGCUACCGGCGUGCAGGAAGAGGAGUUCACCGGCAUAAAAGCCGUCUGGAUGGCCCGCCGAGCCCACCGGAUACGAGCCAGGCAACUCGCUACUCCACCUCCCUCGCCAAAUCUGAUGAAGCAAGUUGCCGCCCAAGCCGGCGCAAGGUUCAACAACUCAUCGCUCCAGCCAUCUCGCAGAGGUGUGGCGAGUUGCUCCAGGAUGGCACGCAACGGAGCACGGAGGAACGGGCAUCGUGGCUGCCAUGGAUGAGGCCAGACGCCGUGCCAUCCGUCAUCUAUGUUGGCAGAACCGUGCCCGGUCGAUGGAGAAAGAAGUCGGCUAUGCGAAGAUCGACGAGUCGGUGGUCAGUGCGUCUGCGUCUGCCGCCAACAUCGAGGGAACGUAAAACACGGGAGGCCGUCACCGCUUGGGUUACGGGAAGGCCACCGCCGGCACAUCGUCAGCUUGCAUAGCCGGUGACUUGCCCGGUUCAGCACAGAUCAUUGUCGACCCCUACCUGGGCUUCACGGAAGCGGAGGAGCCCUCCUUCCCCUCCGGCCGAAGCACCCGCCUUCACCUCCAAUGGUAGCACCCCAUUUGCCACUCCGAUGAGCGGCGCAUUUGGACAUAGGAAAGAUACGGGAAAAAAAUAUACCUUCGGGGCUCCUGGUAGUCCGAUGAGCGGGCUGCCGGACAAUGGGAAGACAAAGGAAUCCGCCGUGGCAUGCCGUAGACUAGGUGUAGUGUAUCCUUUUCAUGAGAAUGGAACUCCACGCGGUCGCACGUAGUUUUACCUUUUUCAGUUAAAAUAUUUUCAAAAAUGUAAAUAUUUUCGUUCGGUUUUGUAUGAAAUCCCCUCUUCUUGCAUGAAUUUAUCGAAUUUGUUGAAAAAGUAUUUGAAAUGUAUGCGAACAUCGUUAGAUGACCAGUUCCGACAUCCAUGUGUGCGGAUGGAUGUCGAAGCAAAUUUGUAGGUCACCGUUGAGGAUGCCCUAAGGCUAUGUAAACUAUAAACUUGCAUCCACAAACGUACCUAGCUGGGCGCAGCGGAGAGCGCGCCUUGCUUUGAUGGUGCGACCGGACGACAGCGUGGGACAAGGCAGGCAUCCAAGCAUUGUAGCCCAUACCGGACGUUUCCUCGGAUAACCAUUGCUUAUACUGUUGGAAAUAUGCCCUAGAGGCAAUAAUAAAAGGAUUAUUAUUAUAUUUCCUUGUUCAUGAUAAUUGUCUUUUAUUCAUGCUAUAAUUGUGUUAUCCGGAAAUCGUAAUACAUGUGUGAAUACAUAGACACCAACAUGUCCCUAGUAAGCCUCUAGUUGACUAGCUCGUUGAUCAACAGAUAGUCAUGGUUUCCUGACUAUGGACAUUGGAUGUCAUUGAUAACGAGAUCACAUCAUUAGAAGAAUGAUGUGAUGGACAAGACCCAAUCCUAAACAUAGCACAAGAUCGUAUAGUUCAUUUGCUAGAGUUUUUCCAAUGUCAAGUAUCUUUUCCUUAGACCAUGAGAUCAUGUAACUCCUGGAUACCGUAGGAGUGCUUUGGGUGUACCAAACGUCACAACAUAACUGGGUGACUAUAAAUGUAUACUACGAGUAUCUCCGAAAGUGUUUUUUGGGUUGACACGGAUCAAGAGUGGGAUUUGUCACUCCGUAUGACGGAGAGGUAUCUCUGGGCCCACUCGGUAAUGCAUCAUCAUAAUGAGCUCAAAGUGACCAAGUGUCUAGUCACGGGAUCAUGCAUUACGGUACGAGUAAAGUGACUUGCCGGUAACGAGAUUGAAUGAGGUAUUGGGAUACCGACGAUCGAAUCUCGGGCAAGUAACGUACCGAUUGACAAAGGGAAUUGUAUACGGGGUUGCUUGAAUCCUCGACAUCGUGGUUCAUCCGAUGAGGUCAUCGAGGAGCAUGUGUGAGCCAACAUGGGUAUCCAGAUCCCGCUGUUGGUUAUUGACCGGAGAGCCAUCUCGGUCAUGUCUACAUGUCUCCCGAACCCGUAGGGUCUACACACUUAAGGUUCGGUGAUGCUAGGGUUAUAGAGAUAUGAAUAUGCAGUAACCCGAAAAUUGUUUGGAGUCCCGGAUGAGAUUCGACCAUCGGGAGAGUUUAGGGGGUCACGGGUAUUAUACCGGGACCACCGGAUGGGUCCCGGGGGUCCACCGGGUGGGACCACCCAUCCCGGAGGGCGCCAUGGGCUGAAGUGGGGAGGGGAACCAGCCCAUAGUGGGCUGGUGCGCCCCCUUGGACCACCCCCUGUGCCUAGGGUUGGAAACCCUAGGGUGGGGGGGCCACUUGCCUUGGGGGCCACUCCACCCUUGGCCGCCGCCCCCUAGGAGAUCCCAUCUCCUAGGGCCGACGCCCCCCUUGGGGAGCCUAUAUAAAGGGGGGGAGGGAGGGGCAGCCGCACCCUUGACUCUUGGCGCCUCCCUCUCCCGUGCUACACCUCUCCCGCUCGCAGAAGAACGGCGAAGCCCUGCUGCGGUGACUGCUGCAUCCACCACCACGCCGUCGUGCUGCUGGAUCUUCAUCAACCUCUCCUCCCCCCUUGCUGGAUCAAGAAGGAGGAGACGUCACGCUGACCGUACGUGUGUUGAACACGGAGGUGUCGUCCGUUCGGCGCUAGGAUCUCCGGUGAUUUGGAUCACGUCGAGUAUGACUUCCUCAUCCCCGUUCUUUGAACGCUUCCGCGCGUGAUCUACAAAGGUAUGUAGAUGAAAUCCGAUCACUCGUUGCUAGAUGAACUCAUAGAUGGAUCUUGGUGAAACUGUAGGAAAAUUUUUGUUUUCUGCAACGUUCCCCAACAAUGGCAUCAUGAGCUAGAUCUAUGCGUAGUUCCUUUUGCACGAGUAGAACACAAUUUGUUGUGGGCGUAGAUGUUGUCAACUUUCUUGCCGCUACUAGUCUUAUUUUGCUUCAACAGUAUUGUGGGAUGAAGCGGCCCGGACCAACCUUACACAUACGCUUACGUGAGACCGGUUCCACCGACUGACAUGCACUAGUUGCAUAAGGUGGCUGGCGGGUGUCUGUCUCUCCCACUUUAGUUGGAGCGGAUUCGAUGAAAAGGGUCCUUAUGAAGGGUAAAUAGAAGUUGACAAAUCACGUUGUGGCUUUCACGUAGGUAAGAAAACGUUCUUGCUAGAACCCUAUUGCAGCCACGUAAAAACUUGCAACAACAAUUAGAGGAUGUCUAACUUGUUUUUGCAGCAAGUGUUUUGUGAUGUGAUAUGGCCAAAGUUGUGAUGAAUGAUGAAUGAUAUAUAUGUGAUGUAUGAGAUGUUCAUGCUAUUAUAAUAGGAAUCACGACUUGCAUGUCAAUGAGUAUGACAACCGGCAGAAGCCAUAGGAGUUGUCUUUAUUUUUUAUAUGACCUGCGUGUCAUUGAGAAACGCCAUGUAAAUUACUUUACUUUAUUGCUAAACGUGUUAGCCAUAGUAGUAGAAGUAAUAGUUGGCGAGCAACUUCAUGGAGACACGAUGAUGGAGAUCAUGGUGUCAUGCCGGUGACAAGAUGAUCAUGGAGCCCCAAGAUGGAGAUCAAAGGAGCUAUGUGAUAUUGGCCAUAUCAUGUCACUAUUAUUAUUUGAUUGCAUGUGAUGUUUAUCAUGUUUUUGCAUCUUGUUUACUUAGAACGACGGUAGUAAAUAAGAUGAUCCCUCAUAAUAAUUUCAAGAAAGUGUUCCCCCUAACUGUGCGCCGUUGCGACAGUUCGUUGUUUCGAAGCACCACGUGAUGAUCGGGUGUGAUAGAUUUCAACGUUCACAUACAACGGGUGUAAGACAGAUUAACACAUGCAAACACUUAGGUUGACUUGACGAGCCUAGCAUGUACAGACAUGGCCUCGGAACACAGAAGACCGAAAGGUCAAGCAUGAGUCGUAUAGAAGGUACGAUCAACAUGAAGAUGUUCACCGAUGUUGACUAGUCCGUCUCACGUGAUGAUCGGACACGGCCUAGUUAACUCGGAUCAUGUUAUACUUAGAUGACUAGAGGGAUGUCUAUCUGAGUGAGAGUUCAUUAAAUAGAUGAACUUAAUUAUUAUGAACUUAGUCUAAUUUUUUUACAAUAUGUCUUGUAGAUCAAAUGGCCCACGUUGUCCUCAACUUCAACGCGUUCCUAGAGAAAACCAAGCUGAAAGACGAUGGCAGCAACUAUACGGACUGGGUCCGGAACCUGAGGAUCAUCCUCAUAGCUGCCAAGAAAGAUUAUGUCCUAGAAGCAUCGCUAGGUGACGCACCCGUCCCACAGAACCAAGACGUUAUGAACGCUUGGCAGACACAUGCUGAUGAUUACUCCCUCGUUCAGUGCGGCAUGCUUUACAGCUUAGAACCGGGGCUCCAAAAGCGUUUUGAGAGACACGGAGCAUAUGAGAUGUUCGAAGAGCUGAAAAUGGUUUUUCAAGCUCAUGCCCGGGUCGAGAGAUAUGAAGUCUCCGACAAGUUCUACAACUGUAAGAUGGAGGAAAAUAGUUCUGUCAGCGAGCACAUACUCAAAAUGUCUGGGUUGCAUAACCACUUGACUCAGCUGGGAGUUAAUCUCCCGGAUGACGCGGUCAUUGACAGAAUCCUUCAGUCGCUUCCACCGAGCUACAAGAGCUUUGUGAUGAACUUCAAUAUGAAGGGGAUGGAAAAGACCAUUCCUGAAGUAUUUGCAAUGCUGAAAUCAGCAGAGGUAGAAGUCAAAAAGUAACAUCAAGUGUUGAUGGUGAAUAAAACCACUAAGUUCAAGAAAGGCAAGGGUAAGAAGAACUUCAAGAAGGACGGCAAGGGAGUUGCCGCGCCCGGCAAGCAAGCUGCCGGGAAGAAGCCAAAGAAUGGACCCAAGCCCGAGACUGAGUGCUUUUAUUGCAAGGAGAGUGGUCACUGGAAGCGGAACUGCCCCAAAUACUUAGCGGACAAGAAGGCCGGCAAAACGAAAGGUAUAUGUGAUAUACAUGUAAUUGAUGUGUACCUUACCAGUACUCGUAGUAGCUCCUGGAUAUUUGAUACCGGUGUAGUUGCUCACAUUUGCAACUCAAAGCAGAAGUUGCGGAAUAAGCGGAGACUAGCGAAGGACGAGGUGACGAUGCGCGUCGGGAAUGGUUCCAAGGUCGAUGUGAUCGCCGUCGGCAUGCUACCUCUACAUUUACCUACGGGAUUAGUUUUGAACCUCAAUAAUUGUUAUUUAGUGCCAAGUUUGAGCAUGAACAUUGUAUCAGGAUCUCGUUUAAUACGAGAUGGCUACUCAUUUAAAUCCGAGAAUAAUGGUUGUUCUAUUUAUAUGAGAGAUAUGUUUUAUGGUCAUGCUCCGAUGGUGAAUGGUUUAUUCUUAAUGAAUCUCGAGUGUAAUGCUACACAUAUUCAUAGUGUGAGUACCAAAAGAUGUAAGGUUGAUAAUGAUAGUCCCACAUACUUGUGGCACUACCGCCUUGGUCACAUAGGUGUCAAACGCAUGAAGAAGCUCCAUGCAGAUGGACUUUUAGAGUCUCUUGAUUACAAAUCAUUUAACACAUGCGAACCAUGCCUCAUGGGUAAAAUGACCAAGACUCCGUUCUCAGGAAUAAUGGCGCGAGCAACCAACUUAUUGGAAAUCAUACAUACUGAUGUGUGCGGUCCAAUGAGUGUUGAGGCUCGCGGUGGUUAUCGUUAUGUUCUCACCCUCACUGAUGACUUGAGUAGAUAUGCGUAUGUCUACUUAAUGAAACACAAGUCUGAGACCUUUGAAAGGUUCAAGGAAUUUCAGAGUGAGGUUGAGAAUCAACGUGACGGGAAAAUCAAGUUCUUGCGAUCAGAUCGUGGGGGAGAAUACUUGAGUCACGAAUUUGGCACACACUUAAGAAAAUGUGGAAUAGUUUCACAACUCACGCCGCCUAGAACACCUCAGCGUAAUGGUGUGUCCGAACGUCGUAAUCGCACUUUAUUAGAUAUGGUGCGAUCUAUGAUGUCUCUUACCGAUUUACCGCUAUCAUUUUGGGGCUAUGCUUUAGAGACUGCCAUAUUCACUUUAAAUAGGGCUCUGUCGAAAUCCGUUGAGACGACACCGUAUAAAUUAUGGUUUGGGAAGAAGCCUAAGCUGUCGUUUCUAAAAGUUUGGGGAUGCGAUGCUUAUGUCAAGAAACUUCAACCUGAAAAGCUCGAACCAAGUCAGAAAAAUGCGUCUUCAUAGAAUACCCUAAAGAAACUAUUGGGUAUACCUUCUACCUCAGAUCCGAAGGCAAGAUCUUUGUUGCCAAGAAUGGAUCCUUUCUAGAGAAGGAGUUUCUCUCGAAAGAAGUAAGUGGGAGGAAAGUAGAACUUGAUGAAGUAUUAACUCUUGAACCGAAAAAUGGCGCAACUCAAGAAAAUGUUCCUGAGGUGCCUGUACCGACUAGAGAGGAAGUUAAUGAUGAUGAUCAUGAAACUUCAGAUCAAGUUUCUACUGAACUUCGUAGGUCCAAAGGACACGUUCCGCACCAGAGUGGUACGGCAACCCUGUCUUGGAAAUCAUGUUGUUAGACAACGGUGAAUGACGGUGUCCUGGACUAGGGGGUACUCACCACGUCGUAUCCCGAUCUAUUAGAUUGGGCCGAGGACCCCCGUGGCCGUAUACUCAUGGGCCAGUUCGGACGGCUGUCGCAUACAAGGAAGAUUCCACAAGACUUGGCGAUCAAGACAAGGACUUCUCCCCACCGGCGUAUUCGGCUAGGACUCUUGUUAUCCUAGGCCUCCGGUGCAUUAUAUAAACCGAGGCCAGGCUAGUCGAUAGAUAGACAAUAUAUACAACAAUCAUACCAUAGGCUAGCUUCUAGGGUUUAGCCUCCUUGAUCUUGUGGUAGAUCUACUCUUGUACUACCCAUAUCAUCAAUAUUAAUCAAGCAGGAGUAGGGUUUUACCUCCAUCGAGAGGGCCCGAACCUGGGUAAAAACAUCGUGUCCCUUGUCUCCUGUUACCAUCCGGCCUAGACGCACAGUUCUGGACCCCCUACCCGAGAUCCGCCGGUUUUGACAUCGACAGUGAACCUUCGAACUAUGAAGAAGCGAUGGCGGGCCCAGAUUCCAAUAAAUGGCUUGAAGCCAUGCAAUCCGAGAUACGAUCCAUGUAUGAAAACAAAGUAUAGACUUUGACAGACUUGCCGGAUGAUCGGCGAGCGAUAGAAAACAAAUGGAUCUUUAAGAAGAAGACGGACGCGGAUGGUAAUGUUACCAUCUAUAAAGCUCGACUUGUCGCUAAGGGUUAUCGGCAAGUUCAAGGGGUUGACUACGAUGAGACUUUCUCUCCCGUAGCGAAGUUGAAGUCCGUCAGAAUUAUGUUAGCAAUUGCCGCAUACUAUGAUUAUGAGAUAUGGCAAAUGGACGUCAAAACGGCAUUCCUUAAUGGUUUCCUUAAGGAAGAAUUGUAUAUGAUGCAGCCGGAAGGUUUUAUCGAUCCUAAGAAUGCUGACAAGGUGUGCAAGCUCCAACGCUCGAUUUAUGGGCUGGUGCAAGCAUCUCGGAGUUGGAACAUUCGCUUUGAUGAGAUGAUGAAAGCGUUUGGGUUUAUGCAGACUUAUGGAGAAGCCUGCGUUUACAAGAAAGUGAGUGGGAGCUCUGUAGCAUUUCUCAUAUUAUAUGUAGAUGACAUACUUUUGAUGGGAAAUGAUAUAGAGCUUUUGGACAGCAUUAAGGCCUACUUGAAUAAGAGUUUUUCAAUGAAGGACCUUGGAGAAGCUGCUUACAUAUUAGGCAUCAAGAUCUAUAGAGAUAGAUCAAGACGCCUCAUAGGUCUUUCACAAAGCACAUACCUUGAUAAGAUAUUGAAGAAGUUCAAUAUGGAUCAGUCUAAGAAGGGGUUCUUGCCUGUGUUGCAAGGUGUGAAAUUGAGCUCAGCUCAAUGUCCGACCACGGCAAAAUAUAUAGAAGAGAUGAGUGUCAUCCCCUAUGCCUCAGCCAUAGGUUCUAUUAUGUAUGCCAUGCUGUGUACCAGACCUGAUGUAAACCUUGCCGUAAGUUUGGUAGGUAGGUACCAAAGUAAUCCCGGCAAGGAACACUGGACAGCGGUCAAGAAUAUCCUGAAGUACCUGAAAAGGACCAAGGAAAUGUUUCUCGUUUAUGGAGGUGACGAAGAGCUCGUCGUAAAGGGUUACGUCGACGCUAGCUUCGACACAGAUCUGGAUGACUCUAAGUCACAAACCGGAUACGUGUAUAUUUUGAAUGGUGGGGCAGUAAGUUGGUGCAGUUGCAAGCAGAGCGUCAUGGCGGGAUCUACAUGUGAAGCGGAGUACAUGGCAGCCUCGGAGGCAGCGCAUGAAGCAAUUUGGGUGAAGGAGUUCAUCACCGACCUAGGAGUCAUACCCAAUGCGUCGGGGCCGAUCAAACUCUUCUGUGACAACACUAGGGCUAUUGCACUUGCCAAGGAGCCCAGGUUUCACAAGAAGACCAGGCACAUCAAGCGUCGCUUCAACUCCAUUCGUGAAAAUGUUCAAGAUGGAGACAUAGAUAUUUGUAAAGUACAUACGGACCUGAAUGUAGCAGAUCCUUUGACUAAACCUCUCCCUAGAGCAAAACAUGAUCAACACCAGAAUUCCAUGGGUGUUCGAUUCAUCACAAUGUAACUAGAUUAUUGACUAUAGUGCAAGUGGGAGACUGUUGGAAAUAUGCCCUAGAGGCAAUAAUAAAAGGAUUAUUAUUGUAUUUCCUUGUUCAUGAUAAUUGUCUUUUAUUCAUGCUAUAAUUGUGUUAUCCGGAAAUCGUAAUACAUGUGUGAAUACAUAGACACCAACAUGUCCCUAGUAAGCCUCUAGUUGACUAGCUCGUUGAUCAACAGAUAGUCAUGGUUUCCUGACUAUGGACAUUGGAUGUCAUUGAUAACGAUAUCACAUCAUUAGGAGAAUGAUGUGAUGGACAAGACCCAAUCCUAAACACAACACAAGAUCGUAUAGUUCAUUUGCUAGAGUUUUUCCAAUGUCAAGUAUUUUUUCCUUAGACCAUGAGAUCGUGUAACUCCUGGAUACCGUAGGAGUGCUUUGGGUGUACCAAACGUCACAACAUAACUGGGUGACUAUAAAUGUAUACUACGGGUAUCUCCGAAAGUGUCUGUUGGGUUGACACGGAUCAAGAUUGGGAUUUGUCACUCCGUAUGACGGAGAGGUGUCGUCCGUUCGGCGCUAGGAUCUCCGGUGAUUUGGAUCACGUCGAGUACGACUUCCUCAUCCCCGUUCUUUGAACGCUUCCGCGCGUGAUCUACAAAGGUAUGUAGAUGCAAUCCGAUCACUCGUUGCUAGAUGAACUCAUAGAUGGAUCUUGGUGAAACCGUAGGAAAUUUUUUGUUUUCUGCAACGUUCCCCAACAUAUACGGUCGUGGCUAAAUUUCGUGUUUUGACCCUUUUGACAAACAAAAUCAAAAUCUGACCCCGGUUUGAAAUAUUUUCGGGAUUUGACCCUUUUGCUACUGCCAGAGUCUCUGGCGGUAGGGUUAGACAGCCUAGCGCCAACGUCACUGGCGGUAGGGUGUGACAGAGGGGACGGCGGCCGUCGCCGCGUGCUGACGUGGAUAAGUACCCUACCGCCAGGGGCCCUGGCGGUAGGCUGUCUAACCUUACCGCCAGUGCCUCUGCGGUAAGGUGUGGCAGGGUUUUGCCAUGCAGACAUUCUGUAACGAAAGAUGCAAGGGCCCUGGCGGUAGGUUCACCCUAGAGCCAGCCCCCAUGGCGGUAGGUUGUCUGAUCCUACCGCCAGGACCCCUGGCGGUAGGGUCUUGUGUUUUGCCGUAUAGAGCUUCUGUAACGAAAUAUGAAAGGGCCCUCUCGGUAGGUUCACCCUACCGCCAUGGGGGCUGGCGGUAGGUUGUCUAACCCUACCGCCAGGGUGCCUGGCGGUAGGGUCCUCUGUUUUGUUUUUCAAGUUCAUUUGGUUGCUUGUUCUCAAAUUCAAUAUGACAGCAAUAUCACAGCAAGUUUCACAAAUAUGACAGCAAUAUCAUAGAUUUUAAACAAUUAAACUUGGGCAUCACAUAGAUCCAUAUUAAGAUAACUUGAAGUGCAUAUAACAUUUCAAACACAUAGAUCCACAAAUAGCAAACACAUAGUUCCACGUAGUUUCACAAGCACUAGACAAGUUCAACCAAACGAAGUUCAACCAAACUAAAAGAGCCAAGUAUCGAAGAGCAUAAUCAGUUGCUCCUUCACCUCUUGGAGGUACGGUCCUUGUUACUCUUUGAACGAGUCUCUUCGGUCUUCUUCUUGGGCCGGCGAGGAACCGUUCUCUGGGAAGGGUCCGGACUCAGCAAAUCCUUCUUUUUCGAAUUCCUCUUCGGCAGCUGAGAUGCUUGAGAUGUUUGAGUUGGUGGAGGUCCAUAAUAUUCAUUGUACUCCUCCUCCCCGUUGCUCUCCUCCUCCUCCCCUUCUUCAUGUGUGGCCUCCUCCUCCUUCUCCCCUUCUUCAUGUGUGGCCUCCUCCUCCUCCUCCUCCCCAACCAACCUAGACGACGGGGGAGCAUGGCUCGAUGAGCCGAUGAGACCCUGUGUGGCUACAGGCUGAUAAGCUUCAACUGACCCAGCUCCAGCACACCCAAGCAGCCCUACCAGCUUGCGACAACGCUUCACGAACUUCUGCACUCACAAUGAAACAAGGGCAUAAUAAGUAUCAGAUCGACUGAUUGCAGGUGAACAAGAUGCAUCUGUUUCGAGGAGGCUGGAAUUGUACCUUCAUCAUCCCCCUCACUUUGUUCUCAGAUUCUAUGCUCCCCAGGAGAUCACCUAGUGCAUCUGAGGCUUCAAAGAUGCAUCUGUUCACCUCACCAGACUGCAACGACAUAAGUCAGUCACGAUGACGAAUAAACUAAUUUAAAUACAACCGUCGGUUCAAACUUACCACUCUGUUGAUGAGGGGUGCAAACUCCCUAAAUCUACUGUGCAUGUCUCUGAUGCCGGUCUGGUAGGCCUCUUCCUCGGGGUCAUCCCUCUCCAGCUCCGCAAUGUCUUCCGCCGUCCACCGAGGCCUGAGACGAAGACGGUGCUUCUAGCCAUCAUCGUACCACCUCAUGUGUCGGCUCAGGUAAGCAUCCCAGUCAGUAACUUUCCUCUCCACGUCUUUAUAGAACCUCCAUCGGUUCCACUCCGUCGCAUGAGUUUUAUGCUUCUCUCCCCAGUCUGUGAUCGACCGAUUCUUCUGCCGGCUCAUCCUGCAAGGCAUAAGCAACAAGAAUCAUCAUAAGCACAAUGAGAUCAUCAUAAGCAACAAGAAACAUGAUAAGCGUAAUGAAAUCAUGGGCACGGAGAACAAAGCGCUCACAGGUGGAGCGCAUGGCCGCCGGUAUCGGUGGGCUGGCCUGGUGGGGUAUGCUGAUAAAUCCCAAAUUGUGUGGCCACGCGGUGUGGCAAGUGCCACUCGACGGCGUACACACAUAUCAUGGGCACGAUGCACCACCAGAGACCACGGUCUCCAUCGCACAUCACGUUCAGAUCAAAGCCCCACUAUCGGUCAUGAUAUGGCCACCAGUUUACCUGUUACAUAUACAUUGGUAAGUUCCCACUCUCGGUCAAAAGUGGAAUCAAAGAGAAAGGUGUUGAGCGAGUUCAUAUACCUGCUUAUGCGUCAAAGUGUCCAACUCGUUGGUGUAGGUCUUGUACAAAGUCUUGUUUAGGCCCGUGUAGAGUUUGACAAUGUCCCACUCGUAAGCUACGGUGGGGUGUCGAGUCUCGUCGCCGUCUUCGCUAUAGGCACCCCACGGGCGUCUUGGCAACUUCUCCGGACGCCCCACCGGCAGCCGCUCCUACAUCCAAAUGGAGAAGGCCCAGACAAAGCCACCCAUAUUGGACUUGUCUCCCGUCCUCUGCGUUGCGUCAUCAAGCUGCAAAACAUCAAAUGAGGAUCAAAUAUAAGAAAAUGUCAUGGACACACUUUCGUAGGUAGGUAGGCAAUUAGAUCCUCUCUUACCGAACGGUAUAGAUAGGCGAGAGAUGCGGUCCCCCAACUGUACCCUGCCUCCCAGUCCGCUAGGAAGAAGAGAUACGACCAGUUGGCAGAGUUCCCGGAGCUGUCUGGAAACACGACCUCCGUGAGAAGAUACCAUAGGUAGGCCCUCGCGUACCACUCCACGGUCGUCUCGUCGACGCCUUCGGGGCAUUUCUGCCGGUGCUCCGAGAGCCAGGUCAACGGCACACCGGAUGUACAGUUACCCUUGAUAGUGGGGCAGUCGCCGAUGAGGGCUGCAACCCUCUGCUGCCAGUUGGUCCUCUCCACUCGCCCGGUGAGUGCAUGACCCUCGAUCGGCAUGGCAGUAAUCAUCGCCCAAUCCUCGAGGGUCACCGUCAUCUCCCCGCAUGACAGAUGAAAAGAAUGGGUCUCCGGUCGCCACCGGUCAAUCAACGCCGUCAGAGCUGCGUGGACAAGCGUCGGCGGCUGACGCUUGAACUGCAACACAAAACCCAACAGACGGGCUCUCUUGAAGAACGGCGUGUAGCGCUUGUCGUAGUCCACAUGCCCAUGAACCCCGUGACCCCUCAUGCGCAGUGGCUGGAGCAUCUGUCAAAAAGUGAACGCCAAAAGUUAGGAAAUUAUUUUCAUCAAUCCGAAAAUUUUCAUCAAAAUUCAUAUCACUUACCUCUCCGUUCUCUAUGAACCGGGCACGAUAACCCUUGUCAAAUGCCCAGUCCAGCAUGGAGUACCGUGUGCCGAUGUUGUCCGCAAGAGGUGGCCGCCUUAAUAAAAUUUCAUAAACAAAACCACCAUAAGCAUAAAGCAUACAUAAACAAAAAAUGAACUCAAAUCAUAUCAACAUGCUGUUGGGGAACAUAGCAUAAAUUCAAAAUUUUCCUACGUGUCACCAAGAUCUAUCUAUGGAGUCAUCUAGAAACGAGGGAGGAGUGGAUCUACAUACCCUUGUAGAUCGCACGCGAAAGCGUUCAAGAGAACGGGGUUGAUGGAGUCGUACUCGUCGUGAUCCAAAUCACCGAUGAUCCUAGCGCUGAACGGACGGCACCUCCACGUUCAACACACGUACGGAGCAGCGACGUCUCCUCCUUCUUGAUCCAGCAAGGGGGGAGGAGAGGUUGAUGGAGAUCCAGCAGCACGACGGCGUGGUGGAAGUAGCGGGAUUCCAACAGGGCUUCGCCAAGCGCUGCGGGAGGAGGGAGAUGUGUCAUGGGAGGGAGAGGGAGGCGCCAGGGCUUGGGUAUGGUUUCCCUCCCUUCCCCCCACUAUAUAUAGGGCCAAGGGAGAGGGGGAGGGUGCAGUAUUGCCCUUUCCUCCAAGGAAGGGUGCGGCCAAGGGGGGGAGGAGUCCAUCCUCCCCAAGGCACCUCGGAGGUGCCUUCCCCCUUUAGGACUCUCCCCUCCUCUUGUCCCUUUGGCGCAUGGGCCUCUUGGGGCUGGUGCCCUUGGCCCAUAUAGGCCAAGGCGCAUCCCCUACAGCCCAUGUGGCCCCCCGGGGCAGGUGGCCCGACCCGGUGGACCCCCGGGACCCUUCCGGUGGUCCCGGUACAAUAUCGAUGACCCCGAAACUUGUCCCGAUGGCCGAAAUAGCACUUCCUAUAUAUAAUUCUUUACCUCCGAACCAUUCCGGAACUCCUCGUGACAUCCGGGAUCUCAUCCGGGACUCCGAACAACUUUCAGGUUACCGCAUACUAAUAUCUCUAUAACCCUAGCGUCACUGAACCUUAAGUGUGUAGACCCUACGGGUUCGGGAACCAUGCAGACAUGACCGAGAUGACUCUCCGGUCAAUAACCAACAACGGGAUCUAGAUACCCAUGUUGGCUCCCACAUGUUCCACGAUGAUCUCAUCGGAUGAACCACGAUGUCAAGGACUUAAUCAAUCCCGCAUACAAUUCCCUUUGUCUAUCGGUAUGUUACUUCCCCGAGAUUUGAUCAUCGGUAUCCCGAUACCUUGUUCAAUCUCGUUACCGGCAAGUCUCUUUACUCGUUCCGUAACACAUCAUCCCGUGAUCAACUCCUUGAUCACAUUGUGCACAUUAUGAUGAUGUCCUACCGAGUGGGCCCAGAGAUACCUCUCCGUUUACACGGAGUGACAAAUCCCAGUCUCGAUUUGUGCCAACCCAACAGACACUUUCGGAGAUACCUGUAAUGUUCCUUUAUAGCCACCCAGUUACGUUGUGACGUUUGGCACACCCAAAGUAUUCCUACGGUAUCCGGGAGUUGCACAAUCUCAUGGUCUAAGGAAAUGAUACUUGACAUUAGAAAAGCUUUAGCGAACGAACUACACGAUCCUUGUGCUAGGCUUAGGAUUGGGUCUUGUCCAUCACAUCAUUCUCCUAAUGAUGUGAUCCCGUUAUCAAUGACAUCCAAUGUCCAUGGUCAGGAAACCGUAACCAUCUAUUGAUUAACGAGCUAGUCAACUAGAGGCUUACUAGGGACAUGGUGUUGUCUAUGUAUCCACACAUGUAUCUGAGUUUCCUAUCAAUAAAAUUCUAGCAUGGAUAAUAAACGAUUAUCAUGAACAAGGAAAUAUAAUAAUAACUAAUUUAUUAUUGCCUCUAGGGCAUAUUUCCAACAGUCUCCCACUUGCACUAGAGUCAAUAAUCUAGUUCACAUCGCCAUGUGAUUAACACUCACAGGUCACAUCGCCAUGUGACCAACAUCCAAAGAGUUUACUAGUGUCACUAAACUAGUUCACAUCAUCAUGUGAUUAAGACUCAAUGAGUUCUGGGUUUGAUCAUGUUUUGCUUGUGAGAGAGGUUUUAGUCAACGGGUCUGAAUCUUUCAGAUCCGUAUGUACUUUGCAAAUCUCUAUGUCAUCUUGUAGAUGCAGCUACUACGCUAUAUUUGGAGCCAUUUCAAAUAACUGUUCUACUUGGAGCUAUUCUAAAUUGUUGCUCCAUUAUACGUAUCCGGUAUCUCUACUCAGAGCUAUCCGGAUAGGUGUUAAGCUUGCAUCGACGUAACUCUUUACGACGAACUCUUUUACCACCUCCAUAAUCGAGAAAAUUUCUUAGUCCACUAGUUACUAAGGAUAACUUUGACCGCUGUCUUGUGAUCCACUCCUGGAUCACCUUUGUACCCUCUUGCCAGACAUGUGGCAAGGCACACAUCAGGUGCGGUACUCAGCAUGGCAUACCGUAUAGAGCCUAUGACAAAAGCAUAGGGGACGGCAUUCGUCCUUUCUCUUUCUUCUGCCGUGGUCGAGCUUUAAGUCUUAACUUCAUACCUUACAUCUCAGGCAAGAACUCCUUCUUUGACUGAUCCAUCUUGAACACCUUCAAGAUCAUGUCAAGGCAUAUGCUCAUUUGAAAGUACUAUUAAGCGUUUUGAUCUAUCCUUAUAUAUCUUAAUGCUCAAUACUCAAGUAGCCUAAUCCAGGUUUUCCAUCGAAAAACACUUUUCAAAUAACCCUAUAUGCUUUCCAGAAAUUCUACGUCAUUUCUGAUCAACAAUAUGUCAACAUAUAUUUAUCAGAAAUUCUAUAGUGCUCCCAUUCACUUCUUUGGAAAUACAAGUUUCUCAUAAACUUUGUAUACACCCAAAAUCUUUGAUCAUCUCAUCAAAGCAUACAUUCCAACUCCGAGAUGCUUACUCCAGUCCUUAGAAGGAUUGCUGGAGCUUUGCAUACUUAUUAGCAUCUUUCAGGAUUGACAAAACCUUCUGGUUGUAUCACAUACAACCUUUCCUCAAGAAAAUCGUCGAGGAAACAAUGUUUUGACAUCCUAUCUGCAAGAUUUCAUAAAUAAUGCAGUAAUCGCUAAUAUAAUUCCAACAGACUCUUAGCAUCGCUACGAGUGAGAAAGUCUCAUCGUAGUCAACUCCUUGAACUUGUCGGAAAACAUCUUAACGACAAGUCGAGCUUUCUUAAUGGUGACAUUUACCAUCAUUGUCCGUCUUCCUUUUAAAAUCCAUCUGUACUCAAUAGCCUUACGACCAUCGAGCCAUUCUGCCAAAGUCUACACUUUGUUUUCAUACAUGGAUCCUCUCUCGGAUUUUAUGGCCUCGAGCCAUUUAUCGGAAUCCGGGCCCACCAUCGCUUCUCCAUAGCUCGUAGGUUCAUUGUUGUCUAGUAACAUGACUUCCAAGACAGGAUUACGUACCAGUCUGAAGUAGUACGCAUCCUUGUCAUCCCACGAGGUUUGGUAGUGACUUGAUCUGAAGUUUCAUGAUCACUAUCAUAAGCUUCCACUUUAGUUGGUGUAGGUGCCAUAGGAACAAUUUCCUGUGCCCUGCUACACACUAGUUGAAGAGACGGUUCAAUAACCUCAUCAAGUCUCCACCAUCCUCUCUCUCAAUUAUUUCGAGUGAAACUUUUCCUCGAGAAAGGACCCGAUUCUGGAAACAAUCCCUUAUUGCUUUCGGAUCUGAGACAGGAGGUAUACCCAACUGUUUUGGGUGUCCUAUGAAGAUGCAUUUAUCCGCUUUGGGUUUGAGCUUAUCAGCCUGAAACUUUUUCACAUAAGCGUCGCAGCCCCAAACUUUUUAAAGAAAUGACAGCUUAGGUUUCUCUAAACCAUAGUUCAUACGGUGUCACCUCAUCGGAAUUACGUGGUGCCCUAUUUAAAGUGAAUGUGGUUGUCCCUAAUGCCUAACCCAUAAACUAUCAUGGUAAUUCGAUAAGAGACAUCAUGGUAUGCAUCAUAUCCAAUAGGGUGCAGUUAUGAUGUUCGGACACACCAUCACACUAUGGUGUUCCAGGUUGUAUCAGUUGUGAAACAAUUUCCACAAUGUCUUAAUUCUGUGCCAAACUCGUGAUUCAGAUAUUCACCUCUAUGAUCAUAUCAUAGAUCUUUUAUCCUCUUGUCACGACGAUCUUUCAACUUCACCCUGAAAUUACUUGAACCUUUCAAUAAUUCAGACUCGUGAUUCAUCAAGUAAAUAUACUCAACAUCUACUCAAAUCAUCUGUGAAGUAAGAACAUAACGAUAUCCACUACACGCCUCAGCACUCAUUGGACUGCACACAUCAAAAUGUAUUACUUCCAGCAAGUUGCUUUCUGGUUCCAUUUUACUGAAACCGAGGCUUUCAGUCAUCUUGCCCAUGUGGUAUGAUUUGCAUGUCUCAAGUGAUUCAAAAUCAAGUGAGUUCAAACGGUCCAUCUGCAUGGAGUUUCUUCAUGCAUAUACACCAAUAGACAUGGUUCGCAUGUCUCAAACUUUUCAAAAACGAGUGAGCCCAAAGAUCCAUCAACAUGGAGCUUCUUCAUGCGUUUUAUACCGAUAUGAUUUAAGUGGCAGUGCCACAAGUAGGUGAUACUAUCAUUACUAUCUUAUAUCUUUUGGCAUGAACAUGUGUAUCACUACGAUCGAGAUUCAAUUAACCAUUCAUUUUAGGCGUAAGACCAUUGAAGGCAUUAUUCAAAUAAACAGAGUAACAAUUAUUCUCUUAAAUGAAUAACCGUAUUGCGAUAAUCAUAAUCCAAUCAUGUCUAUGCUCAACGUAAACACCAAAUAACCAUUAUUUAGGUUUAACACCAAUCUCGAUGGUAGAGGGAGCGUGCGAUGCUUGAUCAUAUCAACAUUGGAAACACUUCCAACACAUAUCGUCAGCUCACCUUUAGCUAGUCUCCGUUUAUUUCGUAGCUUUUAUUUCGAGUUACUAACACUUAGCAACCGAACCGGUAUCUAAUACCCUGGUGCUACUAGGAGUACUAGUAAAGUACACAUUAAUAUAAUGUAUAUCAAAUAUACUUCUGUCGACCUUGCCUGCCUUCUCAUCUACCAAGUAUCUAGGGUAGUUCUGCUUCAGUGACCGUUCCCCUCAUUACAGAAGCACUUAGUCUCGGGUUUGGGUUCAACCUUGGGUUUCUUCACUAGAGCAGCAGCUGAUUUGCCGUUUCAUGAAGUAUCCCUUCUUGCCCUUGCCCUUCUUGAAACUAGUGGUUUCACCAACCAUCAACAAUUGAUGCUCCUACUUGAUUUCUACUUUUGUGGUGUCAAACAUCGCGAAUAUCUAAAGGAUCAUCAUAUAUGUCCCUGAUAUAUUAUAGUUCAUCACGAAGCUCUAGCAGCGUGGUGGUAAUGACUUCGGAGAAACAUCACUAUCUCAUUUGGAAGAUCAACUCCCACUUGAUUCAAAUGAUUGUUGUACUCAGACAAUAUGAGCACAAGCUCUGAGCUUUUCUCCUUAGUUUGCAGGCUAAGAAAAUCGUCGGAGGUCUCAUACCUCUUGACGUGGGCACGAGUCUGAAAUCCCAAUUUCAGUCCUUGGAACAUCUCAUAUGUUCUGCGAUGUUUCAAAAACGUCUUUGGUGCCUCAAUUUUAAACCAUUUAGCAUUAUGCACUGAACUAUCAUGUAGUCAUCAAAACGUGUAUGUCAGAUGUUCGCAACAUCCAUAGACGACGUUCGAGGUUCAGCACACUGAGCGGUGCAUUAAGGACAUAAGCCUUCUAUGAAGCAAUGAGGACAAUCAUCAGUUUACGGACCUAGUCCGCAUAAUUGCUACUAUCAACUUUCAACUAAUUUUUUUAGGAACAUAUCUAAACAGUAGAACUAUAGCAUGAGCUACGACAUAAUUUGCAAAAUCCUUUUGACUAUGUUCAGGAUAAUUAAGUUCAUCUUAUGAACUCCCACUCAGAUAGACAUCCCUUUAGUCAUCUAAGUGAUUACAUGAUCCGAGUCAACUAGGCCGUGUCCGAUCAUCACGUGAGACGGACUAGUCAACGUCGGUGAACAUCUUCAUGUUGAUCGUAUCUACCAUACGACUCAUGCUCGACCUUUCGGUCUUCUGUGUUCCGAGGCCAUGUCUAUACACAUGCUAGGCUCGUCAAGUCAACCUAAGUGUUUGCAUGUGUAAAUCUGUCUUACACCCGUUGUAUGUGAACGUUUGGAUCAAACACCCGAUCAUCACGUGGUGCAUUGAAACAACGAACUGUCGCAACGGUGCACAGUUAGGAGGAACACUUUCUUGAAAUUUUAAUGAGGGAUCAUCUUAUUUACUACCGUCGUUCUAAGCAAAUAAGAUGUAUAAACAUGAUAAACAUCACAUGCAAUCAAAUAGUGACAUGAUAUGGCCAAUAUCAUAUAGCUCCUUUUGAUCUCCAUCUUCGGGGCUCCAUGAUCAUCUUGUCACCGGCAUGACACCAUGAUCUCCAUCAUUGUGUCUCCAUGAAGUUGUCUCGCCAACUUAUUACUUCUACUACUACAGCUAACGGUUAGCAAUAAAGUAAAGUAAUUACAUGACGUUUAUGUUGACACACAGGUCAUAAAUAAAUUAAGACAACUCCUAUGGCUCCUGCCGGUUGUCAUACUCAUCGACAUGCAAGUCGUGAUUCCUAUUACAAGAACAUGAUCAAUCUCAUACAUCACAUAUAUCAUUCAUCACAUCCUUUUGGCCAUAUCACAUCACAUAGCAUACCCUGCAAAAACAAGUUAGACGUCCUCUAAUUGUUGUUUGCAUGUUUUACGUGGCUGCUAUGGGUUUCUAGCAAGAAUAUUUCUUACCUACGCAAAACCACAACGUGAUAUGCCAAUUGCUAUUUACCCUUCAUAAGGACCCUUUUCAUCGAAUCCGACCCGACUAAAGCGGGAGAGACAGACACCCGCCAGCCACCUUAUGCAACUAGUGCAUGUUUGUCGGUGGAACCGGUCUCACGUAAGCAUACGUGUAAGGUUGGUCCGGGCCGCUUCAUCCCACAAUACCGUCGAAUCAAGAUAAGACUAGUAACGACAAGCAUAUUGAACAAAAUCAAAGCCCACAACUUCUUUGUGUUCUACUCGUGCAUAGUAACUACGCAUAGACCUAGCUCAUGAUGCCACUGUUGGGGAACGUAGCAUAAAUUCAAAAUUUUCCUACAUGUCACCAAGAUCUAUGUAUGGAGUCAUCUAGCAACGAGGAAGGAGUGGAUCUACAUACCCUUGUAGAUCGCGCGCGGAAGCGUUCAAGAGAACGGGGUUGAUGGAGUCGUACUCGUCGUGAUCCAAAUCACCGAUGAUCGUAGCGCCGAACGGACGGCACCUCCGCGUUCAACACACGUACGGAGCAGCGACGUCUCCUCCUUCUUGAUCCAGCAAGGGGGGAGGAGAUGUUGAUGGAGAUCCAGCAACACGGCGGCGUGGUGGAAGUAGCGGGAUUCCAACAGGGCUUCGCCAAGCGCUGCGGGAGGAGGGAGAUGUGUCAUGGGAGGGAGAGGGAGGCGCCAGGGCUUGGGUAUGGUUUCCCUCCCUUCCCCCCACUAUAUAUAGGGCCAAGGGAGAGGGGGAGGGCGCAGCCUUGCCCCUUCCUCCAAGGAAGGGUGCGGCCAAGGGGGGGAGGAGUCCAUCCUCCCCAAGGCACCUCGGAGGUGCCUUCCCCCUUUAGGACUCUCCCCUCNNNNNNNNNNNNNNNNNNNNNNNNNNNNNNNNNNNNNNNNNNNNNNNNNNNNNNNNNNNNNNNNNNNNNNNNNNNNNNNNNNNNNNNNNNNNNNNNNNNNNNNNNNNNNNNNNNNNNNNNNNNNNNNNNNNNNNNNNNNNNNNNNNNNNNNNNNNNNNNNNNNNNNNNNNNNNNNNNNNNNNNNNNNNNNNNNNNNNNNNNNNNNNNNNNNNNNNNNNNNNNNNNNNNNNNNNNNNNNNNNNNNNNNNNNNNNNNNNNNNNNNNNNNNNNNNNNNNNNNNNNNNNNNNNNNNNNNNNNNNNNNNNNNNNNNNNNNNNNNNNNNNNNNNNNNNNNNNNNNNNNNNNNNNNNNNNNNNNNNNNNNNNNNNNNNNNNNNNNNNNNNNNNNNNNNNNNNNNNNNNNNNNNNNNNNNNNNNNNNNNNNNNNNNNNNNNNNNNNNNNNNNNNNNNNNNNNNNNNNNNNNNNNNNNNNNNNNNNNNNNNNNNNNNNNNNNNNNNNNNNNNNNNNNNNNNNNNNNNNNNNNNNNNNNNNNNNNNNNNNNNNNNNNNNNNNNNNNNNNNNNNNNNNNNNNNNNNNNNNNNNNNNNNNNNNNNNNNNNNNNNNNNNNNNNNNNNNNNNNNNNNNNNNNNNNNNNNNNNNNNNNNNNNNNNNNUCAGUAACUUUCCUCUCCACGUCUUUACAGAACCUCCGUCGGUUCCACUCCGUCGCAUGAGUUUUAUGCUUCUCUCCCCAGUCUGUGAUCGACCGAUUCUUCUGCCGGCUCAUCCUGCAAGGCAUAAGCAACAAGAAUCAUCAUAAGCACAAUGAGAUCAUCAUAAGCAACAAGAAACGUGAUAAGCGUAAUGAAAUCAUGGGCACGGAGAACAAAGCGCUCACAGGUGGAGCGCGUGGCCGCCGGUAUCGAUGGGCUGGCCUGGUGGGGUAUGCUGAUAAAUCCCAAAUUGUGUGGCCACGCGGUGUGGCAAGUGCCACUCGACGGCGUACACACAUAUCAUGGGCACGAUGCACCGCCAGAGACCACAGUCCGCAUCGCACAUCACGUUCAGAUCAAAGCCCCACUGUCAGUCAUGAUAUGGCCACCAGUUUACCUGUUACAUAUACAUUGGUAAGUUCCCACUCUCGAUCAAAAGUGGAAUCAAAGAGAAAGGUGUUGAGCGAGUUCAUAUACCUGCAUAUGCGUCAAAGCGUCCAACUCGUUGGUGUAGGUCUUGUACGAAGUCUUGUUUAGGCCCGUGUAGAGUUUGACAACGUCCCACUCGUAAGCUACGGUGGGGUGUCGAGUCUCGUCGCCGUCUUCGCUAUAGGCACCCCACGGGCGUCUUGGCAACUUCUUCGGACGCCCCACCGGCAGCCGCUCCUACAUCCAAAUGGAGAAGGCCCAGACAAAGCCACCCAUAUUGGACUUGUCUCCCGUCCUCUGCGUUGCGUCGUCAAGCUGCAAAACAUCAAAUGAGGAUCAAAUAUAAGAAAAUGUCAUGGACACACUUUCGUAGGUAGGUAGGCAAUUAGAUCCUCUCUUACCGAACGGUAUAGGUAGGCGAGAGAUGCGGUCCCCCAACUGUACCCUGCCUCCCAGUCCGCUAGGAAGAAGAGAUACGACCAGUUGGCAGAGUUCCCAGAGCUGUCUGGAAACACGACCUCCAUGAGAAGAUACCACAGGUAGGCCCUCGCAUACCACUCCAUGGUCGUCUCGUCGUCGCCUUUGGGGCAUUUCUGCCGGUGCUCCGAGAGCCAGGUCAGUGGCACACCGGAUGUACAGUUACCCUUGACAGCGGGGCAGUCGCCGAUGAGGUGGAACCGGUCUCACGUAAGCAUACGUGUAAGGUUGGUCCGGGCCGCUUCAUCCCACAAUACCGUCGAAUCAAGAUAAGACUAGUAACGGCAAGCAUAUUGAACAAAAUCAAAGCCCACAACUUCUUUGUGUUCUACUCGUGCAUAGUAACUACGCAUAGACCUAGCUCAUGAUGCCACUGUUGGGGAACGUAGCAUAAAUUCAAAAUUUUCCUACGUGUCACCAAGAUCUAUGUAUGGAGUCAUCUAGCAACGAGGAAGGAGUGGAUCUACAUACCCUUGUAGAUCGCGCGCGGAAGCGUUCAAGAGAACGGGGUUGAUGGAGUCGUACUCGUCGUGAUCCAAAUCACCGAUGAUCGUAGCGCCGAACGGACGGCACCUCCGCGUUCAACACACGUACGGAGCAGCGACGUCUCCUCCUUCUUGAUCCAGCAAGGGGGGAGGAGAUGUUGAUGGAGAUCCAGCAACACGGCGGCGUGGUGGAAGUAGCGGGAUUCCAACAGGGCUUCGCCAAGCGCUGCGGGAGGAGGGAGAUGUGUCAUGGGAGGGAGAGGGAGGCGCCAGGGCUUGGGUAUGGUUUCCCUCCCUUCCCCCCACUAUAUAUAGGGCCAAGGGAGAGGGGGAGGGCGCAGCCUUGCCCCUUCCUCCAAGGAAGGGUGCGGCCAAGGGGGGGAGGAGUCCAUCCUCCCCAAGGCACCUCGGAGGUGCCUUCCCCCUUUAGGACUCUCCCCUCCUCUUGUCCCUUUGGCGCAUGGGCCUCUUGGGGCUGGUGCCCUUGGCCCAUAUAGGCCAAGGCGCACCCCCUACAGCCCAUGUGGCCCCCCGGGGCAGGUGGCCCCACCCGGUGGACCCCCGGGACCCUUCCGGUGGUCCCGGUACAAUACCGAUGACCCCGAAACUUGUCCCGAUGACCGAAAUAGCACUUCCUAUAUAUAAUUCUUUACCUCUGAACCAUUCCGAAACUCCUCAUGACGUCCGGGAUCUCAUCCGGGACUCCGAACAACUUUCGGGUUACCGGAUACUAAUAUCUCUAUAACCCUAGCGUCACUGAACCUUAAGUGUGUAGAUCCUACGGGUUCGGGAACCAUGCAGACAUGACCGAGAUGACUCUCCGGUCAAUAACCAACAACGAGAUCUAGAUACCCAUGUUGGCUCCCACAUGUUCCACGAUGAUCUCAUCAUAUGAACCACGAUGUCAAGGACUUAAUCAAUCCCGCAUACAAUUCCCUUUGUCUAUCGGUAUGUUACUUCCCCGAGAUUCGAUCGUCGGUAUCCCGAUACCUUGUUCAAUCUCGUUACCGGCAAGUCUCUUUACUCGUUUCGUAACAUAUCAUCCCGUGAUCAACUCCUUGAUCACAUUGUGCACAUUAUGAUGAUGUCCUACCGAGUGGGCCCAGAGAUACCUCUCCGUUUACACGGAGUGAUAAAUCCCAGUCUCGAUUCGUGCCAACCCAACAGACACUUUCGGAGAUACCUGUAGUGUUCCUUUAUAGCCACCCAGUUACGUUGUGACGUUUGGCACACCCAAAGUAUUCCUACGGUAUCCGGGAAUUGCACAAUCUCAUGGUCUAAGGAAAUGAUACUUGACAUUAGAAAAGCUUUAGCGAACGAACUACACGAUCCUUGUGCUAGGCUUAGGAUUGGGUCUUGUCCAUCACAUCAUUCUCCUAAUGAUGUGAUCCCGUUAUCAACGACAUCCAAUGUCCAUGGUCAGGAAACCGUAACCAUCUAUUGAUUAACGAGCUAGUCAACUAGAGGCUUACUAGGGACAUGGUGUUGUCUAUGUAUCCACACAUGUAUCUGAGUUUCCUAUCAAUACAAUUCUAGCAUGGAUAAUAAACGAUUAUCAUGAACAAGGAAAUAUAAUAAUAACUAAUUUAUUAUUGCCUCUAGGGCAUAUUUUCAACACAUGCAUCAUAUCAAAAUAAAAUUUUAAGCAUAUUCCUCCAACAACAACUACUACACAUGAUGGAUCAAAUCAUAUCAACAUGCAUCAUAUCAAAAAAUAUCCUCCAACAUACAUCAUAUCAUCAUAUUUUUAAAUAAAUUUUUCCAAACAACAUCUUCAUAUCAUCAUAUCAACAUGCAUCAUCAAACUAGGGGUCAUCUUCACACUAGAUCAUAUCAUCAUAUCAACAUGCAUCAUCAAACUAGGGUUCAUCCUCAUAUCAACAUUACAUCAUAAUUUUUUUAACAAAAGAAAAUUAUAAACUAGGGUUCAUCUUCACACUAACAUAUGAACUAUUGAUUAGAGUUCAUAUCCAAUACCACUAGUUACUGAAGAACUAAGAACUACAACUACAAUCAAUCUUAGGUGAAAAAAAUCCAAUCUAAGUUAAAAAAUAUGAGGGAUUUCAAGCAAAUAAUGUGUCGAAUCGGAAGCAAAUUUGCAAAAACUAAUUGGAGGGAUUGGAGGAGCUUACGUUUCUCUCUUCGGGGCCAUCUCGAUCCGCAAAAACGAUCAACAAACGAUGAAGAUCCGAGAAAGGGAGUGGAGAAGAUGAGAGAGGAAGAGAGGGGCGACUUGGGGGAGAAAAAGAAGAAAUGCCGACGGGGGGAGGGGGAGGGGUGGGGAGAUGGGCAGGGGCGCGGGGAUUUCAGCGGAAAUAACUGCCCGGACCCUACCGCCAGGGCCCCUGGCGGUAGGGUUAGACAGGCUACCGCCAGGUGCCCUGGCGGCAGGGUGCGACGGAGAGGGACGGCGGCCGUUUCCGCGUGCUGACGUGAAUAAGUACCCUACCGUCAGGGGCCCUAUCGGUAGGCUGUCUGCCUCUGACAGUAAGAAAAAUGGUCAAAUCCUGAAAAAAAUUUAAAUCAGGGUUAGAUCUUAAAAUUGUUCGUCAAAAGAGUCAAAACACAAAAUUUUGCCUACGGCCGUGCGCACAUAUAUGCCCAUGGCCACGCAUGCUCGCACAUGUCGUACGUCCCUCCGUAGCCCAGAGCCUUGCAUGAGGCACGCCGCGGUACAGCAUGGCGAGUCCACGACGCGCAGUCUCCGACCGGCCGCCGAACACCCGAGCAUGGCGAGUGCUAGAACCAUGAUCCUAGCUACGUGCCAACCGGCCGACAGCGCGGGACAACGCACGAGUCGCCAGCAUUAGCAGCUCAUCCCCACUUCCUCGGACAACCCGUGCACACACAUGCGGUGCCCAUGCGAGCUACCACGUGUCGUCCCUCCAGAGGCUUGCAUGCACGACGCGCGUCGACAGAGCAGGAACGAGGAGAGGUACACGCGCCGGCUCCCGGCCACCCGACGCACCUCCUCGCCGGCUAUAUAAAGGCGACGCCGAUGGCUCCUCCGCCAUCAGCAUCAGGCAAUCACAGAGCACCACGAGCAAUCGCAUACCAAAACCUACGUCCGCUUACGGUUUCCGUUUAGCUAGCUCCCAGGCAGCGAGCAAUGGCUUCCGGUCAGCAGGAGAGGUCGGAGCUGGACCGCAUGGCCCGCGAGGGGGAGACCGUCGUCCCCGGCGGCACCGGUGGGAAGAGCCUCGAGGCGCAGGAGCACCUCGCCGACGGUAUGCUUCCUCUACUUGCGUUUCGCCUGAGCGACCUGUGACUUCUGGUACUCAUUACUGGCGUUGUUGUGUACGCAUUUGUGCAGGGCGCAGCCGCGGCGGGGAGACUCGGAAGGAGCAGCUCGGGGAGGAGGGGUACCGCGAGAUGGGGCACAAGGGCGGGGAGACUCGCAAGGAGCAGCUCGGGGAGGAGGGGUACCGCGAGAUGGGGCGCAAGGGCGGGCUGAGCACCAUGGAGGAGUCUGGUGGCGAGCGCGCCGCCAGGGAGGGCAUCGAGAUCGAUGAGUCCAAGUUCAAGACCAAGUCCUAAGUAAUGUAGGUCAAGAUGUCCCAGUGUCUAGCUGAGUAGCUAGCUAGUAGUGAGCAAGCUGUCUGCUCAUGUUUGUAGUAAUGAAUAAUGUAGGUCAAGGUCAGGUCUUGGCAUGACGAGAGCACGCAUGUAGGCGAUCGCAUGUACUGUUAUCAUGUGUGCGUUAGGUGUCUUAGCUUGUAGUAGUGACCAUGUGUUCUUCAGGUGUCCUAGCUUGUAGUAGGUGUCGUUGUGGCCCGUGAGUCAGCUUGCUAAUGUAUGUGAGUCGUUGUUAAAUCAGGUCGAUGUUGAAUCAGAACGUGGGCUCUUAAAUUGUUUUCUUGAACUGGGUAGAGAGAAACAACUCCCGGCCGUACUGGUACAUGAACAAAUGGUUGCUGGUUGGCAUCAUCGAUGGCAAGGUAUUUCCGAGGAACGACAUGGGAGGAGGGAUGCACGGCCGAGGAUGAGGGCCUCGGGUGUGGGGAAGCAGAAAGAGCAUGUGCCACAUUGGUCGGUGCAUAGUCUAUGUUGGUGUGGGUUAGGUUUAGGGCCAUGAAUGACAUCUUGGCAAGCAGAAGAGCAUGUGCCACAUUGGUCGGUGCAUAGUCGAUGUUGUUGUGGAUUAGGGUUUAGGGCCAUGAAUGACAUCUGGGCAAGCAGAAGAGCAUGUGCCACAUUGGACGGUGCAUGACUAGUUGAUGUUGGUGUGGGUCAGGCCGUUAGGGUUUACGGCCAUGAAUGACAUCUAGUUAAGCAUUGCAAGAAAAUAUAGCACGGCCAAUGCCAUCUGCUUAAGCAUUGCAAGAAAAUAUAGCACGGCCAUGUGACUAUUUACAAAUUUUCUAAGUAUAAUGAUAUCCAUUAUCUCAGGAUUUUUUUCCCUUUUGUAAAUUUGCCAUGUGAUGACUGCAACAUUUUCAAAAUUUGCCAUGCUCUAGAGAAACAUUUCCCCCCUUAAUUUGCCAUGUGACUAUUAAAAAAACCUAAAUCGUUGCCAUGAUUUUAGGAAACACAAUUUGUGCCAUGUGAUCAGUAUAAACAUUUCAAACUUUACCAUGUUCUAGAGAACAAAUUUUCUUAAAUUUUGCCAUGUGAAUAUCUUACAUUUUUUCCUAAAUCUUGCUAUGAUUUAGGAAUUAAAAUUAUCUCAAUUUUUAAGCUAACACUGCAAACCUUUCCAAGUUUACCAUUUUUUAGAAAACAAAAUUUCUUAAAUUUCACGUCUGACUAAUCUUUUCAACAAAAUUUGUAAAUCUUACCAUGGUUUAGUAGUCGAAAAUAUCUCAAUUUCCAUGUGACCAUGGCAACUCAUUUGAUUGUUUCUAUUUUUUUUCCUAUUUAUUCCCCUACAUUGUGGGAACUUCCGAANNNNNNNNNNNNNNNNNNNNNNNNNNNNNNNNNNNNNNNNNNNNNNNNNNNNNNNNNNNNNNNNNNNNNNNNNNNNNNNNNNNNNNNNNNNNNNNNNNNNNNNNNNNNNNNNNNNNNNNNNNNNNNNNNNNNNNNNNNNNNNNNNNNNNNNNNNNNNNNNNNNNNNNNNNNNNNNNNNNNNNNNNNNNNNNNNNNNNNNNNNNNNNNNNNNNNNNNNAACGUUUUUCAAAUUAUGCGAGCUUGAAAAAUGUCCUUAUGUUUGGGACAGAGGGAGUAUUUUACAACAUGGCAACCUCCUUCUAUCCAUAUGUCUCGAAAAAUUGCCAUGCUUUUAUACCAUUAGGGGGGGAGGGGGGGUGUUUCCUCUUGGUUUUCUUCUACUCUCGGCAACUUUUUGGAUAUGUUUUGUAUAUAAUUUGUCAUGUCAUAAUAGUAACCGUUGAUUUUCUUAAAUAGUGGGUCACAAUAACUCUUACCAAAAAGGCACUGCGCCCUGCUUUAUAAGUAAAGCCCAUAAGGAUACAAUCAACCGAAACCAGAAGUUCAUAAACAUACAACAAGGUUCAAAAUAAAUGUACGAAAAGUACGUGCUGCAGGCACAGAAGAAUAAGCCCACAAUCGCUAACUUAAGUAUCAAGGAGGAUAAAUGACCAUGAGUAACAGGGUCGUCACCUACUCCUUGUGCUUCCUGGUCAGGUUGUGGAUAGCAGCCUUAUCCCGUCAUUUGCUUGGGUCUUAGUAACUCUUAUCUUUCAUGUGAACGAGGAGGUAAAAGCGAUCAUGUUAAAUUUAGUUAUGGUUUGUAUAUAGUCAUGUCGUAAUGGUAAUUUCAUAUGUUCUUUUAUCUAGUUGUCAUGAUACUGUGAUUUUUAGAUUUUUUUUAGAAAAACACUAUGAUUUUUACAUCUGCAUUUUUAUUGGCCAAAACAGCAGUCACUUUUGGUCCAACGGGUUGGGCAUGUCUUUUCUAUUUCGUUCGUGCAGAAAGGUCAUUGAUAGCAAACACCUGGAGAGAACAUCAUCAUUCUCUCAUUCCAUGCUACCUGAGACCCUUCCUAGUGCUCCAUGAUGUGCAGGUGGUAAAGCUGCCACGUAUGAAAAAAAAAUGAUGUGACAAAGCGAUUAAAAAGAAGAGAGCUUUAUGCUGACUUUAGAAAGAAACUUUGCUAAGUGCGUGGGUCUAUACAAAAUGACUAUCAACUAUACCUGGCCAUAGCCAGCCCGGCCCAAACGGCCGGACCGAAAAAGCCCGACCUGGCCCCAACACGACGCUGCUCUCGGGCCAGGCCCAGGCCUAGAUUUUGAGCCCGAAGGCCGGGCCAGGCCCGGGCCUAGGCCCAUAGUUUUUGUGAUUUAUCGAAGAGGCCCAACCCGAGGUCUGGCGGGCUUUUACACUUGCGGGCCGGGCUUGGGCCUAAUUUUCUAGGCCCGAUGCCCUGGUCGGGCCGACCCGGGCCUGGGUUUUCUGCGUCGGGCUUGACCAGGUAUACUACCCACCAAUACAUGAAGGUCUUUAGGUGUUAAAAUAUUAAAUGAAGAAGACUUAGCUACAAAAGCUAAGCACCACAACGAAAAAAAUUAGUUGCUAAGCUUUUUACUGCAUUUAGCAUCUUAACUUAGCACCAAUCCAUAUCGUUCCCUCGGGAACCUCUUGAGAUAACAUUCCCCCAUAUUAGCAUUCAAAACAUGGAUAUGGAGUUUUUGUACCUGAGGUAAGAAAAGGUACUAUUUAAAAAAAACAUUUUUUCUACUAAACAUUGAUGGAUAUUUAAGCUGCACGAUAAAUUGCUCUUGAAAAAAAACUGCACGAUAAAUGUGCAGUUGAAAUAUUCAUCAAUGUUUAUAAAAAAUAAUCAGAAUUUACUUUUAAAUUUCUUAUUAUUUGUUUUGAAGUUUUACUGUUCGUAAGGGAGCAUGUAAGCUCAGAAUCAAAAGAGCAUUUUUGCCAUAAAAACAAAAAAAGUGUAUAAUAGUGCUUGCUUUUGGCAGAAUAUAAACAGAAAUGCACCAAAGUGAACAAGCACCCGGUGCUCUAGAAAUUCCAAACUGCCGGAUGCUGUAUACGGAGUCCGUAGGGCUAGUCCAUGCAUGCCUGGUCUCCCCCCGACCGGGCGCCAAACAAGAGCUGGCAUGACAAGGAGUGCUCCACGACCACCACCCUACGUGACGUGGCGACCCAACGACAAUGCAGGACAACGCAGGUGUCCUAGCUCCUUCCGGUCACUUCCUGGUUCUCGGAGAUAACCACGCCCUACGCCCGUCGCAGGCAUGCGCCCAUGCGCGCUCGCACGUGUCGCCCCACAAGAGACUCGCAUGGCGCGCGCCGACACAUCAGAGGCACACGCGCCGGCACUCCGCGCCGUGACGCGCCCUCCUCCGCCGCUAUAAAAGGGCCACGCCGGUGCCUCAUGCCCUCAUCCUUCAUCAGCAUCAGGCAAUCACCAACACCUUACAAGCAGUCACACAACGUUUCCCAGCUGAGGUUGUGGUAGCAAGGCAGAGAGAGCAAUGGCUUCCGGCCAGCAGGAGAGGUCGCAGCUGGACCGCAAGGCCCGCGAGGGCGAGACCGUCGUCCCCGGCGGCACCGGCGGGAAGUCCCUCGAGGCGCAGCAGAACCUCGCCGAAGGUACGUGCAUGCGUGAGAAAUGUCGUUGUACUAUACUCGAGCGAUCUGUGGCUUCCAAUACUGAUUGCUAGUAUUGCUGUAUUUGUGCAGGGCGCAGCCGUGGCGGGCAGACUCGCAGGGAGCAGAUGGGGGAGGAGGGGUACAGCGAGAUGGGUCGCAAGGGCGGGCUGAGCACCAACGACGAGUCCGGCGGCGAGCGCGCGGCCAGGGAGGGCAUCGACAUCGACGAGUCCAAGUUCAAGACCAAGUCCUAGAUGAUCCGUUAGCCUAGCAAGCAAGAUGACUCUGCUUAGGUCGGCUGUUGGUUUGCCCUAGCGUCCACGUACCGAAUAAUGUAGUUCAGGCGCACGUAGGCGAUCGUACGUAGUAUCAUCAUGUGUGCUUCGUAACCGGUAGUCCGUAGCUACUCUACGGUGAGUAGCGUCAGGUCAAGUCGGAAGCUGUGGCUUGGUCAGGUGGCUGGUCUGCCUCUGGGCCCAGGAGUGUCUGCAGUGUCCACUGUAUCCUUGCUUCUUCAGUAAUGUAUGUCGUCUUGCUCAAAUAUGUCUUGUCUCGUUUGAUCUGUGUUGAUUCCUGGUGCUACUGGGUGUAGACCUUGUUGCUCGUAGAGCUAUCACCGGCUCAUAGAACACCAUGAGCAGUCGCUGACUGCCAAACCAUGCAUGAACGUGUACCUUCAUGGCUUUGCUCCGCACCUGCGUCUAUACAUUUGACACGAAAGAUGAAAUACCAGAGCAGAACGAUCGAUCUCUCAGACAUGACCCAGAUGCGGGGAGCACUUGAUCAAGUCCGAGCGUUUCCGAUCCCUGCCUGUCAUGUCGCGGUUAUCGCUUGCUGUUGGUAGUGGGGGUGAUCAAGGGGGAGCCGUUGAGGAUCCUGCCCACCCGAAGCUUUCCAACGGCGGCGCGAUCGUGGACUUCAAGCCAUCUGGGAAUUUUGCAGGUUUUCAGAGGGCGGUUCCAAGCAAUGGCAAUGGACUGUCGGAGGAAGAUGGUCUACCAGUUGGAGAGGAUGCGCACAUCGGGGAUGAAGCGGACAUGGACGACGUUGCGUUUGUUGCAGUGGACUUUGAGGAGGAGGAUGAAAACAUCGAGCCGGGUUGGAAGCUGAUGAGCCUAUACAGAUCACAAAAACGGCCAAGCGCGAAGACGCUGUCGGAUCACUUUGAGAAAAUUUGGCAGCUACGUACAGGAGUUGAGUUUAAGCCCGUACAGAAAAAUUACUUUGUGAUCUUUUUUCUCUGAAGGGGACUACAGAUUCGUUGCUAGGGGAGGGCCAUGGAUAUACGAUGGAGAUGCUUUGUUGUCAGGAUGUAAAUGGUCAGCCUGAUGUUGUGGGACUGCCCGCACUGGCCACAACAACUUUUUAUGUGGGAUUACGCGGGAGCCCAGUUAAUUUUCAUGCGGGACAUGUGGCGUCCACAUACUGCCCCAUAUAUUUACAAAGCUUAGACUGGAUAAGCUGACAUACAAAAGAUCACUAGAACUUCCACACUGACAUACAAAGCAUGUGGUGUCUGGAAGUAUAUACAUACGUACAGAAAGUGUGACAAAAACAAAUGGCAGUAGAUACAAAGUGAAAAUGGCAAACAGUGGAUAAUAUUAGCCCACAUUGACAUAACCAUCGCUACUAAUUAUCACUAGUGAGUUCGAGCUUCAUUCAGUAGUCGCCUCUAGAAUAACAAAAUCCACAAAACAUCGGCAACUUAACUAAAAACGUCUAUCAAAGCAGCAGAAAUAUCUUCUGUAUGUGAAAAAAAGGAAUAUGCAACACACUCCCCAUCCUUCAUAUCCCAAAAUUAACAAAAAGCACCUGGAGUUCUAGACUCAAAACGGUACCAAAUGAUAAAACUAUCAGCUAAGAGCAUCUUCCAUUCUUCUGUUAGCUUUGUGUCGGGCGACCUUUGUACAUCAAGCUAUGCUCACUGGUAUAUAUAGGUUUCAAUAAUUUUUUUUGUUUUUGAUAUAUUAAACAUUUGUUUCGCGACGCACUCUAUAACUCCCGUGCGUUAACGUCAAUUAUAAUAGUAAAGUCAUAAACUACAUAAUUGGCAAUACAAACUAUAUAUAACUAACCCGUCAAUGCCUACUUAUCUACAUCAGCGCUAAUACGGAUUCAUCUGAAGCCCUAACUCCAUUAAUGAUGAGGCUAUCUAAAACAUCUUCUUCUACCAUUGGCAAUGGCAAAGAAGUAGGUCAUUGGGGAGUCCCCUUUAAGAGUCCAAUUGAGGGUACCAUGCUGACGCCAAUAUAUAUCUGCCUGCUGAUGCAGCUGCACCAGAGCGGAUUCAAGGUUGUAUUGGACUGACCAAUCAUGCUUCGAGAGGCCUAUCACAUCUGCUAAAAGUUCCACGCCCGCGAUCUGGGCCUCUAAAGAUUUUUUUCUCCCUGCGGGUCUCCGCUGCUCUGUUAAGAGACCAACCCCUAAGAAACUUACGAAGCUCAUAUCAGCAUUUGUGCCAGUCGUCCAUGGGCCCAAAGGAUCGAUGUGAAGGGUUAAGAAGGCUAGAAAUCUAGGUGGCAAGAUUAUUGAUGAAUCCCUCCACUAGAAGCCAGGAAGCAUCGAAUUGGAAGGGCGAAGAGGUCAUAUGUUGGUUUAAGCCAGCGUCCAAAAUGGAGGGGAGCAUGAACUAUAUAUAUUUAAAUACUUUUUUUUGUUUUGGAUAUAUUAAACAUAUGUUUUGCGACGCACCCUUGAUCUCGAAAUAUCACGUCAAUUAUAACUGUAAAGUCAUGAACUACAUAAUUGGCAAUACGAACUAUAUAUAACUAUCAUACGUCAAUGCUGCAGUUGUAGCCAAGAAAAAUGGACAAUAGAUGAUUUUGUUUUUCAACACGGCUCAAUAAAAAGCUCGUUUCCCUCGGUCCUUUUAUCUACAUUUGGAAUAAUAAUGUAUUCACACAGAACAAUCAUUUCUGUUAAAGUGUGUUUUCUUUUUGCUUGUCAACUCUAAGUGUAGCCAUUAUGGCAGUAUGUGUUUUUUGUACGCUUACUUAAUUCGGGAUAUCUGGUUUUAUACAAAGGUUGAUUUUUUUCGAUUCUUUGAGAUUGAACUGUAAAUAUGGCAUGCCUUAGUAACAAUAUAUUCAACUAUAAAAAAGGAGAAAGAUCUGAUACGCCCCCGUCACGUUUUUUUAUAAUUAGAAAGAAUCAUCUACGUCUUAAAAAUGACUUGAUAUAUUUGGCAGGCAAUAAAAAGCAUUAAAAAUAUAUCCGUUUAUAUAUAUGCUGCAUAGACAUCCUAAUUGCCAAGACACCUCAUAGAACGAUCACUCACGCGUAUCGAUCAGCGAUGGAGCCCAUCAUUGGAAACAAUGCGCCGGCGGUCCAGGUUGUGGCAGCGCGCACUUACGAGGAGGUUUCUGUGCCCAGGCCCCUGGAUGCCGCUGCCCCCGACCCCAAUGAGGCUGCCCUCCAGAUACACGAUGCUGUGGCCGACCCCCAGGAGGAUUUGCCCGUACCCCUGCAUCUUCUUUCCCCACCAAGGCAUUUCGUGGAAGAUGCACUCGAAUAUAUAUUCGGCUUCAUGAACGGAAUUCAUGAUGAGCAGACACUAGAGUAAGUUAUGGUAUUGUAUGUUUAUUUUCUCUAAAGAAAUCUUAUUAGAACUAGGUCGUACACAGCAGACUCUGUUUGAUAUAGGAGUAUGAUAUUGCUUGAUUUGUUUUUCUUUAGAUUAAAUCUUACUUUUUGCGGCCAGCAGUACAAAAUUAUUUUUUGUUAAAUGUUUUGGCAGUAUUUCCGUUGCACAUCUACAGUAUGUAAUGAAUAACAAAAUUCUAAUAUUAUUUGCAGUACAAAUGUUGAACAACUUAAUGUCCUUACUAUAUUGUAAAACAAUUUAAUAUUGUUUUUGAACAACCAGCAAACUUGGUAUAAUGGGUGCUACCUAAAUUUUCCUGCUCUUAAUUUCUAACAAAUUAAUAUUGUUCUUACAGAUAAGUUAUUAUUUAAUUUUAGCUUUUGCUAGAAGGUGCUGAAACAAUUUUCAUGCUCUAUAGUUUAUCAAAAUAUUACGUUCUGCUCAUAGCUAUUAGAAUAUCUAGAAAAUGUUACCAUAUGAACAAUUUUAUGUUUUAAAGUACCACUCAUAUUGCUAACCAUUUUUAUGUAUUUUUACGUGCAGCUCAAUCUGGAUAAGAAGCGAUACACCGUACUGGGUCGAAAUCAGCCUCAGAAUGCUGAAGGACACACUAUUUGUAACGUCCGCAAGUCUACAUCCCGAUUGCUUCAAUCUCGCUGUUCGUAAGCUUGCUAGCGCUGAAGUAGAGAGGCAUGCAGGCACCAACAUGGUUGGAGGAAAACAUUAUUUUGACUUGCAGUUCCAUGCUCAAUCACGAGCUCUAAGGUAUUCAUGGAUGCCGCAAGGGCAGCGCACCUCGAUGCUGAUCAACAAUGCUGUUCUACAGCCCUUUCCUCGAUAUGAUGUGUUCAACCCCACAAUUGUAAGAGUUUUUAAUUCCUAAAUUAUUUUUUCUUUCCUGAUAGCAAGGAACGUGUGUUGACCUUAUGUAGUAUCUACUUCCGUUGUCUAUCCCGGAUUCCUCGUAUGGUCUACUUGUGGUAAAUCGGAUGAGGAGAAGGGUUAUCGUAUUUAAUCCAUCACUAGACGUACGACAAGUGGGAAAUAGCUCUCACAACAAAGAGAUGAUGAAGGAAAUCACUAUUUUGAAGCAAGAACUCAAUGAAGUGUUGCAGGCUAGGGUCCUUGAAUGGAACACCGAACUCAUGGAUUGGCAACAAGACAACAUGUCAUUCAAUUUUCGGCGGUAAUUUAAUAAUUUUUUCAGAUGAAUAAGAUGCAGUAUGUAGAAAUCUCAAGUUUUUAUUCUGUUUGUCACAGCAAAGACUCGGGUUUCUUAGUUCUACAAGAGAUGGCCCACCAGCUAGGUUCUUUGCGUAGCAUGACCUGGAUGAACACUACAGUAAUUAUCUUUAUGACGAGUUUUAAUGUGCCAUUUAUAAUCCAACCACUUCGGCGUUUCAUGGUGAAUUUGUUUCAUUGUUUCUAGGAUCCAAUUAUGCUCAGGAGCCAAGUGGUAGUCCAGAUGCUCAUGGUCAAAGACAAUCUAGCUGCUGGAAACAUCCCUCAGGAGAUUACGGCGGCCUUGAGGGUUUUGAACAACUAAAUAUGCUUCUAUGCAUGCAGAACCAUCAGGAAUACUUCAAUCAUCUUGUCAUGUUUGGUUAUGGAUUGAAACUAUAAUUUUUGUUUUUGGGUUUACAAUAUUUAAGAACUAAUUGAAGUUUUGGUACUACUACAAGUUGGUUUUGCUGUUAUGUUUGUUGUUUUGGUAAUUUCUGUUUGUCUCACGUCAAUGAUCAUUGAGCCACAUUUGAUAGCUAAAAAACAAUCUCACCCACAAUCAUUUCUCCUACCCUAUGAGGAUUCAACCGCUCCGACAACAAAGCAACUUAUUCCGGCGAGGGAUCUAGCUUCUCAAGCUAGAAAUCGAGCUUCACAUUCCGGUUCCCGAUCAGUGUUGCAAUCGAUAGAGGAUGAGGGAGAGAGGCGCCAUGACGCAUCAAGGAUAGAGGACGAGGGGGAGAGGUGGCAUCAGUAGACUAUGCACAUACCGAUCUUUAGUAGGGGAACCACAAUAUGUCCCUGUGUUUAAGUGGGCCAGGGCAGAGCAUCUGGGCUAUUUCCUCACACUAAAGAAUUAAAGCCUAACGCUUGUGACGUAGAUAUCUAAAUAAUUGUUGGCCAAAUGCAUGAUUAGCGCGUAGCGCUUUCCUGAUAAUUUUUCCCGAGGCAGCUGGGUUAUGACGGGAGUGCAAGCUCAGACAGAUUCACUCAACUAGGUCCAGGCUGUUAACACCAGCGACCUUGACCUCGCUGCCAAUGGAGUGUUGUUCAAAGAAAUAAUAUUCUUUGCUAGAUUAAAUUUUAACCAAGUGGUAUUUUCGUUUUUCCCCAGGAUGUGUAAUAAAGUAAUGUAUGCGUUAGCCCCAGUCACGUGGCAGGAUCAAGCACCUGAGUUUGUGGACGCCCUUGUAGCUAGCGACUCUGCUGAGCUGUCUGGUUAAUGGUAAGCUUGAUUCCCACCACAAAAGAAAUGUGGAGAAAAUAUUUAUUAGAGGAAAGGCACCGGCCCCCACAGUUGAAAUCAGGGGGGGGGGGCAAAUUUGAUAGGGAAAUAAAUCAGGGCCCCACCAUUCAAAUCAGGGGUCGGAGAUUUAUUUAGAGGGGGACAAACACUGGGCCCCACAAAACACGCAGCCAACAACGCUUUCUGGGUGGGCAUCGAGUGUUGCACUUCCUCACGACAGAGUAAGUCCGGUUUCUUUGAUUUUUUCGUUUGGGAAAGUUAUGGGGUAAGGGAGACAUAAUUUAGGCAACUUUUAUUCUGUUACUAGUUUUUUGCAUAGUCUAAUCAAAACAAAUAUCUUGCUGAUUUUGUUGAUAGUACUUUUUUAUGGAAACAUGCAAAUAAGAAAGGACAGGGUGCACCUUCCUAACUGUUGUCGCACAAUUCCCCACGGCCUCAUAUAUACUCAAUAAAAUCCUACGGGCUCCUUCCUCUCUCGCUUUACCAGUUGUACGGCCGACUUUUUGCCCCGUCAAUGGAAGCAAUGGCAAAUUUUGGGGGAGUGCGACACGCCGUCAACUACAUUGUCGGGUGGUAGGUGCGACAUAUGCCAAUGGGUGGCUUAUCAUUGUGGGAGCCAGUAAAACAUCGCCGGUGCCUGGAAACGGGAUGAGGCGAAGACAUGCACGCCGGUGCCUGGACCGGCUGGGCUCGGCCUUCUUCUGGGCGUUGGACUACGAUGACGGUGCUGACCACCCGGCUAGUUGCGGCAAUGUAAAGGAGCAUGGGCUCUUUCUCAGUCGGCGCCGCUAGGAUGGGCGGCGUGGCCAGCAUCUUCUUCGGCUCAUGAAAAGCUUGGUCGGCCUGGUCGUUCCACUCGAAGUGAGUGCUCUUCUUCAUGAGGCGGUAGAGGGGAAGAGCUUUCUCUCUGAGCCGGCUGAUGAAGCGGUUCAAGGAGGCCAAGCAUCUGGUGAACUUUUGGAUGUCUCGAAGCUUGGUGGGGAUCGCCAUUCUCUCGAUGGCCUUGAUCUUCACCGGGUUGCAUUCGAUGCCGCGUUCGGAGACCAGGAAGCCUAGGAGCUGGCCGGCUGGCACUCCGAACACGCAUUUCUCGGGGUUGAGCUUGAUUUGGAACCGGCGUAGGUUCUCAAACGUUUCUUUGAGGUCUUCCAGCAAGGUGCCGCGCUUCUCCGUCUUCACCACAAUGUCGUCCACGUAGACAUGAGCGUUUCUGCCGAGUUGCUUGAGGAGGCACGUCUGCAUGCAACGCUGAAAAGUGGCACCGGCAUUUCUCAAGCCGAAUGUCAUAGUCAGGUAGCAGAAGGCUCCAAAUGGCGUGAUGAAGGCGGUCUUCAGGCGGUCGUCCGGAUCUAGCUUUAUCUGGUGAUAUCCUGAGUAAGCAUCCAAGAAACUCAACAGCUCGCAUCCGGCCAUGGAGUCUAUCACUUGGUCAAUCCUCGGCAGGGCAAAGAGAUCUUUAGGACAGGCCUUGUUGAGGCUUGUGUAGUCUAUACACAUGCGCCACUUGUUGUUCUUCUUUAACACGAGGACCGGGUUGGCAAGCCACUCUAGAAAGAAGACUUCCAUAAUGAAGCCGGCUGCCAGAAGCCAGGCUAUCUCCUCCCCUACAAUCCUUCUCUUUUCCUCUGAUAGUCGGCGGAGGGGCUGCUUGACUGGUUUCGCGUCUUUUUGGACGUGUAGUUUGUGCUCGGCGAAUUCCUUCGGAACACCUGGCAUGUCCUUGGGGGACCAUGCAUAGAUGUCCCGAUUCUCACGGAGGAAAUCGGCAAGCUCGCCUUCCUAUUUGCUGUUCAGGCUUGCCCCGAUGACGGCUAACCUCUCGGGGUGCUCGGGGUCAAGGGGUAUCUUCUUGGUUUCUUUGGCCGGCUGGAAAGAUCCUUGGGCAUCAUACUCCUUGGGGUCGGGGGACAGGUUCGGCUGCUCGCUGGCCAUGGCCACGACCCGGUCCAACAUCUUCUUCUCUUCGGCAAUCACAAGGGACUCGGCCAGCCGGCUGCUGGCGGCAGCGCACUCGGAAGACUUCUUCUAAUUGCCGGCUACGGUGAUGACGCCCUUGGAACUUGGUAUCUUUAUCUUGAGGUAUGCAUAGUGGGGAACUGCCAUGAACCUGGCCAAGGCGGGUCGGCCAAGCAACGCGUGGUAGGGGCUCUCCAGGUCCACCACUUCAAACCAGAUUGCUUCCCGGCAGAAAUGCUCCUUGUCCCCAAAGAGUACAUCAAUCUUGAUCUUGCCAAUGGGGGCGCAGGACAAGCCGGGUAUGAUGCCAUGAAACACUGUCCGAGUAGGCAUGAGCUGCUUCAUCUUGACAUUUAUCUUCUCCAGGGUGUCACGGUACAGGAUGUUGAUGCUGCUCCCGCCGUCUAUCAGCACGCGGGAGAAGCGGGCAGCGCGUCUGUCCGUCGCGAGGGUGGCUUCUAGGACCAACGCAUAAGAGCCGGGAGACGGCAUCACCUCUGGAUGGUCGACCUGGCUCCAGCUGAUGGGUUUUUCUGACCAAUGCAUGUGUCCGGCGGGGUUGGCAGCGACCACGCUGACUUCCUGGUGCUCUCGGCGUUUGCCGCGCCGGUCUUCGAGCUGGCUUGUAAAGACGAUGUAGGUCGCUUGCUCCUCGGGGAAUUCGUCGUGCACGGCUCCGACUGCGGGCCGAGCGGCCGGAGGCGGCGGAGCCGGAGGCGGCGGGCCGGCAGGCGGAGGCGGCGCGAGCCCCUCGCCUUUAGAGAUUCGGGUGAGCCAAUGGCACUUCCGGGUUGUGUGGUUGGACGGCUUCGCGCCGCUAUGGAAUUUGCACGGGGCGUCGAGAGUUUGCUCGUAGGAGAAAGCCGGUUGCCAAGCCGGCCGGCCGCCCUUGGGCUUCUUGGGCGCGGGUCGCCCUUCAGGCAGCGCGUCUUCGACUGUGGCCACCUGCCGACUGGCGGGAGGCGGCGCAGGGCCCUUGCGCUUGUGGUCGUUCGGGUGUGUGCGUCGGCUGGAAUCCCCUGCCGGCGUCUUGGGCGCCGGGUUGAGUACUUUCUCGGACGCGUCUACCCGGAGCUCGGUCUUCAUCGAAGAGUCGGCGGUGGCGUAUUUGUCUGCUAUGUCCAGAAGCUCGUCGACGUUGUCGGCUCAUCGUAGAGGAGCUUGUGCUUGAGGAGGGUACCUUCUCGGCACCCGGCAGUGAAGUAUUCGAUGGCUUGCACCUCGUGCACCCCCUCGCAAGAAUUGUGAAGCUCGGACCAACGCGUGAGGUAGCCGCGAGUGGACUCGGCUGGGCCUUGUACGCACAGGGAGAGCUGCCUGGGCUUGGGGGCCCGCUUGUAGGUGCUGGUGAAGUUGCGGGUGAAAGCUUCGGUGAAAUCUAGCCAGCUGUUGAUGCUGAGAGGCUUGAGGCUGUUGAGCCAGGUCCGCGUCGUGCCUUGCAGCAUGAGGGGCACGUACUUCACGGCAAUGCGCCAGUUGCCGUUGGCUAUGCUAACCGCCGUGGAGUAGUCGAUCAACCAAUCUUCCGGCUUCACGAAGCCGUUGUACUUGGGCGUGUCUCUUGGGAGCGAGAACCCUUUGGGGAAAGGCUCGUCGCGGAUGCGGGGCCCGAAACAAGGCGGGCCGACAUCGUCUUCUUCUUCCAGCGCCAGGGAUCGUGCCAGGCGGUCGAUCCGAUGGCGGGCGUCGUUCUCGCCGACUCCUUCGCGGCGACCUAGUCGGCCACUGAGAGUCGGGUGCGCCACUGGCGGCGGGGUGGGAUAUCUCUCUCCACAGGGUGGAGGCGGAGGCGGGUUGCCCCGCCAUUCCAUGGCUCGGGGAUGGCCGUCCGUGUCUCGCUCGAUGGAGAUUCAGGUCCGGCUUCGGCUGGCCGCCGGCUCUUUCUCGCGCCGCGCGCGGGCGUUGCUCGUAGUCGGUGUCCGGGACGUCGCGCCGUGAUCUCGGCGCGGGGGAGGGCUUCCCGCGCGGGCAUCGGCUUCGUGCCGCCGUGCGGCCGCGUCAAUCAGUUUCUGGAUGCGCCGGGUCAUGUGGGGGAGUUCUUCGGCCUCCAAGCCGUCCAACUCGUCCACGGCCGCCUGGGCGGCACGCAAGUUCUCGAGCGGAGUGGCAUAGACCGGGCGGUCGACUCCCAGCAUGUCGGCGAUGACGGCGCCGCGUUGCUUGACAAUGCCGACCCGGCUUGGCCCGCCCGGGGCCGGCAUGCCGAAGGCGGCGCGGUCAGCUUCGCACUGGUAGGCCUCAGUGAGGCGUCUCACGGAAGCCAGCCUCCGGCCCUCUGCGAGGAGGGUGAGGCGGCGCGCCUCCAGUGCUUCGUCAUCGGCAUCAGCCGGGAGGGGGGUGGACAAGUCGUGGGCAGCCGCGUGCGGGGCGUCGUGGGCGCUCUCGUCGGCCGGGCCGCCGUGGCCGACGACCAUCACUUCGGUGGUGACAGUAUCGCGGCCGUCGGUCCGAAGAAGCGGGUCGUUGUAGAUCGCGAUGUUGGUGGGGAAGGUGUCGAAGGAGGCCGUGUCAAAGUCGACAGGCAUCGGGUCGGUGGAGCCAACCGACUCCAGAUCCACAGUGGGCUCGCUGGAGACAUGGAGCUGGCCGAGGAGGUUGGCGAGGCUGCUCGCCGCGCAGAUGCUGGUGACGCCUUGCAGCGCGUCGUGGAAAGCGCCAUCAGGCGUGUCGGGCUGGCUAUGCUCGCUGGGGAGGAAGAGGGUUCCCGUCCAGAACAGGUCUCCGGACGAUGGUGCACCUCGCCCCACGAUGGGCGCCAAAUGUCGGGUGGUAGGUGCGACAUAUGCCAACGGGUGGCUUAUCAUUGUGGGAGCCAGUAAAACGUCGCCGGUGCCUGGAAACGGGAUGUGGCAAAGACAUGCACGCCGGCGAAUCUUACUGCUCUCCGUGGAGAUAACACUCCUACUGCUGCUCUGCGGGGUCUCCGCAUGAUCACUAGCUGGACAAGUAGCUACACAAUGCUCCUUGAGCUGUUCGGUGGGAGGAGGAAGAAGGGCACGGCUAGCUUGCUUCUUCUCCUUGUGUGGUGUCUAAAACUAGCUGGGGGUUCCAACCCUUUGCAUGGGUGCUCCGGGGGGUUUAUAUAGGCCUACCCCCUGGGGGUACAAUGGUAAUCCGUCUGGGCGCGGGGCCCAGCCGUCUAUGACUGCGCUCGCCGGCUUCUGCCCCGACCGCUGGGGCCCGCCGACUGGUGGGUCCUGCCGUCUGCCAACUCCUUGGCAACAGGCAGGCCCCACUGCCAAGGGUCUUGUCGGUGGCUGGUUAAUGUUGCUUCAACCUGAUGACGAGGGCUUCGUCGAGGUAAGCGUGGCUACAGUGCCGCCGUCCGGCGGGCGAUCGCUGUAGCCUCACCGCGUCUUGUCUCCUUAAUGGGGCGUCUCCUUUGAGGGGGGAAGCGAGCCGGCUGCGGGGAGCCAGCCCCGUCUCGGGCCGACUGGGGGAGGCCUGGCCGCCUUCGGGCGUCUCUCUGCCCGAAGGGGCCCACCGCCCGUGGGCCGCGCUGGCGGCCCGUCGUGGGUGACAUCAGGGUCAACAUGGCAAUAGUGUCGCGCCGGACGGGUCAUGGCCACUCCGUACGGCGCACUGUGCCAGGCGUGCUCCGGGAUUCGGGGGUGGCAGGCUUUACUAUAGCCACGCCCCGUCUCAUCGCCGCUAGGUGGAUGCAAACUUUGAGAGUACGGUCUCGACCGCUUUAUGGGAGCCGGCUUCUUGGAGUCGGCCUCCUCGCGGCCGGCUUCUCUAAGUCGGCCCUCCCGUGGCUUUCUUCAUGAGGGCUAAAGUCGGGCCGCCUUCCGAAAGCCGGCCUGGGUGACAGCCAGCAAGGGGAUGGCGGCCCCACGUCUUGGAUUCUUGAGAGCCGGACGGGCUCGUAAUUUUUUCAGAAGGGCCAGGGGAAGCCGGCUAGGCUACCCAUGGCUAUUUACUCCGACAGUAGUCCCCGAAGCUGAUCGAGCUUCGAGGCGGACAAAGGGACGAGAAGCUUGGUCAGGUUCCUACCCUGAAGAGCCGGCUUUGCUGAUGUAUGCCGAUUUCGGGGAGCCCUGAGUCUUGCAGGCAGGCCACGUGGCAGCGAGACCCUGCCAGCGCAUGCGCGCGACGGGACGCCGCCGCAGGCCCGGGCCCGCCACUCCUAGGCCUCGGCCCGAACGCUGAUCUUCCGCGGCCCAGGUGGACCGCUCGCCUUCCCGUGGCGAUUUUAUUUCGCCAUUAGGGCGCAAUAAACGCGGGACGUGGGGGAGUGGGCACGAUCGAUCCCCACGUUUCCCCACGCCGCGCCUCCUCGGCUCCGCCACGCGAGCCUAUAAGUAGGGGGAGGAGGGGGAGAGACAGAGGUUCGCAUGCUCUCUCUCGCUCUGCCCCUUCUCGCCUUCCUUUCUUCCUCUCGUUGCCGCCGCAGCCUCCCGUCUCAGCGCCGCCGCGCCGCCACAUCGUCUUGCUCCCAUGACGCUGUCGAGCUCGUGGGAUGGCUCCAACGUCCAUGAGGACCAUGUUGAGUUCCUCCGCCAGACUCGGCGCCUGCCCGACGCCAACCUCGUGCGGGUCCGCCUGGCGCCAGAGAAGGAGAUCUCGCCGGCACCGGAGGAGGGCGAGCGGGUCGUCUUCCUCUCGCACUUCCUGCGCGGCUUCGGCCUUCCGGCGAGCGGAUUCCUGCGCUCCUUCCUCGAGUUCUACAAUCUUCAGCUGCAUCCCCUCACGCCCAACGCGGUGAUGCUGCUGUCGGCCUUCGUCUCUCUCUGCGAAGGUUUCUUGGGGCUGCUCCCCACGCUGGAGCUCUGGGGGGAAUUCUUCCAGAGCAAACUCGGCACUAUCGUCGCAGGCGUGCCCGUCCCCUUCGGGGCCUUCAUCGCCAUGAGGAGGUCGGGCGAGAACAACCCGUUCCCGUCCAUCCCCCUGAUCUAGUCGGUGAAGAUCUGGCAAAAGUCAUAUUUCUAUGUGAAGAACGUCGCCCAGCAAGCAGACCAUGUCAACUUGCCGGCUUACGUAGCCGGCCCGCCGGCUGGGAGGCAGCCCUCAUGGAGUUUCCGGUCCAGGUCACUGUCUUAGGCCGGGAACACUGCCGUCUCCCGGCUUCGGGUGAUGAUCCAGUCGGAAGGCCUGAGCCGGGCCGACUUGGUGGCCGCCUUCAUGGAGCGCCGGAUACUUCCUCUCUAAAGCCGGCCCCACAUGAUGUGUCAGAUGAGCGGUCGCUUCGACCCAAGCCAGCUGAGCACCAGGGAGAUGCCUCACGCGGAGGUGUCGUACAUGGUAAAUCAUAUCUCCAAUUGCAAGCUCGCCGAGGACUGGCGAUACGGCAAGGUGCCGUAUUCUCGCGCCAGCCCUCCGCCCGUGGUAAGCUUUCCUCUCUUUCGUCUUUUUGUUGGUAGCCGGCUUUAUGAUGGCCGGCUUCUGAUCGGUCGGUUCUUCUUAGCAGAACCCCCUUCUUCCGCCGACGACCGGGGCAGCAGGGAUAGAACGCCAGUACGUCCCCGACCGCACGGUGGACGAUGUCGACGACCCAGAUUUGGGGGCGGCCGCCAUGGAAGACACCGUCGUGGGGGACGACGCCGAGCCCGGAGGCACAGGGCUUACCGCCAGCUUCGAGGACUGGUCGGAUGAUGCCGAAGCCGAAGUCGCCCCGCGUCGCUAGCCGGCGGCCGACCAUCAGGGCGCGGGCUUGUCCACCGCGCCGGCUGCCAGCGGCAUCGUACAGAAGCGCCGGGCCGCGUCAACCCUCUUCGACAGUCGGCCGAAGAAGUCCAAAGCCUCCACCGCGGCGACCAAACGAGAUGAGGCGGCCGCGAAAGUGGCCCGCUUCCGCAAGGUGGUGAAGCAGCCUCAGGCGGUCUCAGCGUAAGUCGUUGAUUGCCUGGUCGCAUGCUUUUCAUCGUUCUCUCAUGUUCGAACAUUCUUCCUAACCUUUUCUCGCUCGCUGAACAGGGCGCCGCUUUCCCUUGAGCGGGGUCCGGGCGGCUCCGUAGUUGGGCCGACUGGAGGGUCUUCGGUCUCCCGCCGCGUGGACCCCCGCGCCGACCUCAGGGAGGCCAUGGAGCGGAACGCCCGUGAGGCGCGGGAGGAGCGUGAGGCGGCGGAAAAAGCGGCCGCCCAGGCGGUGAGGGAGCAGGCCGACGCGGCAGCCAAGGCCCAGGCGGAGGCGGCGACCGCGGAAACGGAGGCAGAGGGUUCGCGUAACCAGCCUCCGCUGCUCGCCAUUCCCCUCCGAGCCGUGGCCCCCGACACCCCAUUGCCCGUGGCGGAGGAAAUCGUCCAAGACCCGCCGCUGAUGGAGAGGAGGGAGGACCUCGUGGUCUUCGCGGGGAGAGCGCCGCUGGCAGCGCCAACCGGAGCGGGCCAAGGCGGCCAAUCGUCAGCGGCGCCAGAGGAGCCGGCCGGGGGUGAGCCGGAGGACGGAGCCGGCUUCGAGGUGCAUCCGGUGACGCGUCGGCGCGCAGGGGGAGGCGCCGCUCCGCCGGAGUCACGUCGAGUUGCGGGCGCCGGCCAGUCGGCGGAGGCUCUGGAGGCGGCCAACACCGCCACGUCCGACUGGACUCCCAGCGGGGGGGACUGGCGAGCUGAAUGUGCCGGCUCAAGAGGUCCGGAGCCGGCUUCAAGCUCAGGCCGCCCUACUGCAGCAGUACACCCAGGAGUUCCUGUCGACGCGGGCCGCCAUCCGGGUGAGUCUUUCAUUCUUGGCCGCUUUGGUCUCUUGAUUUCUUCCGUGGGGGCGCGUCAGCGCACCCACUGGGUGUAGUCCCCGAGUUUCGGGCCGACUGCUGAGCAGUCGGGUCGGAUCUUUCUUGACGACUACCUUAUUUUUGCUUCCUGUCUGAACUUCCAGGAAUAUCAUAACUCCCGUGCUGCCGCCUUCAACUCCCAGUCUCAGGAGUUGGGUCGGAAGACCAACGACCUGGUCAACAGCCGAAGUAAGUGCUUGAUCUUGUCUGUCUCCUGUGGGGGCGCGUCAGCGCACCCACUGGGUGUAGUCCCCGAGAUUCAGGCCGACUGCUGAGCAGUCAGGUCGGAUCUUCCUUGACGACUUUUUCCUUAUUGGUUUUUUCUUUCGUGCUUUCAGGGGCCAACGCCGACUUGAGGAGGGAGCUCAGCGAAGCGCAGGCCGCCCUUCGUACCAAGGAUGCUGAGUACGCUGCCUUGGUCCAGGAGCAUGACCGCCUGGCCAAGAAGCUGGCUGACCAAGAGGAGAGCCACAAGGCGGCCCUGCAGAAAGCGCGGGAUAGUGAGGUCGCCCUGAAGGCAGAGUUUGAGACCGAGGCGGCGAGCUGGGCUGAGACCCGGCGAGCGCUGGAUGAAGGCUUCGGCCGCAUCGAGGACUUGAUCGACGGUAAGCCGCCUUCCUCGCUCCUCUCCUGCCCCUUGCCGCCUGGUUUUGGCCUGACUUGUGCUGCUGCCUAUUUUCUUGUGCAGACUACUUUCCCGGCUACUCCGCCUUCGCCUCCCAAACCAUCGAGGCCCAUCGCAAGGCGUGCCGUCAGGCGGGGGUCAACAUUGCGCCGGACACGAAUCGGACGCUUGAGGAGCAGCUCUUGGCUGUCCAAGCGCGGCUGCAGCUGGCUCACCGGAUGCUUCGCCGGCUCGAACGUGCCGGGGCGCAGGUGUUGGCCGCCCUCUGGCCCGGCAAGAUGAUCCCCCGCACCCCAAGCCGGACUGCCUACUGGCUGGAGGUUGCAGUCGGUCGCUUUGAAGCUUGGAAGGCGUCGGCGGCCCGUCUUGGAGCUGGGCGGGCAUUGGAGUUCGUUUGAGCUUGGUACCCAGGGCUGAACCUGGACCAGCUGCGCACUUAGCGGCUGGAGGCCGACGUGGAGCUGGAGGAGGUGCGGCCGGCUAUCGCCCAGCGUGCUUCGAUGAUCGCCGAGUGCACCGACAUUAGUGUUUUUGCACCUGAAAUCAAUGAUGACGGCGUUGCCCAGCCGGAGGAGUGGUUUGGGAUGAACCCGGCGGUGGGCAAGGACUCGGAAGAGGAGAUCGCCUCCAGCGAUGAGGGCGAGGAUGACGGAGAAGAGGACGGUGAAGACGUCGAGCCGGCUAGUGGAACAACCGGCCGGCCUCAGGCUGACCGUGCCUCCAGCAACGAGGCGCGUGGAAGCGCGCCCUCUGCGGGAGGCGUUGAUCAAGCCGAGGUUCGGCAGCCGGCCACUCCUUUAGCCGGCACAACCAUCUCCGCCGACCAGCCCGGCUCGUCGGUCGCUCCGCCGGCUUGACCUGCCGUCCUUAUUUUUCCUGCUUGUUGCCUUUUGAACAAUCUUUAUUAAGCUUUCGCAGUUCCACCCAUUGGGGGUGUAUCCAAACUAUGUUGAAUGCUGGCCUCUUGGAGGUCUUUUAUGUAAAUAUUAUUAUGUGCAUGUUUGGUUUCCAUUCGCGUAUGCUUUUUAUCCUUAGGCUUUUUCCUUUGCCGCCUUCCCUCUUUGGGGGAGGCAAGUACUCGAGCUUUCUUGGAUUGAAGUGAAGUGAAUGGAAACCGGCCGGCUGGCUACUCUGGUAGUCGGUCGGUGGUAGGCGGCAAACCGGCUUUCGUUAUAUUAGUCCGUUGGUCCCUGGCCAUUUUUCGUGUGGGCAUCAUUUCCUGCUUUUGACUCUUGCCAGCCGGACAGCCGGUUCUUCGAACUGCGACUUUGGCAAGAGCUAAGCCUGGGUGUCGGCACACUACUUGUCUGACCGCGGGUAGGACUUCUAAUAUAACUCCAGCCGGCCAGUUCCUGGGCCGACUAGUCGAACCCGGUGCCGGACGGAACAAGUAAAUGAAAUGACAAGGUCAUAAGCAUGAUACUCUUCAUUCAUAGAUAAAAGAUGGCAGUCCCCGAGCUCUCCUCGGGGGGCCUAUUAUCUCAUACUUAGUAAAAAAGUUAGCGUGAUACAUACUGCAUUUCAACUGUAAAAUCUUCGAAGGAGGUUGGCGUUCCAUGGUCGUUCCGACUCCUUGCCGGAGUCGUCUCUCUUUCAUGCCUUUGGCUUCUGUGCGUCGAUCAGGUAGUAGGAGUCGUUGCCUAAGGCUCUGCUGAUGACGAAGGGGCCCUCCCAAGGGGCCGAGCGCUUGUGCUGGCCGGCUGUUCGCUUGAUCAGUCGGAGCACAAGAUCGCCCACUUGGAAGGAUCUUGGCUUGACCUUCCGACUGUGGUAGCGGCGCAAACCCUGCUGGUAGAUGGCAGACCGGCUGAGGGCUAACAGCCGACCUUCUUCCAGCAGGUCGACGCCGUCUUCUCGUGCUUCCUUGGCCUCCGCCUCCAUGUACAUGGUUACCCGGGGCGAGUCGAACUCGAUGUCGGUUGGGAUGAUCGCCUCGGCACCGUACACGAGGAAGAAAGGAGUGAAGCCGGUUGACUUGUUUGGGGUAGUGCGCAGACUCCAGAGGACAGCCGGCAGCUCAUCGAGCCAACAGCCGACUGAACGCUCCAGUGGUACGACCAGUCAGGGCUUGAUACCGGAGAGGAUGAGGCCGUUGGCUCGCUCGACCUGGCCGUUUGACUGCGGGUGGGCGACGAACGCUAAGUCCAGCCGGAUACCUUGGGCUGCGCAGAAACGUGCCAAGGCUCCUUUGGCAAAAUUCGUGCCAUUGUCGGUGAUGAUGCUGUGUGGCACGCCGUACCGAGUUGUUAUGUCUACGAUGAAUGUCACAGCAGUCGGCCCAUUCAGCUUCUUGAUCGGCUUUGCCUCAAUCCACUUGGUGAAUUUGUCCAUGACGACGAGCAAAUGCGUUAUGCCGCCGCGCGCCAUCUUGAAUGGGCCCACCAUGUCCAGUCCCCAAACGGCGAAGGGCCAGGUGAGGGGAAUGGUCUUGAGUGCCGAAGCCGGCAUGUGUUGCUUGGAGCUGAAGAGUUGGCACCCUUUGCAAUAUUUAACUAAUUCUUUGGCGUCAUCCAAAGCAGUCGGCCAGAAGAAACCAUGGCGGAAAGCUUUGGCGACGAGUGAUCUUGAAGCCGCAUGGUGGCCGCAUUCUCCUUGGUGAAUGUCUCUGAGGAUUGCAAUGCCCUUCUCUUGCUCGACGCACCAUAGGAAGACUCCAGUGACACUACGCUUGCCGAGUUCUCUGUUGACGAUUGUGUAUGCUCCGACUCGACGUUGGACUUGUCUUGCCUCUGUUUCGUCAACCGGCAGAUCUUGGUUUACUAGGAAGUUGAGGAUGGACUGAGCCCAUGAAGGAGCCGCGACUUCUCCUACUGCCAAUGUGGCUACUGCCACCAGGGUGGGCGGGCUGGGUGGUGAAAUGCUGGAGUCGGCCGCCGGCUGUUGUGUUGGUGCAGUCCCCGGGCCGGCUACUACAGUCCCCGAGCCGGGUGUGGCAGUCCCCGAGCCGGUUGCCGAAGUUCCCGGGCCGACUACUGAAGUCCCGGGGUCGCCUGCUUGGUUCUUCGAGCCGGACCCGGCCGCGUCGGGGUCAGGCGGUACGAAGAUGGAAUCGGACUCUGGAGACGGCUUGAUGGACGGCUUGAGGAGGUGUUGUAGAGCGACGCCGGUUGGUAUUGCUUGCCGAGUGGAGCCUAUUCGAGCCAGGGCAUCGGCUGGCUCGUUGUCGGCUCGCGGUACGUGGAGGAACUCGCAUCCUUCAAAGUAUCCGCUGAGUUGUUGAACCAGGAAGCGGUAGCUUGCCAUAUUUGCGUCCUUGGCAUCCCAGUCGCCGGAUGAUUGCUGAACCACCAAGUCUGAGUCGCCAUAACAUAGGAUCCGGCGGAUGCCGAGUUCCUUGGCAAGCCGGAGCCCGUGUAUGAGUGCCUCGUACUUGGCUACAUUGUUCGAGGCGGCAAAGUAAAUCUGCAGCGUGUAUCUGAGCUUGUCGCCUUUGGGAGAGGUAAGGACGAUGCCGGCUCCCAAGCCGGUGCGCAUCUUGGACCCGUCAAAGUGCAUGCGCCAAUGGGUUGAGUCGGGAGCCGGCGACAGGUACUGGGUCUCGGCCCAGUCGACGAGGAAGUCGGCCAGUGCUUGGGACUUGAUGGCGGUGCGGGGCUGGUAGAAGAUUGUGUAGGGGGCCAGCUCGAUGGCCCAUUUCGCCACCCGGUCGGAUGCGUCCCGGCUGCCUAUGAUCUCGGCCAACGGGGCGGUGCAUACGAUCGUGACGGGAUGCUCCUGAAAGUAGGGCUUCAGCUUCUUGGCGGCGAAGUACACGCCGUAACACAUCUUCUGGUAGUGCGGGUAGUUCUGCUUUGAAGCGGACAUCACCUCGCUCAAAUAAUACACCGGCCUCUGGACCGGCUGGGCUCGGCCUUCUUCUGGGUGUUGGACUACGAUGACGGUGCUGACCACCCGGCUGGUUGCGGCAAUGUAAAGGAGCAUGGGCUCUUUCUCAGUCGGCGCCGCUAGGACGGGCGGCGUGGCCAGCAUCUUCUUCAGCUCGUGAAAAGCUUGGUCGGCCUGGUCGUUCCACUCGAAGUGAGUGCUCUUCUUCAUGAGGCGGUAGAGGGGGAGAGCUUUCUCUCCGAGCCGGCUGAUGAAGCGGUUCAAGGAGCCCAAGCAUCCGGUGAACUUUUGGAUGUCUCGAAGCUUGGUGGGGAUCGCCAUUCUCUCGAUGGCCUUGAUCUUCACCGGGUUGCAUUCGAUGCCGCGUUCGGAGACCAGGAAGCCUAGGAGCUGGCCGCUGGCACUCCGAACACGCAUUUCUCGGGGUUGAGCUUGAUUUGGAACCGACGUAGGUUCUCAAACGUUUCUUUGAGGUCUUCCAGCAAGGUGCCGCGCUUCUCCGUCUUCACCACAAUGUCGUCCACGUAGACGUGAUCGUUUCUGCCGAGUUGCUUGAGGAGGCACUUCUGUAUGCAACGCUGAAAAGUGGCACCGGCAUUUCUCAAGCCGAAUGUCAUAGUCAGGUAGCAGAAGGCUCCAAAUGGCGUGAUGAAGGCGGUCUUCAGGCAGUCGUCCGGAUCUAGCUUUAUCUGGUGAUAUCCUGAGUAAGCAUCCAAGAAACUCAACAGCUCGCAUCCGGCCAUGGAGUCUAUCACUUGGUCAAUCCUCGGCAGGGCAAAGGGAUCUUUAGGGCAGGCCUUGUUGAGGCUUGUGUAGUCUAUACACAUGCGCCACUUGUUGUUCUUCUUUAACACGAGGACCGGGUUGGCAAGCCACUCUGGAAAGAAGACUUCCAUAAUGAAGCCAGCUGCCAGAAGCCGGGCUAUCUCCUCCCCUACAAUCGUUCUCUUUUCCUCUGAUAGUCGGCGGAGGGGCUGCUUGACUGGUUUCGCGUCUUUUCGAACGUGUAGUUUGUGCUCGGCGAAUUCCUUCGGAACACCCAGCAUGUCCUUGGGGGACCAUGCAAAGAUGUCCCGAUUCUCACGGAGGAAAUUGGCGAGCUCGCCUUCCUAUUUGCUGUUCAGGCUUGCCUCGAUGACGGCAAACCUCUCGGGGUGCUCGGGGUCAAGAGGUAUCUUCUUGGUUUCUUUGGCCGGCUGGAAAGAUCCUUGGGCAUCAUAGUCCUUGGGGUCGGGGGACGGGUUCGGCUGCUCGCUGGCCAUGGCCACGACCCAGUCCAACAUCUUCUUCUCUUCGGCAAUCACAAGGGACUCGGCCAGCCGGCUGCUGGCGGCAGCGCACUCGGAAGACUUCUUGUAAUCGCCGUCUACGGUGAUGACGCCCUUGGAACUUGGUAUCUUUAUCUUGAGGUAUGCAUAGUGGGGAACUGCCAUGAACCUGGUCAAGGCGGGUCGGCCAAGCAACGCGUGGUAGGGGCUCUCCAGGUCCACCACUUCAAACCAGAUUGCUUCCCGGCAGAAAUGCUCCUUGUCCCCAAAGAGUACAUCAAUCUUGAUCUUGCCAAUGGGGGCGCAGGACAAGCCGGGUACGAUGCCAUGAAACACUAUCCGAGUAGGCAUGAGCUGCUUCGUCUUGACAUUUAGCUACUCCAGGGUGUCACGGUACAGGAUGUUGAUGCUGCUCUCGCCGUCUAUCAGCACGUGGGAGAAGCGGGCAGCGCGUCUGUCCGUCGCGAGGGUGGCUUCUAGGACCAACGCAUAAGAGCCGGGAGACGGCAUCACCUCUGGAUGGUCGGCCCGGCUCCAGCUAAUGGGUUUUUCUGACCAAUGCAUGUGUCCGGCGGGGUUGGCAGCGACCACACUGACUUCCUGGUGCUCUCGGCAUUUGCCGCGCCGGUCUUCGAGCUGGCUUGUAAAGACGAUGUAGGCCGCUUGCUCGUCGGGGAAUUCGUCGUACACGGCUCCGACUGGGGGUCGAGCGGCCGGAGGCGGCGGGCCGGCAGGCGGAGGCGGCGCGAGCCCCUCGCCUUUAGAGAUUCAGGUGAGCCAAUGGCACUUCCGGAUUGUGUGGUUGGACGGGUUCGCGCCGCUAUGGAAUUUGCACGGGGCGUCGAGAGUUUGCUCGUAGGAGAAAGCCGGCUGCCAAGCCGGCCGCCCGCCCUUGGGCUUCUUGGGCGCGGGUCGCCCUUCAGGCAGCGCGUCUUCGACCGUGGCCACCUGCCGACUGGCGGGAGGCGGCGCAGGGCCCUUGCGCUUGUGGUCAUUCGGGUGUCGGCGUCGGCCGGAAUCCCCUGCCGACGUCUUGGGCGCCGGGUUGAGUACUUUCCCGGACGCGUCUACCCGGAGCUCGGUCUUCAUCAAAGAGUCGGCGGUGGCGUAUUUGUCUGCUAUGUCCAGAAGCUCGUCGAGGGUAGUCGGCUCGUCGCAGAGGAGCUUGUGCUUGAGGAGGGUACCUUCUCGGCACCCGGCAGUGAAGUAUUCAAUGGCUUGCACCUCGUGCACCCCCUCGCGAGAAUUGCGGAGCUCGGCCCAACGCGUGAGGUAGCCACGAGUGGACUCGGCUGGGCCCUGUACGCACAGGGAGAGCUGCCUGGGCUUAGGGGCCCGCUUGUAGGUGCUAGUGAACUUGCGGAUGAAAGCUUCGGUGAAAUCUAGCCAGCUGUUGAUGCUAAGAGGCUUGAGGCUGUUGAGCCAGGUCCGCGCCGUGCCUUGCAGCAUGAGGGGCACGUACUUCACGGCAACGCGCAAGUUGCCGUUGGCUAUGCUGACCGCCGUGGAGUAGUCGAUCAACCAAUCUUCCGGCUUCACGAAGCCGUUGUACUUGGGCGUGUCUCUUGGGAGCGAGAACCCUUUGGGGAAAGGCUCGUCGCGGAUGCGGGGGCCGAAACAAGGCGGGCCGACAUCGUCUUCUUCUUCCAGCACCAGGGAUCGCGCCAGGCGGUCGAUCCGAUGGCGGGCGUCGUUCUCGCCGACUCCUUCGCGGCGACCUAGUCGGCCGCUGAGAGUCGGGUGCGCCAUUGGCGGCGGGGUGGGAUAUCUCUCUCCACGGGGUGGAGGCGGAGGUGGGUUGCCCCGCCAUUCCAUGGCUCGGGGAUGGCCGUCCGCAUCUUGCUCGAUGGAGAUUCGGGUCCGGCUCCGGCUGGCCGCCGGCUCUUUCUCACGCCGCGCGCGGGCGUUGCUCGUAGUCGGUGUCCGGGACGUCGCGCCGUGAUCUCGGUUCGGGGGAGGGCUUCCCGCGCGGGCGUCGGCUUCGUGCCGCCGUGCGGCCGCGUCAAUCAGUUGCUGGAUGCGCCGGGUCAUGUGGGGGGGUUCUUCGGCCUCCAAGUCGUCCAACUCGUCCACGGCCGCCUGGGCGGCACGCAAGUUCUCGAGCGGAGUGGCAUAGACCGGGCGGUCGACUCCCAGCAUGUCGGCGAUGACGGCGCCGCGUUGCUUGACAGUGCCGGCCCGGCUUGGCCCGCCCGGGGCCGGCAUGCCAAAGGCGGCGCGGUCAGCUUCGCGCUGGUAGGCCUCAGUGAGGCGUCUCACGGAAGCCAGCCUCCGGCCCUCAACGAGGAGGGCGAGGCGGCGCGCCUCCAGUGCUUCGUCGUCGGCAUCAGCCGGGAGGGGGGUGGACAAGUAAUGGGCCGCCGCAUGCGGGGCGUCGUGGGCGCUCUCGUCGGCCGGGCCGCCUUGGCCGACGACCAUCACUUCGGUGGUGACAGUAUCGCGGCCGUCGGUCCGAGGAAGCGGGUCGUUGUAGAUCGCGACGUUGGUGGGGAAGGUGUCGAAGGAGGCCGUGUCGAAGUCGACAGGCAUCGAGUCGGUGGAGCCAACCGACUCCAGAUCCACAGCAGGCUCGCUGGAGACAUGGAGCUGGCCGAGGAGGUUGGCGAGGCUGCUCGCCGCGCAGAUGUUGGUGACGCCUUGCAGCGCGUCGUGGCAAGCGCCAUCGGGCAUGCCGGGCUGGCUACGCUCGCUGUGGAGGAAGAGGGUUCCCGUCCAGAAUAGUUCUCCGGACGACGGUGCACCUCGCCCCACGGUGGGCGCCAAAUGUCGGGUGGUAGGUGCGACAUAUGCCAACGGGUGGCUUAUCAUUGUGGGAGCCAGUAAAACGUCGCCGGUGCCUGGAAACGGGAUGAGGCGAAGACAUGCACGCCGACGAAUCUUACCCAGCUUCGGGGCUCUCCGUAGAGAUAACACCCCUACUGCUGCUCUGCGGUGUCUCCGCAUGAUCACUAGAUGGACAAGUAGCUACACAAUGCUCCUUGUGCUGUUCGGUGGGAGGAGGAAGAAGGGCACGGCUAGUUUGCUUCUUCUCCUUGUGUGGUGUCUAAAACUAGCCGGGGGUUCCAACCCUUUGCAUGGGUGCCCCGGGGGGUUUAUAUAGGCCUACCCCCCGGGGGUACAAUGGUAAUCCGACUGGGCGCGGGGCCCAACCGUCUGUGACUGCGCUCGCCGGCUUCUGCGCCGGCCGCUGGGGCCCGCCGACUGGUGGGUCCCGCCGGCUGGCAACUCCUUGGCAACAGGCAGGCCCCACUGCCAAGGGUCUUGUCAGUGGCUGGUUACUGUUGCUUCAACCUGAUGACGAGGGCUUCGUCGAGGUAAGCGUGGCUACAGUGCCGCCGUCCGGCGGGCGAUCGCUGUAGCCUCACCGCGUCUUGUCUCCUUAAUGGGGCGUCUCCUUCGAGGGGGGAAGCGAGCCGGCUGCGGGGAGCCGGCCCCGUCUUGGGCCGACUGGGGAGGCCUGGCCGCCUUCGGGUGUCUCUCUGCCCGAAGGGGCCCACCGCCCGUGGGCCGCGCUGGCGGCCCGUCGUGGGUGACAUCAGGGUCAACAUGGCAACAGUGCCGCGCCGGACGGGUCAUGGCCAUUCCGUACGGCGCACUAUGUCAGGCGUGCUCCGGGAUUCGGGGGUGGCAGGCUUUACUGUAGCCACGCCCCGUCUCAUCGCCGCUAGGUGGAUGCAAACUUUGAGGGUACGGUCUCGACCGCUUUAUGGGAGCCGGCUUCUUGGAGUCGGCCUCCUCGCAGCCGGCUUCUCGAAGUCUGCCCUCCCGUGGCUUUCUUCAUGAGGGCUAAAGUCGGGCCGCCUUCCGAAAGCCGGCCUGGGUGACAGCCAGCAAGGGGAAGGCGGUCCCACGUCUUGGAUUCUUGAGAGUCGGACGGGCUCGUAAUUUUUUUAGAAGGGCCAGGGGAAGCCGGCUAGGCUACCCAUGGCUAUUUACUCCGACAUACGUGUACGAUUUCAUAGCACUUUCCUCAGACGAAGAACUACUAGAGUAAGUUCUCACAGCCCGAUAGAUCUAAUAUUUUUUGCUCUUCAUCGUCUAAGUCCACUGCCAUGUCCAUGUAUACUUUGCAUUUAGAAGAUAUACCCCCAUAAAAAAUCUUCCUGCCCUGUACAUAUAUACUUUACGUUUAGAUUAGAAGAUAUACCCUGGUUAGGAUCACGUGGUCUUUGUCUAAGUUCAGACGUCUGUUACAAAGGCUGAAUGUGUAGUUAUUUUUCUUAUACAAGUAUAUAAAUACAUAUUAAUGGUUGUUACAAGAUAUUAUAUUUGUACUGGUAAAUUGUGUCUAAAACCAGUGUUUUGCGGCGUCUAACAUAAAUAGCUGAUAAGUAUGAAACGAAAUACGUAUGAAACUGUGGUCCAAAACUAUGGGGUCUAACACCUUUUACAACAAUGUUGAACAAGCUAUAAACUACAUGUUGAAUUUUUUUCAUCCAAAAUCUACAACAAUUUUUAUGCAGGUCCAUGUACUACUACGAAAACACUUCAAUCUGUUAGUUUAUUGCCCGUACAUAAUAUUAAAAUACUUAACUUGGUAGAGAUUACAAUAUCUUUUAGGUCAUUUAAUGUGAUAUAUACUAUUGUUUAAUUAUUCAUAUCUUAUAGACAGCAACACAGUUUUAUCGUUUGAGUUUAGGAUUACUUGAAGUCAUAUCAUUGAUAUGAACCUUGAUCUUCAUUUUUUAUAGCACAAUCUCGAUUAGGAGCCCGCGCCCAUUCCCUAUCGAAUUAGCCUACGGAUUAUCCGAGACACCAUCCUAGGAGAUGGACUUGUCCAUCCGUUAUGCUUCAAUCUAGCUGUGCGUAAGAUUACUACCGACGCAGCAGAGAGGAGCGCAGGCACCAGCUCUGUUGGAAAGACACAUUUUCUCAAUUUGGGAUUCCAUGUGCAAGCACGGGCGCUAAGGCAGACUUGGUUAAGCCAAGAACAGCGCACCAAUGCACUGAUUAACAAUGUUGUGCUUGAGCCUUUUCCAAGAUACGACGUGUUUCACACCCCUACAAUUGUAAGUGUUCUCAUUCUUACAAAUUAGUUGGUUACUUUGUUUGACAUUUACCUUUGUCUACCAAAUGCAGUAUCUUCUACCACUGUCACUCGUGGAUUCGUCCUACGGUCUUUUAGCAGUGAACAUGGAAAUGGAGAGGACUAUCGUUAUUGAUUAUUCGAACCAGGAUGUGUUUCAUUUUGAGGAGGACCCCCAUGGCACUGAACUUCAGAGGGAAGCCCUUUUAGUGAAGCAAGAAUUCAGCUCUGUAUUGCAACAGGAGGCCCCUGAUAGGAACAGCCAACUUGUGGAAUGGCCCGAACAAGAUAACAUUCAUGUUUCACCUCGGCGGUACUAUUCUAAAUUUGGCUUGCAUAUUAGUGCGUGCUCUAAUAUAGCUAAUACAAUAUGUUUUUUUGGUGACAGUAUGGACUCCGGAUUCAAAGUUCUACAGGAGAUGGCCCAUCUAUAUGAAACCAUCGGUAAUGACAUGGUUCAUAACAUGCCUAGGACUGACGUAAGUGAUUUUGUAAUGAGGUUACAGAUUGCAUAUAUUUGCUAAAUAUACCUUCUGACUUUGUUUAUGCACAAUUUGUAGGAUCCACAAAGUCUCAGGAAGCGACUAAUGGUUCAGCUGUUGAUGGUGAGGGAUAACGAAGCAAAGGAUAACAUUUCAAAGCAAGUUAGAGCAGCGUUGAGAUUUAUUGGUGGCUAAGGAGGACUUCUGCAUCGAUAAAUACCUUAUAAUAAAAUGAUGUUUAGUUGCUUUCUAGGAAAUAUCUGUUUCAAUGCCCGUGCUGAUCAGAUGAUCAGUUGACAUUUUCUCUUAUAUUUAUGUUGGUUGGUAUCCACUAGCUAUAGAUUGAUGUUGGCAUCCCCUAGCUUUGUUGGUUAUAUAUCUAUCCUUCCGUCCAUCUAAAUUUUACGGGAAGAAGGCCAUAUUAGUUUGGACCAGGUUUGGUGCUCCAGAUACACCGGAAUACUUUUGUGUUAGACCAUGAUAGGUUCACAACGUACUCAUAGACCAGCAGGUGAUGUUUUCAGAUAUUCAGUGCCUCGCAACAUAUACUACCUCGUAUAGUAUAACUCCAUCCAUACACGCACUGCUAUACUAUACGAGGUUUUCUUUGUAGUAAAAACACAUUCCAGCUAGCGAGUAGUCAAUAAAAAAUAUGAUUGUCAUACGGCACGUACCUUGCAUAUAUUAUAUAAGUUCCAAGUUCUCCUUUAUCUGCCUCUCUCGCCGAUUCCUUCAAUUCCAUCCUUGCAAAUAAACGCUGAUUAUCUUUUAUGUGUUCCUGAAUAGAAAACAAAAAUUAGAGAGAGCAAUGGGUUUUCUUAUUGAUCAGUACAUAUAGAUAAAACCUAAAACUAAAAUAGUAGGUAUGUUAGNNNNNNNNNNNNNNNNNNNNNNNNNNNNNNNNNNNNNNNNNNNNNNNNNNNNNNNNNNNNNNNNNNNNNNNNNNNNNNNNNNNNNNNNNNNNNNNNNNNNNNNNNNNNNNNNNNNNNNNNNNNNNNNNNNNNNNNNNNNNNNNNNNNNNNNNNNNNNNNNNNNNNNNNNNNNNNNNNNNNNNNNNNNNNNNNNNNNNNNNNNNNNNNNNNNNNNNNNNNNNNNNNNNNNNNNNNNNNNNNNNNNNNNNNNNNNNNNNNNNNNNNNNNNNNNNNNNNNNNNNNNNNNNNNNNNNNNNNNNNNNNNNNNNNNNNNNNNNNNNNNNNNNNNNNNNNNNNNNNNNNNNNNNNNNNNNNNNNNNNNNNNNNNNNNNNNNNNNNNNNNNNNNNNNNNNNNNNNNNNNNNNNNUAUUGGACGAAAACGAAUCCUAUUUGUGAGCUAGAUGUCUAUUUAUCAUGUUGCUAUUUACCUCUUCAAGUGUUUGCCUUAUUUUUUAUUCUAAUGUAUGGCACUCUUAUGGGCCUGCAGAAGGUUUCUUUUUAUGCUUUUCCCAAAUUCAUGUUUUUUCCCGCCGAAGAAAAAACUACUCAACUUAUUUUUAAAAUUUUGUCAUGCCUAUUAAAAAAUUGUAUAUGUGUUUUGAAAUAUGUUCAUCAUGCAUUCAAGAAAAAUUCAACAUGUAUUAAACAAAAUAAUGUUCAAAAUUACUCUUACAUUUAUACAAACAUGUUCUUUAUAAAUUUUACAUAUUUAUAGAGUGAUGGAACCUAUGUACCUCAUGUUCAAGUAUUACUGAAAUCCAACGAUCAUUUCCAGCAUUAUUUGCCUGCAGAUUAAAGUGUAACUUGACCCUAUUAGAAUGAUGUAAUGGACUCACUUAUCAAAAUUGAGUUGAGCAUACUCUUACAUUAGAAGGCUUCAAGGCUCCCCAUGAUUUUACAUUCACCCAGUUUAGUUGAUCAAGGGACACAUUUGCACUGAAAACAGACAUUUGUACAGGGAAAUCAAAUAGCCACCACGCCACCAAAGUAUAAGAAUUUUGAUUAAAAAAAGAGACCGAUAUUCAACAGCCAGAUACAUUUGACAUUAUAAAUUUGAUUGACGUCAUUGUUAUUUUUAAAAAAUGCGAUUAUGCCAUAAUUGAGCUUAGCAAUUUUAAUAUUUCAAAUGAGGAAAUCAUCAAGCAAUUUCGGUUUUAGUUCUCAUUUAAUUAAAUUCAUAGUGUUUGUUAUAAAUUAUUUGGAAAACAAUUAACUCUAUGGCUCUUAUUACUAAACAGACUAUCCUGCUAAUGUUUUAUAUAUGGAAUUUGGGUUGGCUAAUUGGAUCCUAGCAAACCAAGACAACGAUGCAUCUUGCUUUACACGUCAAUGAGACUUUAACAAAGCAAACAAUCUGUUUGUCUUACACAAUUUGUGCAUUUAUCAUCAAGCUUAACAUAUACAAGUCCACUAACAAUAUCGAGACCCCCACAUAUAUUAUCCCAGGCCUGCAUAUCCGGUUCAGUGAUUGUUCGACAUAAACAAGACCACUCACAGUACUACUACUAAGCUACUAUACUAAACAAGUCAAUUUUUGUUCAAGUUGAUACCGUUUAGUCGUGUAGAGGAUGUACCUGGCUGGUCAAAUUCGCUGGAGUCAGCUCUGUCUCACCACAGUCUUCACCACCGUGGCCUUGUCUUGUCCGUCGGGGAUACCUCUUCGCCCAGGCCCUGCCUUUGAGGCCGGGUCACGGCACCUCGAUACAUCAUCCUGGAGAUUAUCAGGUCUUGGAAGCAAAAAAAGGAAUAAUUUUCUUCAAGUUGCUACGAUGUAGUCGUGUAGAGGAUGUACCGAGCUGGGCAAAGUCGCUGGAUUAUGCUCUGUCACAAAUGGUCUGCAACAGUUCCACGCCCCCUUGUGACCUACGGCCGCUCGUACCCAGUCGAUGUUGACAUUGUAACAGGUCGAUGAUGCAUUAGGUGCAUCUGUGUUUUGAUUGUGCAUACAACAAAAACAGAAGGUUGUUAAUUGCCAUCUUUCAGAAACAAAACAUUUUAGAUUAUUUGAAUGUUUAUUUAACUUGAUUUAACCGUAUGAAAAUUCAUGUUUACCUAUUCAAACUGAACAAUAAUAAAAAUAGAAUCAAUAUUUAAAUAGACAAAUAAGAUAUUUUGUUUUUAUAUGGCAUGCAAACAGUAAAUUAUCUGCCAUGAUAAGUUGUUUAUUUAAUUAAUACAACAAUUUAUUUUUUAGUAAGUUCUGAUUUCUGACAUCUUUUCUAAUUUAUUAUGAGGUGUGUUUGAUGAAAAAAAGGAAAGAUAUCUACAACAUACGUAAGUAUAUAUGGUAAAACUGGAAAUAUAUCUGCUACUCAGCCUUCCCCUGCAUGGCCUACCUAUAUAUGUUAACCUCCUCUGUCAUCCCUCACCCCCCCUCCUUACUCUCCCUUUUCCCAUCACAGAUAGCAAAGGAUCAUAAUACCCAUACUUGGAGCACCAAUUCCCUAGGAGUACCUUAUGUAAGCAAGGAGCACCAAGAAGGCGAGGUCCUCUAGGUAUGUGAAAAUUUCUGGAUCUUUGUAUUCUGUAAAAGGGCAACAGCUACUAGAUUAGGAUCAUGCUUUGGUCAGGCAUACCAUCAAAAUCCAAAAAAAGAACACCAUUGGAGAUAGUGCCAGGUUAGAAAACUAUCAUAGCCAAUACAAUUGAUUUUAGAUCUAAUCAAGCAGUCCUAUUAGAUGGGCUGCAAUUGAAUACAAACGGUUAUUUCAGAUAUUAUAGGCUAACAGUCUAUUCUGGACAUCGCAAGUGUGGCAUACACCUAACUGUUUAAGUUAUGACCAUAGUUGAUUGCCUAACUUUUAAUGAAAUCUAAUAAAUAUAUUUGAGCCAGAAAAACAAACAAUUAACUUCUUAAGUGUUUCAACAUGCCAGAAAACAAACAAAUUUAAUCAUCUUCUGAUGAUAGAUAUCAUCAGAGUCAUAAUAUUAAAUCAUUACGUGUAAUAGAAAUUGCAUGAGACAUAAUGCUUCGAUGGAAUAGUCUAAAAGUAUUCAUAAAGCCAAAUUUAUUAAUGGCAGUGCUUCCUAAUUUUACCCUCACAAAACAUAAUAUGACAGAAUAUAUACAGAAAUAUGUAGUGCUGCAAACAUUGCAUUUUUCUAUUUCUGAUAGGACCACAUUUUUUUGGAUGAACAAAUACAAUCAUUGGAGUUAACCAAUCAGCAAAAACAUUGUAUUGAUUAAAUAUGAUUGCAUACUCUACAAAAAAUCCAGAUAGUAUUGUGUCUAUCUGGUUUCUAAAUAAGAACUAUUGCAUGGAGAAUACAAGAGAAAAAUAAUCAAACAUGUCCUCAUUUACUGUAUUAGCGAGAUAUUUGAUAAUAUCAAGUUUACAAUAAUAUGUAAAUUAGCACUCUUGCAAUUUAUAUCAGUCACAGAAAAUCACACAGACCUUGCUUAUCCUUGUUCUCCUAUACGUAGCUCAUACCUGUGGACGGCGACUUGCCAUUUUUAACCAUCGUGUGUGUAUCGUCCAAAGUUUGUCGCCGUCCACAGCACUUAUCCUAAAGCUAAUAGUAGCAGUACACGCUCACAUUAGCUAGCACAUACAUUUGUCUAUCUCCCUCUACCUCUCCCUCUCUCUUCUCCUAAAGCUAAUAGUAGCAGUACACGCUCACAAUAGCUAGCACAUACAUUUGUAUAUCUCCCUCUACCUCUCCCUCUCUCUUCUCCUAAAGCUAAUAGUAGCAGUACACGCUCACAAUAGCUAGCACAUACAUUUGUAUAUCUCCCUCUACCUCUCCCUCUCUCUUCUCCUAAUACUAAUAGUAGCAGUACACGCUCACAUAGCUAGCCACAAAUUACAGCAAAACACGGACCGUAGUCCAUUCGCGGGUACUGGGCAGGGGGGAGGGGCCGUUUGUCUCACCUUGACGCGGAAGUGGUGGGGGUUGCCGAAGACGGCGGAGUGGUAGACGAUGAAGACCAAAGGCUGCACCACCGUGACCCGACCUCGUGGUGGUUCUUCUUGCCGGCGAUGUGGACCACAGGCUGCACCACCGUGGUCGUGUCUUUGCCCUGGCCCUCCAUGUGCGGCCGUGCCACGGCGCCUCGAUAGAACAGCGAGGAUGAGAUCAGGUUAGGGAAGCAACAAAUGGAAGAAGUAGAGGAGGAAAUGGUUCGGAUCAGCGUACCGGGGCUUCUGGCGUUGCAGAUCGGCGUACCUUUUCUAAUAUGGAAUCUUAUGGAGCUCUGGGUAGUUAGACCAAUACUCAUCCAGGAUAAGCAACAGUUCCUGUGCUCUACCAAGAGCAUAUGCCGGGAUAAGAACACGCCCCCCUUGAGAAACAGUGUUGUGGAUGGCAUCAGUGAAGCGCUUUUCUCUGACAUGGCGGGGUUGGUGUUGCUGCACGCCAUAAGUUGACUCAAUAAUGCAAAUAUCAGGGGAGAACUGGGGGAUCUCAGCAGCUUUCAGGUGCCGGUCUUCUUCACGGGAGUAGUCACCGGUGUAAAGAAUGCGAACACCGGCAAUAUCCACCAUGAACAUGGCAGCACCAAGUACAUGGCCAGUAGUAUAGCACCAGAAGCGUAUGCCAUUAACUUCAAGUGUCUGGUGGAAGUCUAUGACCUGCAUCACAAUUAUAUAUUAAUACAAUGUCCAUUGUCCCUGUGGACUUUCAAUCCUCACAAGCAGAAUCAGGCCUCAGCUGUAAAGGUAAAAAAUCCUGCUAUUUGGAAGCAAUGCCCAGAUAAUACAGGGUUCUUAAAUCUUAAUUUUACCAACAGCACAGCGACUUUUAAAUGUUUUGACAAUUUAGAAUUAACACUGACACAUAAGUGCUCCAAAGGCAGGAAGCAGGAGCUAGCUAGAUGGGGGGACUGAAUCUAAGUUCACUUUAAAAUAUUACCCAAGCAUGUAAUAUAUAUGUAGGCAACAACUCCAUCUACCUAAAGAACAGAGUUUGACUGAAUUUGUAGGAAAAACUAUCAAGAACUACGAUACCAAAUUAAUAUAAUUGGAUACGCAACAAAAAUAUAUUUUCUUAUUAUAUCUAUUUAGUAUUGUAGUUGUUGAUGAAUUUUCCUACAAACAUGAUCAAACUAUGCACCAUUUGACUUUGGACAACAUUUAUAUGCCUUCUUUUCAGAGACAGGGGGAGUAGUAUCUUUAUUUGUUCUUCUUUUUCUCCUCUAAAUAUAGUGUUUCCAGUUUUCUACCGACCAGGCUUUAUCAAUCAUCAUCGUAUUGGCUACAGGCAAUUCAUACCAAACCAAAUGGAUCAAGUCGUUCACAUUUACACAUGCCGGAAACAACAAGAUAAGCGAAAAUAAGGUACUGUACCUCGAUCUUGUCCAUGGAACGGAUGAUGUCCUGCUCGUCAAACAGCAUGUCCUCUAUCGACACCUUGCUGACCUUGACGUAAUCCGAGAGCAGCAGCCUGUAGAUGGCCUUGGUGGCGUGGGUCAUGAACACGCGGCCCUUGAACGUCGUCUGCAAACAAAAACAAAGCAAAUUCAGGUACCAAACAGCAUAACAACAUCGACCUCCGACGCGUAUUACCUACCUACCUUCUCGAGGAAGUAGGGCAGCGAGGCGGCGUGGUCCAAGUGGAAGCUGCAAUUCCAAUCCAAGGCCGGAAAUUAGGCGUUAGGAACGCAGAUAUGCGCAGGUGGGGAUGGAGGCGCGGUUGCUUACUGGGUGACGAGGAGGACGUCGAUGGCGGAGGGGUCGAUCUCGUCGAAGUAGGGCAGCGCCGCCAUGCCGGAGUAGGCCGUGUGGAUGCCGCAGUCGAACUGGGCACCAGCGAAGAGCCAGUCAGUCGGAUUCCCCCAACAAGAACAAGGCGAGCUAAGCGGGGAGAGGGAGGAGGGGUUUGGAUGCGAACCAGGACGGUGCGGCCCUUGAAGGACAUGUGGACGCAGAAGUGGUGGGGGUUGCCGAAGACGGCGGAGUGGUAGACGAUGAAGACCACAGGAUGCACCACCAUGACCCCGACCUUGUGGUGGUUCUUCUUGCCGGCGAUGUGGACCACAGGCUGCACCAACGUGGCCGUGUCUUCGCCCUGGCCCUCCAUGUGCGGCCGUGCCACAGUGCCUCGAUAGAACAGCGAGGAUGAGAUCAGGUUAGGGAAGCAACAAAUGGAAGAAGUAGAGGAGGAAAUGAUUCGGAUCGGCGUACCGGGGCUUCUGGCGUUGCAGAUCGAGGCACCCCGCUUCGGAUCUGAGCAAGGAACUCGCCGGAGACCAGCACCGCCGCGGAUCCAAACGGCGACCAGAUCCAACACCCGCGCCUGGUCGAUGUGCCCGUGGUCGUCAACAUCUGUCACACACGGGUCGCCGGAGAGUGGUGCGGUGGUCGGCUGGCGGAGUCGUGGUGGUUGCGAGCUCCGCGACGUUCGUGACGAUGCGGCUGGAGUAGGUGAGCGGGUUAGAUGUGCGACUGGCGAGUGAGUUGAGAGGAGAGGGAAGGGACUGAUGCGACAUGAGUGGGCGGAGGAGCGCGGCCGGCAGCUCGUCGACGCGCGCGGCGAUGCGGUGGCGGAGGGGAAAGGGGCAGUUGAAGUGAGUGGAGUGAGGAGUGAAUGGUAUAAGGUGAAUGGGGCGGGGUAGGUGGCCACGAGUUAUGCGGGAGGUGGGGGAGGUGUGCCGUCGUGCUGGGGAGGUGGGCCGUCGCGCGGGGGAGGUGUACCAUCGGGUGGGGAGGUGGGCCGUCGCCUGUGAUGCACUUGUGCUGGGCCUGGCCCAGCUUGUUCCGGCCCUGUGUAAUACUGUGGAUAAAAAUCAACUGUGCAUAUAUAUAUAUAUAUAGAUAAACUAUACAUACCUCACAAAAUCAAUAAAUGUGUAUAAUAAUAUACAUGGUUCAUACUAAUAUACAUUUUUUAUACUUAUUAAAUAAACCAAGGCCAUCACAAAAAAAAUAAGAGGGGGUAAAUAAUAGAAAACACAAAUAUACUUUGUUAAAGAAGGUUUGUUUGCAUGUUUUACUUUCUUUUGUUGGACAGAUUUCCACAGCCUACAUAAAUAAUUUAAAUAAUUUUCAAAUGAUUACUUACUUAUAUAAGAACAUUAUAUUUAGUUGUUUUUCUCGAAUAUACUUUGUUAAUGUUGGUUUGUUUGUUUUAGUUUUUGUUUGACAAUUUUCGCUAUGCUAUACAAUUAAUUAAAAAUAAUUUAAGCAAUUUCAGACCCCUACUUAUAUAUAAACAUUAUAGUUUGUUGUUUUCCCCAAAAUGUUGUGUUAGUAAAAUGAUUUUUAAUAUUUAUUUUUCUAAUAAAAUCAAAUGCCUUUUUUUAGCAGAUAAAACAUUUGUGUUGGUUUCACAUUCAGUUUUAUUAUAUAUUUUAAAUAAUAUUAUGAUGCAGUAAAAAUUAUUAAUUAUAUUUUAGCAUAGAUAUAAAUUGAUGGGUUCCGACAUACGCAUUGAUGCAACAAUGACAGACCACGCUGAAACACCACGAGAAGAGGUGCGUAUAGCUAAACUUCCUUUGUACGUAUCUUAUAGAUGAUAAUACAGAAGGUCUAAUUUUAUAUUUUUGUUAUUUCAGAAUACAGAAGUCAUGGAUAUGGACUUUGGAGAUGCACGGAAAGAAUACAUUGAUGGUUCGGAUGCGAUGUCGCUGAAAGGGGAAAAUUCACAACAUAAAAAUGUCGAAGAGGUUAUAUGUCAUAACAAACCAAAAAAGAUGCCAAUUUACAUGUUCUCCCACAAGGUUUUUUUAUAUCAUUAUCAAAUUUUUUUGUGAUAUUUCCUUUUGUAUUCAACUAAUUUUGCUCAUUUUGAUUGCUAAGUUGGCUCACUUUUUUUAUGAAUUCGACUGACUGUGUUUGUACCCUUAGAGAUAUUACAGUCAUCGAAUCAAUCAAGUCUGCCCCCAAGAAUACCCAGUUUGUGGACAUUGGAGAUGCCUUGUUAUCAACCGACGAUUUGGAAUGCCUUAUAAAAGAUGAUAUAUUCUUACAUGACGGUGUAAGGCCAAAUGCACAAACUUUGUAAUUAAUAAUUUGAACAAAAUAUAAUAUCAUAAAUUGUAAAUAUAAUGUAAAUAUUGAUUACAGGUGAUAAAUGCUUACAUAUAUUGCAUGCUUGCUCACGACCAUCUAAAAGUUAGGGCGGGCGAAAAGGAAGAAAUUGUUAGCACGUUUGUAUCUGGCCAGUUAAAAGAAGACGGGGAAAGAGACAUAGACCCAUCAAAAUAUCACCGCAUCAUGCAUCAUGUCAAUACUUACCUAUGGUUAGUUUUUGUCUCGUUAUCCAUGCAUAUAAUUCUGGAUUGUUUUUAUUUAAUUCAUAGUUAUAAUGAAUUAUUAAUAUUUAUAUCUAAUUGCGAUCGUGACUUGUAUGAUAUUUACACCAGUUAUUCAUUCCGAUUAACAUGUCGGGCUACAAUUGGUAUCUAGCAGUCGCCAAUGCCAAAAAACGUGAGAUUCAAGUAUUGGACUCACUUGGUUCUCGGGUCAAACGCAAUGACCUUGCUACUACGGUAAGUAUAUAUUUUUUUACUCAUCUUAACAUAUGUUUUGUUUGCCUUGUUCCCUAAUAUUUCUCAUAUAUAAAAUAGUUACUAGGACUUGAGAAGUGUCUAAAACUUGUAGAGCAUAGUUUAUCAAAGGUCAUAAGUGGCCCGAUCUUAAUGUUACAAAAUGGACGGUUGUAGAGCAGUUUCAUGAGGCAAUACAAACCGAUGGGUAAGCACAUGUUACAAUGGUUUGUUUAUUUGAUUUAUCUGUGUGGUAUUGUAAAGGAUUGUUUUAUAAUAUUAUAGCGUAUCAUGUGGACUGUUCAUGUUAAAUUAUAUGGAAUACUGGACAUCACAUGGACUGUCAGACACGUUCACCCAGGUAUUCCAUUUUUAUACAUUAUCUCGUUAUUUUAUCUCAAAAUAUUAUAUAAAUUUAUUUUAUAUAUAUUUUGUAGGAGGAUAUGAAACAUUUUAGGAAAAAAAUGGCUAUCAUUUUGCUCGAUUCAGAGCUGAAUAAGCUAAAAGGAGAUCCCAUAUACCAUCAACCUGACGAUGAAGAAACUUUAGCUAACUCUAAUAUCGAGAUCCUGGAGAAUCCAUCUGACGUAGUCAAAGACAAACGUCAUGCCCCAAUCACUAUCAUACCCACGGACCAACGUGAAUUACUUGCCGGCCUCUGCAACUACAUCAUGUCUAUCGAUGAUGUUGGGUGUUUGGAGUAAGUAUCAUGCAUCAAUAUUUAAUGUGCGGAUUUAUAAUAUUAUUCUUCCUAUCAUCCAAUUUAUAGUUAGGUAUGGGUCCGGAGCUCGACACCCGAUCCAAUGGGCUUAAGUCUUAAGAAACUUCAGUGCAUACUUAACAUGGAGCAGACCAUGGACAAUGACUGCUUCAACACAGCCGUGCGCAUGCUGGCAUGUGACGAGGGAGUAUUGUUCACAUACCCUCCUGUGCAUUACAUGGAUCUAUGAUUUUGUGUAAAUUAUCUUAACUCUUCAUUCUAUGUGUCAUUAUUAUCAACAUGUUGAAACAAUAUUUCUUUUUUUACUUAGUCCAUGAUGUUAGAGUCAACACGAGGUCAGAAGUUUUGCGAGAAGGAAACUAUUCAGAGUUUGGCAACAUUAUUUGAUAGCUGGCCUGAGAUGGACAACGACAUCUCAUCGUGCAACAAGGUAAGUAAAUUAUUUUGUCAAUUGUUAUCAUGGUUUAUUGUUGUUUCUAAUACCUGCACUUGUAGAUUUAUCUUCCCUAUGCAUCCAUCGGCCGAUACAUUUUGUACGUCGUUGACAAAGAGGCACGUCGUCUAUAUAUUAUGGAUCCUAUUCAAACAUCAUAAUCGUUAGAGGAGAAAAAUUUGAGGCAUGCACUGAAAUUAAAAAGUUUUGCAAGGGAUUUCAAAGAAGCACUCGAAAUUAAGCUGCCUGGUUGGAAUUAUGAUCUAUCUAAAUGGCAACGUUUAUUUCCGUCCUGUGUUCCAACGAGUAUAGAUGGGUAAUGAAUUCAUAACAAAAACAUUUACUUUUGUUAUUACUAUAUUCUUUACAUUGUUAAUUUAAUGUUUUACAGGAAUUUGUCUGGCUAUUUUGUUUUUCAUUUUAUGCUCUGGUGGAACGGUGAAGAUUUGGUCAAGCCGAUUUGCGCAGUGAGUAUUGUCCGUUACAUGUUUUAAGACCUUCGGCAUGAAAUUUUCAUACUAACUACAUGUAUGCGUUUGUGCAGGAUGGGUAUGAAUUGAGGAAGCAUUUUUUGUUAUACUUGCUAAAACAUCGUGGGAAUGAGGCUAAAGGAAACUUACCGGAUAUUGUGCAAGAAUUUCUUAAGCGCAUCAUCUAGAUAUUAAUAGCUUUGUAAUAGAUGUUUAGUUGGAACAUCGCUCAGUUUGUUACAUGGACAUGUCUUUAAUUUUUCUUAUGUUAUCAAUUUACAUUGCAAAAAUAAAGUUCAGUUAUUAAAUAAUUAUGUUUCUGUUAUAUUGUUUGUACGUGUUGAAUUUAACAUGUAACUCCUGCAAACUUUUUCAAGAGCCCGUGGCAACGCACGGGCACUCUACUAGUAGAUCUAGGUAUUGUCAUCUUUGGUAUGCAAUCCAUAUGUGGCUCUCAUAAUAGAUUCAUAAGGUAAUUUAAUUUUCUUUCUAGGAAAGUGUUCCAUGCCUUUCCUUAACGGAAAUUGGAAUCUAAUAUUUCCUUCUUUCAUGUCAAUAAUUGUACCAAUCGUUCUAAGGAAAGGUCUACCAAUAAUAAUAGAACAUGUAGGAUUGCAAUCUAUAUCAAGAACAAUGAAAUCUACGGGCACAUAAUUCCUAUUUGCAACAAUAAGAACAUCAUUAAUUCUUCCCAUAGGUUUCUUAAUGUUGGAAUCCGCAAGGUGCAAGUUUACAGAAAUUAUCAUAAUUAAAUUCCUUGAAAUCCAAAAUAGUGAGUUCAUUGCUAUGUAAAGUUUAACCUCCUCAAUCCCACUUUUACCAAUUUUUGCAUCAAGAUCUAAAAACUCCGAAUCAUUCGGACACCUUCUAACUAAAAUUGACUCAUCUCCAGUGCCAUCUUUAUCAAUAUUCAUAUUGGCAAACAAAGACUUAAUAGGAGACACACCAAUCACUUUUAGAUCUUCAUCAUUAUUAUCAUGAAAACUAGGAGAACACGCUUUCACAAAGCAAUCUUUUUUUAGCACGCAUCCUAGCGGUUCUUUCUUUGCACUCAUCAAUAGAUAUUUUCAUGGCUUUGAGAGACUCAUUGAUAUCAUGCUUAGGUGGAAUAGAUCUAAGUUUCAAAGAAUCAACAUCAAGAGAAAUUCUAUCCACGUUCCUAACAAACUCAUCAAUCUUAAGCAAUUUUUCUUCAAGCAAAGCAUUGAAAUUCUUUUUCGAAUUCAUAAAUUCUUUAACACUAGUCUCAAAAUCAGAGGGCAUCUUAUUAAAAUUUCCAUAAGAGUUGUUGUCAGAAUUACCAUAAUUAUUAGAGGAAUUACUAGGGAACGACCUAGAGUUAAAAUUUCCUCUAUACGCGUUGUUACCAAAAUUGUUCCUACCAACAAAAUUCACAUCCAUAGAUUCUUUAUUAUUCUCAAUCAAAGUGGACAAAGGCAUAUCAUUAGGAUCAAAAUAAGCACUCUUAUUAGCAAACAACUUCAUAAGCUCGUCCAUCUUUCCACUCAAAACAUUAAUCUCUUCAAUAACAUGAACUUUUUUACUAGUGGAUUUUUCGGUAUGCCAUUGAGAAUAAUUAACCAUAAUAUUAUCUAGAAGUUUAGUAGCUUCUCCUAAAGUGAUUUCCAUAAAAGUGCCUCCCGGGGCCGAAUCUAAAAGAUUUCUAGAAGCAAAAUUCAAUCCAGCAUAAUUUUUUUGUAUAAUCAUCCAUAAAUUCAAACCAUGUGUAGAGCAAUUAUGUAUCAUUAAUUUCAUUCUCUCUCAAGUUUGUGCAACAUGCUCAUGAUCAAGUUGCUUAAAAUUCAUAAUAUCGUUUCUAAGAGAGAUGAUCUUAGCGGGAGGAAAAAACUUAGAGAUAAAAGCAUCUUUGCACUUAUUCCAUGAAUCAAUACUAUUUUUAGGCAAAGAAGAGAACCAAGUUUUAGCACGAUCUCUAAGCGAAAACGGAAAUAGCUUCAAUUUAGCAUGAUCUCUAAGCAAAAACGGAAAUAGCUUCAAAUGGGUAGCGACAUCUUCACUAGGAAGGCCAGAAAAUUGAUCUUUCAUAAUAAGAUUCGACAAAUCGGUGUUGAUUUCACAAGAUUCAGCAUCGGUAGUAGGGAGCAAUCGGAGUGCUAAUAAAAUCAUUGUUGUUGGUAUUGGAAAAAUCACACAAUUUGGUAUUACCUUGAGCCAUCGUGACAAACAAUCAAUUCAACACACAAGCAAACAAGAGGCAAGCGAAAAGAAGCGAACGGAAAAAGGGCGAAUAAAACGGCAAAGGUGAAGUGGGGGAGAGGAAAACGAGAGGCAAAUGGCAAAUAAUGUAAUGCGAGGGAAAAGAGUUUGUGAUGGGUACUUGGUAUGUCUUGACUUGAGCGUAGAUCUCCCCGGCAACGGCGCCAGAAAUGGCUUGUUGACGGGAGAUCAAAUCUUGACUUGACUUGGUGCAACCUCCCCGGCAACGGCGCCAGAAAUCCUUCUUGCUACCUCUUGAGCAUGUUUUGAUUUUCCCUUGAAGAGGAAAGGGUGAUGCAGCAAAGUAGCAUAAGUAUUUCUCUCAUUUUUUGAGAACCAGGGUAUCAAUCCAGUAGGAGAUUGCACGCAAAUCGCCUAGUACCUGCACAAAUAAAUAAGAACCUUGCAACCAACGCGAUAAAGGGGUUGUCAAUCCAUUCACGACCACUUGCAAAAGUAAGAUCUGAUAAAGAUAAUAAGAUAAAUAUUUUUGGUAUUUUUAUUGUAUAGAUUGGAAAAUAAAGAUUGCAAAAUAAACGGCGACAGAAAUAGCUAGUUGACGGGAAAUUAAUAUGAUGGAAAGUAGACCCGAGGGCCAUAGGUUUCACUAGUGGCUUCUCUCAAGAUAGCAUAUCUUAUGGUGGGUGAACAAAUUACUGCCGAGCAAUUGAUAGAAAAGCGCAUAUUUAUGAGAAUAUCUAGGCAUGAUAAUAAACAUAGGCAUCGUGUCAAGUAGACUGAAACGAUUCUCCAUAUACUACUAUUACCCCACACAUCGACCACUAUCAGCAUGCAUCUAGAGUAUUAAGUUCAAGAGAACAGAGUAACGCUUUAAGCAAUAUGACAUGAUGUAGAGGGAUAAACUCAUGCAAUAUGAUAUAAACCCCAUCUUGUUAUCCUCGACGACAAAAUACAAUACGUGCCUUGCUGCCCCUGCUGUCACUAGGAAAGGACACCGUAAGAUUGAACCCAAAGCUAAGCUCUUCCCCCAUUGCAAGAAAGAUCAAUCUAGUAGGCCAAGCCAAACUGAUAAUUCGAAGAGACUCGCAAAGAUAUCAAAUCAUGCAUAUAAGAAUUCAGAGAGGAAUCAAAUAUUGUUCAUAGAUAAACUUGAUCAUAAACCCACAAUUCAUCGGAUCUCGGCAAACACACCACAAAAAGGAUUACAUCGAAUAGAUCUCCAAGCACAUCGAGGAGAACUUUGUAUUGAAGAUCAAAGAGAGAGAAGAAGUCAUCUAGCUAAUAACUAUGGACCCGAAGGUCUGUGGUAAACUACUCACACAUUACGGAGAGGCUAUGGUGUUGAUGUAGAAGCCCUCCAUGAUCGAAUCCCCCUCCGGCAGAUCGCCGGAAAAGGUCCCCAGAUGGGAUCUCACGGGUACAGAAGGUUGCGGCGGCGGAAAAGUCGUUUCGUGGCUCCCCUGGAUGUUUUCAGGGUAUAAGACUAUAUAUAGGCGAAAGAAGUAGAUCGGUGGAGCUAUGAGGGGCCCAUGAGGGUGGGGGGCGUGAUACGUUUCCGUCGUAUCUAUAAUUUUUGAUUGUUCCAUGCCAAUAUUCUACAACUUUCAUAUAUUUUGGCAACUUUUUAUUUAUUUUUUGGGACUAACAUAUUGAUCCAGUGCCCAGUGCCAGUUCCUGCCUGUUGCAUGUUUUAUGCUUCGUAGAAUAUCCAUAUCAAAUGGAAUCCAAACGGGAUAAAAACGAACGGAGAAUAUUUUUGGAAUAUUUGGAGAAUUCCGGAAAAAAAAUCCACGCGAGACGGUGCCCGAGGUGGCCACGAGGCAGGGGGGCGCCCCCCUGACCCUCAUGGUCCACCCAUAAGGCGGUUGAUGCCCUUCUCCGGCCACAAGAAAGCUAUUUUUUGGAAAAAAAUCGCAGCGAAGGUGUCGUUCCAAUUGGAGUUACGGAUCUCCAUAUAUAUACGAAACGGUGAAAGGGCAACAGAACAGAACGCAAAAACAGAGAGAGACAGAGAGACAGAUCCAAUCUCGAAGGGGCUCUCGCCCCUCCCAUGCCAUGGAGGCCAAGGACCAGAGGGGAAACCCUUCUCCCGUCUAGGGAGGAGGUCAAGGAAGAAGAAGACGAAGGGCCCCCCUCUCCCCUUCUCUUCCAGUGGCGCCGGAACGCUGCCGUGGCCAUCAUCAUCAUCACCGUGAUCUACACCAACACCUCUGCCAUCUUCACCAACAUCUCCGUCACCUUCCCCCCUCUAUCUACAGUGGUCCACUCUCCCGCAACCCGCUGUACCCUCUACUUGAACAUGGUGCUUUAUGCUUCAUAUUAUUAUCCAAUGAUGUGUUGCCAUCCUAUGAUGUCUGAGUAGAUUUUCGUUGUCCUAUCGGUGGUUGAUGAAUUGCUAUGAUUGAUUUAAUUUUCUUGUGGUUAUGUUGUUGUCCUUUGGUGCCCAUCGUAUGAGUGCACACGUGGAUCACACCCUAGGGUUAGUUGUAUGUUGAUAGGUCUAUGUAUUGGAGGGCAAGAGUGACAGAAGCUUCAACCUAGCGUAGAAAUUGAUGCAUACGGGGUUGAAGGGGGACCAAUAUAUCUUAAUGCUAUGGUUGGGUUUUACCUUAAUGAACAUUAGUAGUUGCGGAUGCUUGCUAAUAGUUCUAAUCAUAAGUGCAUAGAAUCCCAAGUCAGGGAUGACAUGCUAGGAGUGGCCUCUCCCACAUAAUACUUGCUAUCGGUCUAGUAAAGUGGUCAAUUGCUUAGGGGCAAUUUCGCAACUCCUACCACCACUUUUCCAUACUCGCUAUAUUUACUUUAUUGUGUCUUUACUUACAACAGCCCCUACUUUUUAUUUACGUAAUCUUUAUUAUCUUGCAAACCUAUCCAAAAACACCUUCAAAGUACUUCUAGUUUAAUACUUGUUCUAGGUAAAGCGAACGUCAAGCGUACGUAGAGUUGUAUCGGUGGUCGAUAGAACUUGAGGGAAUAUUUGUUCUGCCUUUAGCUCCUCGUUGGGUUCGACACUCUUACUUAUCGAAAACUGUUGCGAUCCCCUACACUUGUGGCUUAUUAAGAUCUUUUUCUAGCGCCGUUGCCGGGGAGCAAUAGCAUGGGGUGAAUAUUCUCGUGUGUGCUUGUUUGCUUUAUCACUAAGUAAUUUUUAUUUGUUGUUCUUAGUUGUUUUCUAUCUUUAGUUAUUGGUAGGAAACAAAAAAUACCAAAAAAAUUAGUUGUACCUACUAAACCAAUGGUUGAAGAACCACUCAAAAUCUAUCACACUGCAGAAGCUUAUUACUUGGAUCAUCUUCGAUCCCUAUGUGCUCGUGCUGAAACCCCAACUAGCUUAGUUGAGGGAAAAUCUUUAGAUGAGCAUGCUUGUUAUGUGCGACACCAAAUAUCUGAAAAAGGGAAAAUUUUGCUGGGUCAAAUUCAUCGUUUGCAAUGCUAUGCUUGGAAUUUAUGCGAAAUAUAUGAUAUUACUUGUUGUUCUGAAAACCCUAAGAAACACCUUCCCUAUCAAUGUGAGUUUAGUGAUAAUGGAAUUGUAUCUUCGUAUGCUAAGGGUGUUUAUAGUUACUAUGAUGUUCAACAAAUUGAAGAAUUUGUUGGUUUCAAGGGUGCUUAUGAAAUUACUUCUUUGAUCGAAACGUAUGAUGCUACUUUUUACAAAUCUGAAAAUAUUGCCAUACUUAAAUAUUGCUGUGAUAAUUAUGCUUCUAAUGCCUGUGUUGAACCAUAUAUUGAGGACUACCCCGCUGUCCAAGAAGAGACUAAUAUUUGCAGGAGUCUAUGGAAGAAGAAAUUGAUGAAACUGUGAGCUCAUUGGAUGAAAAAGAUGAGGAGGAGAGCGAAGAACAAAAGAAGGAAGAGCGGAUUAGCUACCCUUGCCGACCUUGUAAUGAGAGUAACUCUUCAACUCAUACAUUAUUUAAUUUCCCUUCGUGCUUACCGAAGGAUGAUUGUUAUGAUCCCUUUGAUUCUCUUGAAAUAUCCCUUUUUGAUGAUGCUUGCUAUGCUUGUGGCCAAGAUGCUAAUAUGAAUUAUGCUUAUGGAGAUGAACUUUCUAUAGUUCCUUAUGUUAAACAUGAAAUUGUUGCUAUUGCACCCACACAUGAUAGUCCUAUUAUCCUUUUGAAUUCUCCCGACUACACUAUAUCGAAGGUUGCCCUUAUUAAGGAUUAUAUUGAUGGGUUGUCUUUUACCGUUGCACAUAAUGAUUUUGAUGAAUAUAAUAUGCAUGUGCUUGCUGCCCCUACUUGCAAUUAUUAUGAGAGAGGAACUAUAUCUCCACCUCUCUAUAUUUCCAAUACAACAAAAUUGCAAGAAACUGUUUAUACUAUGCAUUGGCCUUUACCAUGUGUGUAUGAAUUGUUCUUUUAUGACAUGUCGAUGCAUAGGAAGAGAGUUAGACUUUGUUGUUACAUGAUAUAUGUUACUUUGUACUCACUACUAAAUUACAAAUCAUUGUUAAUUAAAAUUGGCUUUGAUAUACCUUGGGAUUCGGGUGGAUCAAUUACUUGAGCACUAUAUGCCUAGCUUAAUGGCUUUAAAGAAAGCGCUGCCAGGGAGACAACCUGGAAGUUUUAGAGAGUCAUUUAUUUCUGUUGAGUGCUUUCAUAUAGUUUAAAAAUAACAAAAAUAAAGAGGGGAACCCAAAACUUUUUCAAAAAGAAAGUGAAAGUGAGAAAGACAAGCAUUGUUGAAGUGGAAGAGCUCCUUGAACUUUGUUCAUGCUCACGGCAACUUUGUGAACCUUGAUUACAGAAACUUUUCAACAAAAAUAAUUAUCCCCUUGUACAAUUCCAUUGUAUUAUAAACAUAAUGUGCCAAGGUUUACCUUUAGGAUGUUUACAUUUGCUUGAUGGUUUGUAUGGUGCAGGACAGAAACUUUGGCUGUAGUGCGUGCUUUUACAUUUUUAACUCAAACGUCAAACGGUUCUGAUUCUUUUUGCACUGUCUUCCUAUACAAAUUGUUUAUGUUUCCUAAUUUUCGCAGAAUUUUUCAAGUAUCAUAAGUAUGGUGAAUGUUCAGAUUAUUACAGACUGUUCUGUUUUAGACAAAUUCUGUUUUUGAUGCAUAGUUUGCUUGUUUUGAUGAAACUAUCGAUUCAUAUCAGUGGAUUAAGCCAUGAAAAAAAGUUAUAUUACAGUAUACACAAUGCAAAAACAAAAUAUGAAUUGGUUUGCAAUAGUACUUAGAGUAGUGAUUUGCUUUAUUAUACUUACGGAUCUUACCGAGUUUUCUGUUGAAGUUUUGUGUGGAUGAAGUGUUCGAUGAUCGAGAAGGUCUCGGUGUUGGAAGAAGUAAGAGAGGCAAGAGCUCAAGCUUGAGGAUGCCCGAGGCACCCCAAGUAAAUAUUCAAAGAGACUCAAGCGUCUAAGCUUGGGGAUGCCCCGGAAGGCAUCCCCUUUUUCUUCAACAAAUAUCGGUAUGUUUUAGGAUUCGUUUCGUUCAUGCGAUAUGUGCAAUCUUGGAGCGUCUUUUGCAUUUAGUUUUCACUUUUCUUUUAUGCACCAUGCUGGUAUGACAUAGUCCUUGGUUGAUUUAUAGAAUACUCUAUGCACUUCACUUAUAUCUUUUGAGUAUGGCUUUAUAGAAUGCUUCAUGUGCUUCACUUAUAUCAUUUGAAGUUUGGAUUGCCUAUUUCUCUUCACUUAGACAACCACCAUUUGUAGAAGGCUCUUUUGCUUCACUUAUAUUUGUUAGAGCGCGGGCAUAUCUUUUGUAGAAAGAAUUAAACUCUAUUGCUUCACUUAUAUCUAUUUAGAGAGAUGACAUGAAUUGGUCAUUCACAUGGUUAGUCAUAAAAUCCUGCAUAAAACUUGUAGAUCACUGAAUAUGAUAUGUUUGAUUCCUUGCAAUAGUUUUGGGAUACAAAGAUGGUGAUAUUAGAGUCAUGCUAGUGGGUAGUUGUGGAUUAGUAGAAAUACUUGUGUUGAGGUUUGUGAUUCCCGUAGCAUGCACGUAUGGUGAACCGUUAUGUAACAAAGUCGGAGCAUGAGGUAUUUAUUGAUUGUCUUCCUUAUGAGUGGCGGUCGGGGACGAGCGAUGGUCUUUUCCUACCAAUCUAUCCUCCUAGGGGCAUGCAUAGUAGUACUUUGCUUCAAGGGCUAAUAAAAUUUUGCAAUAAGUAUGUGAGUUCUUUAUGACUAUUGUUGAGUCCAUAGAUUAUACGCACUCUCACCCUUCCAUCAUUGCUAGCCUCUCUAGUAUCGCGCAACUUUCGCCGGUACCAUAAACCCACCAUAUACCUUCCUCAAAACAGCCACCAUACCUACCUAUCAUGGAAUUUUCCAUGGCCAUUCCGAGAUAUAUUGCCAUGCAACUUCCAUCAUCAUCAUAUACAUGACUUGAGCAUUCAUUGUCAUAUUGCUUUGCAUGAUCGUAAGAUAGCUAGCAUGAUGUUUUCAUGGCUUGUCCGUUUUUUGAUGUCAUUGCUACGCUAGAUCAUUGCACAUCCCGAUACACUGCCGGAGGCAGUCAUAUAGAGUCAUAUUUUUGUUCUAGAUAUUGAGUUGUAAGUAAAUAAAAGUGUGAUGAUCAUCAUUAUUAGAGCAUCCCCCCCAAAGAGAGAGGCCAAAGAAGUCUAAAUAAAAAAGGGGGCCAAAGAAGCCCACACACACACAAAAGGGGGCAAUGUUACUAUCCUUUUACCACACUUGUGCUUCAAAGUAGCACCAUGUUCUUCAUAUAGAGAGUCUCUUGAGUUAUCACUUUCAUAUACUAGUGGGAAUUUCACUAUAGAACUUGGCUUGUAUAUUCCAACGAUGGGCUUCCUCAAAUGCCCUAGGUCUUCAUGAGCAAGCAAGUUGGAUGCACACCCACUUAGUUUCAGUUUGAGCUUUCAUAUACUUAUAGCUCUAGUGCAUUUGUUGGAUGGCAAUCCCUACUCACUCACAUUGAUAUCUAUUGAUGGGCAUCUCCAUAGCCCGUUGAUACGCCUAGUUGAUGUGAGACUAUCUUCUCAUUUUUGUCUUCUCCACAACCACCAUUCUAUUCCACCUAUAGUGCUAUAUCCAUGGCUCACGCUCAUGUAUUGCGUGAGGGAUGAAAAUGCUGAAGCGCGUUAAAGAGUAUGAACCAAUUGCUCGGCUUGUCAUCAGGGUUGUGCAUGAUGUGAAUAUUUUGUGUGGUGAAGAUGGAGCAUAGCCAGACUAUAUGAUUUUGUAGGGAUAGCUUUCUUUGGCCUUGUUAUUUCGAAAAGACAUGAUUGCUUUAUUAGUGGGCUUGAAGUAUUAUUGCUUUUAUGUCAAAUGAUAGACUAUUGCUUUGAAUCACUCGUGUCUUAAUAUUCAUGCCAUGAUUAGAUAUGUCAUGAAGAUUAUGCUAGGUAGCAUUCCACAUCAAUUUUUUUAUCAUUUACCUACUCGAGGACGAGCAGGAAUUAAGCUUGGGGAUGCUGAUACGUCUCCGUCGUAUCUAUAAUUUUUUAUUGUUCCAUGCCAAUAUUACUACCCUUCUCCCAUCUAGGGAGGAGGUCAAGGAAGAAGACGACGAAGGCCCCCCCUCUCCCCUUCUCUUCCGGUGGCGCCGGAACGCUGUCGUGGCCAUCAUCAUCAUCAUCGCGAUCUACACCAACACCUCCGCCAUCUUCACCAACAUCUCCAUCACCUUCCCCCCUAUCUACAGCGGUCCACUCUCCCGCAACCCGCUGUACCCUCUACUUGAACAUGGUGCUUUAUGCUUCAUAUUAUUAUCCAAUGAUGUGUUGCCAUCCUAUGAUGUCUAAGUAGAUUUUCGUUGUCCUAUCGAUGGUUGAUGAAUUGCUAUGAUUGAUUUAAUUUUCUUGUGGUUAUGUUGCUGUCCUUUGGUGCCUAUCGUAUAGUGAACACGUGGAUCAUACCCUAGGGUUAGUUGUAUGUUGAUAGGACUAUGUAUUGGAGGGCAAGAGUGACAGAAGCUUCAACCUAGCAUAGAAAUUGAUGCAUACGGGAUUGAAGGGGGACCAAUAUAUCUUAAUGCUAUGGUUGGGUUUUACCUUAAUGAACGUUAGUAGUUGCGGAUGCUUGCUAAUAGUUCCAAUCAUAAGUGCAUAGAAUUCCAAGUCAGGGAUGACAUGCUAGGAGUGGCCUCUCCCACAUAAUACUUGCUAUCGGUCUAGUAAAGUAGUCAAUUGCUUAGGGGCAAUUUCGCAACUCCUACCACCACUUUUCCACACUCGCUAUAUUUACUUUAUUGUGUCUUUACUUACAACAGCCCCUACUUUUUAUUUAUGUAAUCUUUAUUAUCUUGCAAACCUAUCCAAAAACACCUUCAAAGUACUUCUAGUUUCAUAGUUGUUCUAGGUAAAGCAAAUGUCAAGCGUACGUAGAGUUGUAUCGGUGGUCGAUAGAACUUGAGGGAAUAUUUGUUCUGCCUUUAGCUCCUCGUUGGGUUCGACACUCUUACUUAUCGAAAUCUGUUGCGAUCUCCUACACUUGUGGGUUAUCAGGGUGCGCCUACCCCGCUGGGCGCGCCCUCCUGCCUCAUGGCCGCCUCGUGGCUUCCUUGACCUCCACUCCAAGUCUUCUGGAUUGUGUUUGUUCCAAAAAAGAUCAUCACGAAGGUUUCAUUCCAUUUGGAUUACGUUUGAUAUUCCUUUUCUGCGAAACACUGAAAUAGACAAAAAACAACAAUUUGCGCUGGGCCUUCGGUUAAUAGGUUAGUCCAAAAAAAUACAAAAGUGCAUAUUAAAGCUCAUUAAACAUCCAAAACAGAUAAUAUAAUAGCAUGAAACAAUUAAAAAUUAUAGAUACAUUGAAGACGUAUCAGGCCACCUUCCCCAGUGGGCCAAGUGGGCUGAACAAGGGUGGGAACUAGCCCCUAGUGGGCCGGUGCGCCCCCAAGGGCCCAAGGCGCCUCCCACCAAACUUGGGGGCAAGUUCCCCCUUGGCCGCCCCCUCUAGAUGGGAUCUAAAGGGGCUGCCCCCUCUCCCUUCACCCUAUAAAUAGAGGGGGGUGGGAGGGCAGCCGCACCCUUUCCCCGGUGCAACCCUCCCCCUCUCCAACACCUCCUCCUCCUCCUCCAUAGUGCUUGGCGAAGCCCUGCCGGAGAACUGCAAGCUCCACCACCACGCAGUCGUGCUGCCGUAGCUCUCCCUCAACUUCUCCUCUCCCCUUACUGGAUCAAGAAGGAGGAGACGUCCCCAGGCUGUACGUGUGUUGAACGCGGAGGCGCCGUCCGUUCGGCGCUUGAUCGGAUCUUCCGCGACUUGAAUCGCCGCGAGUACGACUCCAUCAACCACGUUUUUGUAACACUUUCGCUUAGCGAUCUUCAAGGGUAUGAAGAUGCACCCCCUUUCUCUCUCUCUCUCUCUCUCUCUCUCUCUCUCUCUCUCUCUCUCUCUCUCUCUCUCUUUCGUUGCUAGCAUCUCCUAGAUUGAUGUUGGUGACAUGUAGGAAAAUUUUGAAUUAGUAUUACAUUCCCCAACAGUCGGAGCAACCAAAUCCUGAUGAAAAUUGCAUGCAAAUUUCUUUGCAAGCCAUUAGCACUACUAGAGUGAGCACUUUGUUUGUAUUAGUACAGGUUGGAGGCAAACAAGCUCUUGCUUUAGUGGAUUCCGGAACUAAUUCUACAUUUAAGUCUGAAAUUUGCUUUGACUACAAAUUGUCCUAUACUGAAAGAUUAGUCUAUAGUUGUGAUAGUGGAGGUAUUUUGUGGCGUGGCUAAUAUUUUCCUACUACUACAUUUCACAUGGGCAAAGAAGAGUUUGAACAUUCUUGUAGGAUUCUUAAUUUGUCAUAGUAUGACAUGGUAAUUGGGUGUGAUCUGCUAGCAAAGCACAACCCUAUGUCUUUUGAUUAUGAAAACAAUCAAAUACUGAUGAGGAAGAAUGGUACCCAUCAAACUACUAUCUCUGCUUGUAACUCAUUUUCUGCAGCCACAGAAAUUUACAGUUCAAAAUCAGCUUCUAUGCUAACAACUGGAGCUAUUGGAUAUGCUAUUUAUCCGAUCAGGGAUGUCACUGUUACCAAGGAGUAAACACAUGUAACCCCUCCCGCAAUAGAAUAACUACUACAACAAUAUCCUAAGGUGUUUGCAUAACCCGAGGGACUGUCUCCUAUAAGAAGUUGUGACCAUAAAAUUCCCCUACAACCCAAUGUUGUAGCUAUAGCUACAAUACAAUGUAAAGGAGAGGUUCCUCUUUAAUAGAGUGUUUCGAUUCCCAAUUUCCCUCGAAAUCCUAGCCUCUUUGCUUGAUUUUCUCCUCCAAUCCACCCCGGAGUGUGACAGGCAUCGAGGAGGGGUGAUGGCUGCCAGUGUCUCGGUCAUCAGGGUGUGUCGGCGGUGCUAUGUGAUCUACACAUCGCAUACUGGUUUGACAAGCACCUUCCAGGUGAACAACAACACAUCGGCUGUAGCGCUUCCUCGAAGGAUGAGCCCCAUCCGCAUGUGUGCGCGUGUGAACAGUGAUGAUCCGAUAGUGCAGCUUAGCCUUCUACAUAUGCGGCGGUUGGGCAAAGGGGAAGUGAUUUGGGGCUUGGGAGCUGGGAGUCGAGGAAGGUCAUGUUAAUGAAGCGGUUUGGGCUUUGAGGCAGCAGUUUGCAGGAUAGUUGUGUGAUUAGUUUAAGCGUUAGCAUGGGAGGGAUGAGCAAGAGGAGAGGGGCAGACAAAGGACAUGCGAAAUGGAAACAUUACGUAUUUUUUGAAAAUAGAAGAGAUAUCUUUGAAUCAAAUGUCUAAAUUAAAUCUCGUUUGCAUAUUCAUGUUCCUUGUGAUCAAGGCUUUGAAAUAAAAUAACUAUUGCAUACGUUUUGAUAAGUUUUAAAACUUCAUCAGGUUUCAUCUUCUGAAACUUGGUACCAAUAAAACUAGGUAUGGUCCCGUGUGGAAUCCAACGAUUUAGCGAAUCGUGAAACAAUCUACAACCGGACACAUGUGUCCUUACAAAAGAUUAAACGAAAUAGCAAACACGUAGAAUAGAAAUAUAAAUAUUAGAUAAAAAAGUUUCCCGCAAAAAAAUGUAGAUAGAAAGUACAAGCUCGACUACGUUGUGAGCAAACCAUACGAACAAAUGGCAUGACGGUCGUUUCACGGCCAGCUUCCGACCGAGCCCGGCCGCCAAAUGCUGGAUACAAACGCACACGCGUCGACAACGCAUGCAUGCCAGCAGAGUCUUGAGCUUCGAAAUUGCUUCAUGCACGAUUUUUCUGGCCGACGCAUGCACGACACAGAAAUUCAACGGCUGAUGCCUGAUGUAUGCACGCAUGUGUAACCGGAUUUUAAACAUCGUCUAUGAGUCGUCCAUUUUUGUCGUGUGUAUAGCAUAGCUCCUUGAGCUUCUCGGCACCUCCCCUUUCUCGGAUAACUCCAUGCCUGCGAGAGGGCACGCCCAUUACGUGCUGUCUUCCAGGCCCUUGCCGGACACGUGGCGCGACAGCAGGGACAACGAGCAGGCCGACGACCGUCCGCGUCGCCGCACACGUGCCGCCUCCGUGCUUCACGACGCACCGCGCCCCUCCAGCUAUAAAAACGCGGCGUAUGACUCGUCCUUGCCACCAUCAUUGGCUCGAGCAUCAGCAGUUGCAUACAUCACACGCACACGUCCGUUUCAGGAACCUUAGCGGUCGAGCACCUGUCAGCAAUGGCGUCCGGUCAGGAGAAGGGGAGGUCGGAGCUGGACAGCUUGGCCCGCGAGGGGCAGACCGUCGUCCCCGGAGGCACCGGCGGGAAGAGCUACGAGGCGCAGGAGAAACUCGCCGAAGGUACGUACUUAAGAUAUGCCAAUGCUACAUACAUACUGAACAUGCAUUGUUGUAACAAGCGCGCAUUGCUGCAGGGCGCAGCCGUGGUGGGCAGACUCGGAAGGAGCAGAUGGGGGAGGAGGGGUACAGUGAGAUGGGGCGCAAGGGCGGGCUGAGCACCAACGACGAGUCCGGCGGCGAGCGCGCCGCCAGGGAGGGCAUAGACAUCGACGAGUCCAAGUUCAAGACCAAGUCCUAGAUGUUCAGUUCAGUGCCUCCUAGCUUAGCAAAGCAACUGACUGCUCGCCCGUGUUUGGAUGUUGUCCGUUUAGCGUGUCCCAGGUACUGAAUAAUGUAGGUCGUCAGGUACUCGGAUCUUGACGUGAGAACGCAUGUAGUAGGUGAUCAUGUGUCCAGUGAUCGUGUGUGCUUUAGUGUCCCAGCUAGCUUCUACUAGCUGGUUGUCGUUGUAAGUUGUGGCCAAGCUAUGCUGCUCUCUGUAAUGUAGUGCGUCUGUUUGUUUGUUAUGAAUCUGAAACUCCGUCUGUGUGCAAUGUUCGCUCAGCAAUGUACCUGGUAUAUGGUAUAAAUAGUUCCCAUUCCCCAAGAAAUCCUAAACCUACGAACUCAGCGAGAUGGACGCCAAGUGAAUCCCGUUCGGGAUCUAACCCUCGAGCAUCAAGAUAACCGGUGGUACUACAAUUUCUGACGCUUUUUUUUUGAGAAGUACUAUAUUUAUAUCAAUAUAAUAUCAACAUAUUACAACAUACAUUCUCUCGAAAUAGGCUUUCGCUCCGCUUUAUAAAUAAAACAACGAUCCACACGAUCCAAGUUUGAACAAUAUCCAACAGAAAACGGCUGGGCCACAACAUAAAUAAGCCCAAGAAAGCAUAAAAAAAAUAUAAAAAAAACCACCUAAUGGCUACCACUAAGCGGCCCUACAAGGACGCCAGCUGACGCGCCGAGGCCAAAAGCGCAUCCAUUAUCAAGCCGAGGCGAUCACGAUCACGCUGCCUCGAGAGCGGGUGCCGAGGCCAAAAGCGCAUCCAUUAUCAAGCCGAGGCGAUCACGAUCACGUUGCCUCGAGAGCGGGUGUCAGUGCUACAUGAAAGCAAGGAAUUUGAAGAGGGAGUCAGAUGCCUUCUUCGAGAAAACCUUCUCAAUCACCAUCUUAUUCCUAAUCGUCCAAAGAGUCCACGACAUUGCCGCAAAAUAAGCCAAAAUAGACGGUGAUGUCGUGCUGGCUGUAUAACUCGAAGCUGAAGGAACUCCGCGAGAUUUAGGGCCUCCCAGUCAGGCCCCAACACCUCGCGGACGAAAGUCCAUAAUACUCUCGUUGCCGUACAAGAGAAGAGAAUAUGGUUCCCAGUCUUCGGUACUGCAUAGAGAGGGCAUAUACCGUCCUCAGAUCCGUGCCGCUUAAGUACCUCUAUUCUCGAGAGGACACGAUUUCGUAGAAGUUGCCAAACAAAAAUCUUACUUUUUAAUGGGACGGGGGCUUUCCAUAGAGGGGGCAAGCCAGGGGCUAGUUGCCGACGGGCAAAGGACCUGGUAUGCCGUGCCCCAAAGAACUCCACUGUCAGCGUGCGACGUCAUGAAACUGUGUCCGGAUAAUCCAAGAGCACGAGCGGCAGGGCGGCCCGCAAUAUAGUCCAUACAUGGCAGAUCUGAGGAGAAAUCUAAAAAGAUAUCACACCAAGAGAAAUUGCAAGAAACAGAGAAAAUAGAAAAAUCUUACUGGUCCUUGCAUCCACCAACAAAACGAGCAUAAUCUUCAGCCACCGCCGUCGUCGUACUCGGAUCUUGACGUGAGCACGCAUGUAGUAGGUGAUUAUGUGUAUAGUGAUCAUGUGUACUUUAGUGUCCCGGUUAGCUUCUAUGGCCUUUCCUGGUGCUCCAUGGUAUACAGGUGCUAAGGGUGUCACAUAAGCAAAAAUAUGAUGUGACAAAGCAAUUAAAAAGGAGACAGAGCAUCAGGGCCGGUUCUGAGAUUUUGGGGGUCCGGGACGAAAGUAACAUUCGGGACCCUUAAUAUAAUCAUCACAACAAUAAUAAUUAAUUUAAUUCUACACGGAAUGUUUCUAAUAAAUACAACUACAUCCAAAAUCCGUGUUUAUAUAAUAACUUAUACACAUUAUUAUCUUAAAAAAAUUAUUGUAACACUCUUUGAUACAAAGUCACUUAUGGUUGUGUCGAUGUCAAUCUCAUCCUUCUUUCGCAUGCAUAAUGUUGCCUAACCAUUUAAGCUCUAUUGGGUCAUUGUUUAUGCCAAAUGGUCCUUCAAUAAUUUCAAGUUUGAAAAGCUUUUUUUAGUUGUUGCAAAAAUCACAUGCACAGUAAAUUCGAAUAAAUCUUUACACACCAUGAGUUUUUUAAGCCCUUUUUCAAUGAAGUGAUUGAUAUGAUCACCAAAAGAAACAAAUAUUUAACAUGAAAUUUUUCUCGCCUUCUAGAAUUUCUUCUUGGUCAACUACUUUUAUCAAACUGAUUCUCCUCAUAGCACGAAACUUUGCUUGAAAUUGUCGGGAAUAGUAAUAUGAUAUACCUCAGAGUGAUUGGAUCGGGGCAAUGAUGUGAUGUGGAUGUCUAGUGGUAGGUGCUCGGUGAUGUACGCAUGCGCUAACUCCAUCAGUGUCAAUUUUUAGGAGCCAGGCGAUGUUCGUGCUGCGUUUUCACCGCGUACAACGGCUUGAGACCAGCCAGCCUUCUGCGACUUGGGAUCUGAAGUUUGGAACAAGGGAACAGAGAAUAGGAAAUUUGGGAUGAACACAUGACGAACAAUCUCAUCUUUUUUAAGGAGAAAGAAUGUUUCCCGAUCGCAAGGAAUAAGGAAAGAGAACGGUACUGUGUCAAAAAAAAAGGAAAGAGGAAAGAGAACACCCGCAAAAAAAAGGAAAGAGGACACCCGCAAAAAAAAGGAAAGAGGACAGGGACGACAUGAUUUACGUGUGUACGCUGAUCUUUUUUUCCACCGUGAUCUGAUUUACGUGAUUUACGUGCGUACGCUAUUACCUGCCAUCCCAGCCAUCCCUUGGUAGGCUACUUUUUUUCAACAAGAAGCUAUGGGCUUAUGGGCUCCUACACCUGAAAGGGGCCCCUUGGAUCUUGGGGGCCCGGGGGGCCCCCCCCCCCCCCUCAGGGCCGGCCCUGCAGAGCAUUAUAGUGAUCCCAAUAAAAACCAAUGUUAAGCACGUGGACCUAGGAAAAAGACUACCAACCAAUACAUGAAGAAGUUUUAUUAUUAAACAAUUAAAUAGAGGAGGAUUAGCUACAACACCUAAGCAUCGAUGCAUUGGGGAUAUUAGUUGCUAAGCAUCUUAAUGCACUUAGCACCCCACUUUAGCACCAAUGCAUUGGGAGAGGUCUAUUAGCUGGUAGUAGCCGUCGCUGUAAGUUGUCAGUUGUGACCAAGCUAUGCUUCUGCUCUCUCUAACGUCUGUUUGUUAUGAAUCUGAAUCUCUAUCUGUGUGCAAUAUUCUUACUCCAGAUUUACUGCUCGGCAAUGUACCGGUACGUGUUAUAUCAUGCGAGUGAUAGGCUAUGUAUCACAAUGCAUGGUUGAUUUCGCUAUGUAAUGGCUGACAUUCAUUAGCUCGUCAUAAAUUCAAAGUAUAUACUCCCAUCACCAUCAUGUUUGGUAGGAGUAGAAGAAAUUGGAUCAAGAGAAACAAUCAAUAAAACAUUGUUUCAUAUCCAAGAGCCGUUCUUCAAGGAUUGCCGAGCAGUGACAUCUAUGGUUGGUGCAGGCCACCAUGAUUUACAUCCUAGGUAUAUGAGGCUAGUACUGCCCAUUUUGCCACCUGUCUAUGGUUUUUUUUAGCCACGACUUACUUUGCAUUUGAUAAUUUGCCACUCUUUACAUCGUAAUUGAUAUUUUGCCCCUCUUUACUUUGCACUUUGAUCUUUUGCCCUAUGUAGGGUGGGUCUCAUGUAAAAUGACUAGAAUAUCCCCGUCCUAUAGAUUGACUAUGCGCACCCUCUCGCCGGCAAGGACGCCAGGAGGCGGCGGCCCCGACGCCCUCCAAUCCCGGCCAAGCGCUGCUCUGGCCCUCCCUCCCUUGAUCUGCGCCAUGGCCGCCGGCCCAGAAUCACGAGUCAUGACCACACAGGCGUUGGGCGAAACCAGAACGCACACCGGCGGGAGCGCACGCUGUUGCCGCCGUGCUCGUCGCCCCAUAGACCAUGUCACUGCUCCUCUGCUUCUUCUCCAUAGGCCGUGCCGCUGCUCCCCUCUCAACUCUGGCAAGCACAAGCAGCACCAGCACGCGGCGAGAACAAGCAGCGGCAGCAGUACGCGGCGUUGGUGAGCAUAUAGACGCCUGUGGCGGAGCCAGGAAAAAUGAAUGAGCGGGGCCGAGUGUUCUUAACCCUUAUUGGGGAGGGCCAGUCCACAAAAUUACACUAUUUUAGCAGCAAAUAAUCAUAUAUUCAGAUGCAUAUUAGGCCUAACUCAGUGUUGUUAUAGGGGGCCAGGGCCCCUGCUGGUCUGCUCGUUGCAUGGAUUCUUUGGAAGACAAGCACGUACACAACUUAAUUGAUUCCGGCGAGUUACACAACACGCAAGCAACACACGAGGAAACAUACCGAUCCCAUCGAGACACACACGUGGCCGCGGACAAAAUGGAAGAGAGCGGCGCCCCAGAUCACCGGCGGCAUCUGGUUCUUUGGCAGCGUGGCCGCGGACAGACUGGAGGAGAGCGGCGCAAGGAGGAGGAAGGCGGCCAUCAGCAGAGGCGACGGCAGCAGGGCGGCGGCAUACGAGUUCAUCCCCUUUCUAUUUUGAUUUCAACCGGUGAAUCGUCUGGAUGCACCGGUGAAACUAGCAUAAAGGGUAUUUUGGUCCACUCCUUUAUGCAUAUAUUAUGUCAAUCAUUUGCAGGUAUUGUUUUUGUGUGAAAAAAUGGCUGAAGAUCAAAGUGCAAAUUAAAAAGGUGGCAAUAGAUCAACUACAAUGUAAGGAGUCACAAAUUAUCAAAGUAUAAAGUAAGUGAUGGCAAAAAAUCAAAAACCCCAGCAAUGGCCAUGGGAACAAGCAAAAGGAUGCAAAAUGAAGACCAUGUCAACGUUGACUGGUCUGCUGGGCUGCCAUGUCACACAAAACCAGUUGGCAGUUGUCAGAGGGAGUAAUUUAUCUAGUAUUGAAAGUACAAGGUUGUCUUCUAACCGGUUUUGGAGUUAGAGGUUGUAAAUUAAACUAACCCUAUGUCCAGGAUUGAAAUAUGCACUUCUAUUUUUUAUCCUCAUCAACUUGCCAUACAAGCAUUGCCCCAUAAAAGUCAGCUUUCUUUCUAACACCCACAAGAAUUGGGUAUAGAGGCAUCAUAAAACAGAGGUAUAUUAGUUUGGCGGGAUUGCGCCAAAGUCACCCUACCAAUAAUGUUUAAAAGUCUUCCCUACCAACAGACACAUAUUUUCUCAAUUUUUUCAACAACCACCUUGCAAUGUUUAUUCCUAAUUCUAAUAUCAGACAUGCAUCGCCAAAUAUUUCAAAGGAACAACACCCAGUUCACAAAUGAAAAUCUCUUGAUAUAUGGGAGCUUUAUUAACUGCCUCCCCAAAAAAUAGAAAUUUCACUCUUAUGAAAGUUAAUAGCGAGACCAAAGAUUUGCUCAAACGCACUUAGAAUAAACUUGAGAUUCCUAGCAAUAUCCUCAUCAUCUUGUAAUAGGAAAGCAGUGUCAUUUGCAUAUUGAUCACAUUGUUUAAAUUUUCACUCAAGGCCCCUUUCACAAAUCUAUUAUUUCUAGCUCUCUCCAAAAUAAUGACAAGGGCUUCAACUGCCAAGUCAAAUAGCAAUGGAGAUAAAGCAUCUCUUUGCUCAAGCCAUUUGUGAGUUUUAAAACAAGGACCAAUUACAUCAUUUAAUUUGACCCCCACAUGUCCUCUCCUCAUAGUGCGCAUAAUCCAAUCACACCAUUGAUCAGGGAAGUUUUUGAGUUUUAGCAUCUAGCGAGCAAAAGUCCAUUUAAUCUUAUCAUAGGCUUUCUCAAAAUCCUUAAAGAGUAAGGCCCUUUGUUUCCUAUGGUGCAUGGAGUUCAAAGCUUCAUGUAGCAAAACCACACUUUCCACUAUGUAUCUACCUUUAAUAAAAGUAGUUUGGUUAUGAGAAUUAAUAGGGUUAACCACCCUACUAAACUUGUUCAUUAGGACCUUAGUAAUAAUUUUGAAACUAACAUUCAAUAGACAAGGUCUAAAUUUUUGAAUUUGUAUAACAUCUUUAGUUGUAGGAACCAGGGUGAUAAUUCCAUAAUUGAUCCUAGCAAUAUCUAGAACCCCAUUAUGAAAAUUAUCCAUGAGCCCUUUCAAAUUACACUUAAAAAUUUCCCAAAUAUGUUGAUAAAAAUCAAGAGGCAAGCCAUUAGGUACAUGGCUCUUAUUUUUCUCCAUAGAGAAGACUACAUUGUAGUAAUUUUUCCUUGAAGAAAGGUUCCACCAACUUGUUAGCAUCCUCCUCAGAAUUUUUCUAUGCUUCUUGGAUGUUUAAAUAAACUAAGGAGAUCUUAGCUUGUCCAAAAAGUUUUCUUUACAGAAAUUAGUGAUGUAUUUUAAAAGAUUUUAUUCCCUUCAAUCGUCCCCUUAUCUUGCUCCAAAGAAAUAAUUGCCAUGGUAGUAUCUAGUAUUACAAUCACCUUAUCUGAUUUCUUUAUCCUUAUAUCUUUGGAGCCAUUUUAACUCUUCCUGUUUUAAAAUUCUCCCAACUAUUCACUAAGUUCCUUUUGUCCAGUUCUAUCAUGAGUAGUUAAGCCAUUAACUUCUGCAUCCUUAUCAAUGGAAUCUAACUUGGAUUUUUUAAUUUUCCUAUGCCAAGUCUCAACAUUCAAGUUUCAGCCCCUAAUCUUCUUCCUAAGAAUUCUCAACCUAUUUUGCCACCUCUCGAUAUAAGAACUUUCAUAAUUAUUAGUCCAAAAGUUUGGUGACAAAGUCCUUAAAACCAUCUCUCAGGAUCCAAUAUUUUUUGAAUCUAUAUAUUGGCUUUGAAAUAUUAUGCGACCCAAUGUCAAGAAUGAGAGGACUGUGAUAAGAAACUUCCCUCUCCAAAGCUUGUACCAUAGCUAAGCAUAAUGUUCCUCCCAUUCAUGAGAAUUCUAUCUAAUUUCUCAAUGGUUGGUUUAGCCAAAUUAUUGGCCCAAGUAAAAUUUCUUCCAUUUAGAGGUAAUUCUCUAAACUCUUCAUACUCAAUAAUAGCAAUAUAGAACUUCAGUGAUCAGUGUUAUUGGGUUAGUUUUUCUCACAAAAGUUCUAAUAAGAAUAAAAUCCCCGCCUACCACACAAUAUAAAAUGUUGUCAUGAUAGAUCUUAGACAAUUCUGCCAAAUAAGAAGCUUUGCCAUCUAAUUGAGCGUCACCAUACACAAUAAUAAUAUUCCAAUGAAAUUUAGCCAUUUUUAUCAAAAAACAACAGCCUCACAAAGUAUACCCCUACCAUACCUCUAUUUUAGUUACAUCAAACAAAUCAUUAUUUACUCCCACCAGGAUCUCUUCAGAUUUACCUCUUGGAGGGACCAAUUCCAAGUAGAAAAACUCAAAUGUAAAUAUGGAUAUUCCAUUGGAUAUUUAGUUGAUAAUGUGUUUCCUUUUCAUUCAUCCUAUCUAUGUUUUUCUUCGAAUAUGCUCACAUAAACUAAAAUGUCCCACAACAACGCAUGGGGUAUUAUCUAGUUUACAACAAAGACAAAUGUGGAAGCCUUGUUUUGACCCUAAAUGCCCUACAAUCCAGCGACUGUUGAAAUACUCUAAGUGCAUCUCCAACGCUGACCCUCAAACCGCCCGCAACCGUUCGGACCGUACGGUCCGGAUGCGUUAUGCCAUCAAACGCGGGCCUGUAUCGGUCCGCGGGGCGGUCCGGUCACACUUUCUCCCGCAAAACGGAGACAAACGUGAGUGGCUUUGCGAGCGUCCGGACAGCACCCACGCCCGCUUUUGACCACCCUGGCCCACCCAAAGCCCUCCUCCCUCGUCGUCGUGUGUUCCCGCCUGACGCCGGUUGCCCGCAUUCAUGUCAAUGUAGAGCGGCCGCUCCACAUUGAAGCCAGCUUAGAGCAGACGCAACCUUUCACUGCCUCUGCCAUUAAAGCAGUGCACCGACCGAGGGCACCGGCUGCUGCACGCUCGGCUGAACACGCCUCCUCGCCGCAUUCAAACACCUCCAGUGAACCCACAUGGAAUCCGAGAAACCUACUCCGGCCACAUGUUUGUUCACGAGCAGAUUGACAUUAAACACAACACUGACAAGCUCCUCCCAUCCGUCCUCUACUUAAACGGUGCCAGACAUCGGGUGAAAAUCACACCACACCUCCGCUCCCAUCUCCUCGCACCAUUUUCUCCACAAUAUCCAUGGCUACCGGCAUGCAGGAAGAGGAGUUCACCGGCAUAAAAGCCGUCUGGAUGGCCCGCCGAGCCCACCGGAUACGAGCCAGGCAACUCGCUACUCCACCUCCCUCGCCAAAUCUGAUGAAGCAAGUUGUCGCCCAAGCCGGCGCAUGGUUCAACAACUCAUCGCUCCAGCCAUCUCGCAGAGGUGUGGCGAGUUGCUCCAGGAUGGCACGCAGCGGAGCACGAAGGAACGGGCAUCGUGGCUGCCAUGGAUGAGGCCAGACGCUGUGCCAUCCGUCAUCUACGUUGGCAGAACCGUGCCCGGUCGAUGGAGAAAGAAGUCGGCUACGCGGAGAUCGACGAGUCGGUGGUCAGUGCGUCUGCAUCUGCCGCCAACAUCGAGGGAACGUAAAACACGGGAGGCCGUCACCGCUUGGGUUAUGGGAAGGCCACCGCCGGCACAUCGUCAGCUUGCAUAGCCGGUGACUUGCCCGGUUCAGCACAGAUCAUUGUCGACCCCUGCAUGGGCUUCACGGAAGCGGAGGAGCCCUCCUUCCCCUCCGGCCGAAGCACCCGCCUUCACCUCCAAUGGUAGCACCCCAUUUGCCACUCCGAUGAGCGGCGCAUUUGGACAUAGGAAAGAUACGGGAAAAAAUAUACCUUCGGGGCUCCUGGCAGUCCGAUGAGUGGGCUGCCGGACAAUGGGAAGACAAAGGAAUCCGCCGUGGCAUGCCGUAGACUAGGUGUAGUGUAUCCUUUUCAUGAGAAUGGAACUCCACGCGGUCGCACGUAGUUUUACCUUUUUCAGUUAAAAUAUUUUCAAAAAUGUAAAUAUUUUCGUUCGGUUUUGUAUGAAAUCCCCUCUUCUUGCAUGAAUUUAUUGAAUUUGUUGAAAAAGUAUUUGAAAUGUAUGCGAACAUCGUUAGAUGACCAGUUCCGACAUCCAUGUGUGCGGAUGGAUGUCGAAGCAAAUUUGUAGGUCACCGUUGAGGAUGCCCUAAGUCUAUGUAAACUAUAAACUUGCAUCCACAAACGUACCUAGCUGGGCGCAGCGGAGAGCGCGCCUCGCUUUGAUGGUGCGACCGGACGACAGCGUGGGACAAGGCAGGCAUCCAAGCAUUGUAGCCCAUACCGGACGUUUCCUCGGAUAACCAUGGCUUAUACUGUUGGAAAUAUGCCCUAGAGGCAAUAAUAAAAGGAUUAUUAUUAUAUUUCCUUGUUCAUGAUAAUUGUCUUUUAUUCAUGCUAUAAUUGUGUUAUCCGGAAAUCGUAAUACAUGUGUGAAUACAUAGACACCAACAUGUCCCUAGUAAGCCUCUAGUUGACUAGCUUGUUGAUCAACAGAUAGUCAUGGUUUCCUGACUAUGGACAUUGGAUGUCAUUGAUAACGAGAUCACAUCAUUAGGAGAAUGAUGUGAUGGAUAAGACCCAAUCCUAAACACAGCACAAGAUCGUAUAGUUCAUUUUCUAGAGUUUUUCCAAUGUCAAGUAUCUUUUCCUUAGACCAUGAGAUCGUGUAACUCCCAGAUACCGUAGGAGUGCUUUGGGUGUACCAAACGUCACAACGUAACUGGGUGACUAUAAAGGUAUACUGCGGGUAUCUCCGAAAGUGUCUGUUGGGUUAACACGGAUCAAGACUGGGAUUUGUCACUCCGUAUGACGGAGAGGUAUCUCUGGGCCCACUCGGUAAUGCAUCAUCAUAAUGAGCUCAAAGUGACCAAGUGUCUGGUCACGGGAUCAUGCAUUACGGUACAAGUAAAGUGACUUGCCGGUAACGAGAUUGAACGAGGUAUUGGGAUACCGACGAUCGAAUCUCGGGCAAGUAACAUACCGAUUGACAAAGGGAAUUGUAUACGGGGUUGCUUGAAUCCUCGACAUCGUGGUUCAUCCGAUGAGAUCAUCGAGGAGCAUGUGAGAGCCAACAUGGGUAUCCAGAUCCCGUUGUUGGUUAUUGACCGGAGAGCCAUCUCGGUCAUGUCUACAUGUCUCCCGAACCCGUAGGGUCUACACACUUAAGGUUCGGUGACGCUAGGGUUGUAGAGAUAUGAAUAUGCAGUAACCCGAAAGUUGUUCGGAGUCCCGGAUGAGAUUCCGGAUGUCACGAGGAGUUCCGGAAUGGUCCGGAGGUGAAGAAUUAUAUAUAGGAAGUGCAGUUUCGGCCAUCGGGAGAGUUUCGAGGGUCACCGGUAUUGUACCGGGACCACCGGAUGGGUCCCGGGGGUCCACCGGGUGGGACCACCCAUCCUGGAGGGCCCCAUGGGCUGAAGUGGAGAGGGGAACCAACCCAUAGUGGGCUGGUGCGCCCCCUUGGCCCACCCCUGCGCCUAGGGUUGGAAACCGUAGGGUGGGGGGGGGGCGCCCCACUUGCCUUGGGGGCCACUCCACCCUUGGCCGCCGCCCCCCCUAGGAGAUCCCAUCUCCUAGGGCCGGCGCCCCCCCUUGGGGAGCCUAUAUAAAGGGGGGAGGGAGGGGCAACCGCACCCUUGACUCUUGGCGCCUCCCUCUCCCCUGCUACACCUCUCCCUCUCGCAGAAAAACGGCGAAGCCCUGCUGCGGUGACUGGUGCAUCCACCACCACGUCGUCGUGCUGCUGGAUCUUCAUCAACCUCUCCUCCCCCCUUGCUGGAUCAAGAAGGAGGAGACGUCACGCUGACCGUACGUGUGUUGAACACGGAGGUGCCGUCCGUUCGGCGCUAGGAUCUCCGGUGAUUUGGAUCACGUCGAGUACGACUUCCUCAUCCCCGUUCUUUGAAUGCUUCCGUGCGUGAUCUGCAAAGGUAUAUAGAUGCAAUCCGAUCACUCGUUUCUAGAUGAACUCAUAGAUGGAUCUUGGUGAAAUCGUAGGAAAAUUUUUGUUUUCUGCAACAUUCCCCAACAGUGGCAUCAUGAGGUAGGUCUAUGCAUAGUUCCUUUUGCACGAGUAGAACACAAUUUGUUGUGGGCGUAGAUGUUGUCAACUUUCUUGCCGCUACUAGUCUUAUUUUGCUUCAGCGGUAUUGUGGGAUGAAGCGGCCCGGACCAACCUUACACGUACGCUUACGUGAGACCGGUUCCACCGACUGACAUGCACUAGUUGCAUAAGGUGGCUGGCGGGUGUCUGUCUCUCCCACUUUAGUUGGAGCGGAUUCGAUGAAAAGGGUCCUUAUGAAGGGUAAAUAGAAGUUGACAAAUCACGUUGUGGCUUUCACGUAGGUAAGAAAACGUUCUUGCUAGAACCCUAUUGCAGCCACGUAAAAACUUGCAACAACAAUUAGAGGACGUCUAACUUGUUUUUGCAGCAAGUGUUUUGUGAUGUGAUAUGGCCAAAGUUGUGAUGAAUGAUGAAUGAUAUAUAUGUGAUGUAUGAGAUGUUCAUGCUAUUGUAAUAGGAAUCACGACUUGCAUGUCGGUGAGUAUGACAACCGGCAGGAGCCAUAGGAGUUGUCUUUAUUUUUUGUAUGACAUGCGUGUCAUUGAGAAACGCCAUGUAAAUUACUUUACUUUAUUGCUAAACGUGUUAGCCAUAGUAGUAGAAGUAAUAGUUGGCGAGAAAUUUCAUGGAGACACAAUAAUGGAGAUCAUGAUGAUGGAGAUCAUGGUGUCAUGCCAGUGACAAGAUGGUCAUGGAGCCCUAAGAUGGAGAUCAAAGGAGCUAUGUGAUAUUGGCCAUAUCAUGUCACUAUUAUUAUUUGAUUGCAUGUGAUGUUUAUCAUGUUUUUGCAUCUUGUUUACUUAGAACGACGGUAGUAAAUAAGAUGAUCCCUCAUAAUAAUUUCAAGAAAGUGUUCCCCCUAACUGUGCGCCGUUGCGACAGUUUGUUGUUUCGAAGCACCACGUGAUGAUCGGGUGUGAUAGAUUCCAACGUUCACAUACAACGGGUGUAAGACAGAUUUACACAUGCAAACACUUAGGUUGACUUGACGAGCCUAGCAUGUACAGAUAUGGCCUCGGAACACAGAAGACCGAAAGGUCAAGCAUGAGUCGUAUAGAAGAUACGAUCAACAUGAAGAUGUUCACCGAUGUUGACUAGUCCGUCUCACGUGAUGAUCGGACACGGCCUAGUUAACUCGGAUCAUGUUAUACUUAGAUGACUGGAGGGAUGUCUAUCUGAGUGGGAGUUCAUUAAAUAGAUGAACUUAAUUAUCAUGAACUUAGUCUAAAAUCUUUACAAUAUGUCUUGUAGAUCAAAUGGCCCACGCUAAUGUUGCCCUCAACUUCAACGCGUUUCUAGAGAAAACCAAGCUGAAAGAUGAUGGCAGCAACUAUACGGACUGGGUCCGGAACCUGAGGAUCAUCCUCAUAGCUGCCAAGAAAGAUUAUGUCCUAGAAGCACCGCUAGGUGACGCACCCAUCCCAGAGAACCAAGACGUUAUGAACGCUUGGCAGCAGCAUGCUGAUGAUUACUUCCUCGUUUAGUGCGGCAUGCUUUACAGCUUAGAACCGGGGCUCCAAAAGCAUUUUGAGCAACACUAAGCAUAUGAGAUGUUCGAAGAGCUGAAAAUGGUUUUCCAAGCUCAUGCCCGGGUCGAGAGAUAUGAAGUCUCCGACAAGUUCUUCAGUUGUAAGAUGGAGGAAAAUAGUUCUGUCAGUGAGCACAUACUCAAAAUGUCUGGGUUGCACAACUGCUUGACUCAGCUGGGAGUUAAUCUCCCGGAUGAUGCGGUCAUUGACAGAAUCCUUCAGUCACUUCCACCGAGCUACAAGAGCUUUGUGAUGAACUUCAAUAUGCAGGGGAUGGAAAAGACCAUUCCUGAAGUAUUUGCAAUGCUGAAAUCAGCAGAGGUAGAAGUCAAAAAGGAACAUCAAGUGUUGAUGGUGAAUAAAACCACUAAGUUCAAGAAAGGCAAGGGUAAGAAGAACUUCAAGAAGGACGGCAGGGGAGUUGCCGCGCCCGGCAAGCAAGCUGCCGGGAAGAAGCCAAAGAAUGGACCCAAGCCCGAGACUGAGUGCUUUUAUUGCAAGGAGAGUGGUCACUGGAAGCGGAACUGCCCCAAAUACUUAGCGGACAAGAAGGCCGGCAAAACGAAAGGUAUAUGUGAUAUACAUGUAAUUGAUGUGUACCUUAUCAGUACUCGUAGUAGCUCCUGGGUAUUUGAUACCGGUGCAGUUGCUCACAUUUGUAACUCAAAGCAGGAGUUGCGGAAUAAGCGGAGACUGGCGAAGGACGAGGUGACGAUGCACGUCGGGAAUGGUUCCAAGGUCGAUGUGAUCGCCGUCGGCACGCUACCUCUACAUUUACCUACGGGAUUAGUUUUGAACCUCAAUAAUUGUUAUUUAGUGCCAAGUUUGAGCAUGAACAUUGUAUCAUGAUCUCGUUUAAUACGAGAUGGCUACUCAUUUAAAUCCGAUAAUAAUGGUUGUUCUAUUUAUAUGAGAGAUAUGUUUUAUGGUCAUGCUCCGAUGGUGAAUGGUUUAUUCUUAAUGAAUCUCGAGCGUAAUGCGACACAUAUUCAUAGUGUGAAUACCAAAAGAUGUAAGGUUGAUAAUGAUAGUCCGACAUACUUGUGGCACUGCCGCCUUGGUCACAUAGGUGUCAAACGCAUGAAGAAGCUCCAUGCAGAUGGACUUUUAGAGUCUCUUGAUUACGAAUCAUUUGACACGUGCGAACCAUGCCUCAUGGGUAAAAUGACCAAGACUCCGUUCUCAGGAACAAUGGAGCGAGCAACCAACUUAUUGGAAAUCAUACAUACUGAUGUGUGCGGUCCAAUGAGUGUUGAGGCUCGCGGUGGUUAUCGUUAUGUUCUCACCCUCACUGAUGACUUGAGUAGAUAUGGGUAUGUCUACUUAAUGAAACACAAGUCUGAGACCUUUGAAAGGUUCAAGGAAUUUCAGAGUGAGGUUGAGAAUCAACGUGACAGGAAAAUCAAGUUCUUGCGAUCAGAUCAUGAGGGAGAAUACUUGAGUCACGAAUUUGGCACACACUUAAGAAAAUGUGGAAUAGUUUCACAACUCACGCCGCCUAGAACACCUCAGCGUAAUGGUGUGUCCGAACGUCGUAAUCGCACUUUAUUAGAUAUAGUGCAAUCUAUGAUGUCUCUUACCGAUUUACCGCUAUCAUUUUGGGGCUAUGCUUUAGAGACUGCCGCAUUCACUUUAAAUAGGGCUCUGUCAAAAUCCGUUGAGAUGACACCGUAUAAAUUAUGGUUUGGGAAGAAGCCUAAGCUGUCGUUUCUAAAAGUUUGGGGAUGCGAUGCUUAUGUCAAGAAACUUCAACCUGAAAAGCUCGAACCCUAGUCGGAAAAAUGCGUCUUCAUAGGAUACCCUAAAGAAACUAUUGGGUAUACCUUCUACCUCAGAUCCGAAGGCAAGAUCUUUGUUGCCAAGAAUGGAUCCUUUCUAGAGAAGGAGUUUCUCUCGAAAGAAGUAAGUGGGAGGAAAGUAGAACUUGAUGAAGUAUUACCUCUUGAACCGGAAAAUGGCGCAACUCAAGAAAAUGUUCCUGAGGUGCCUGUACCGACUAGAGAGGAAGUUAAUGAUGAUGAUCAUGAAACUUCAGAUCAAGUUUCUACUGAAUUUCGUAGGUCCACAAGGACACGUUCCGCACCAGAGUGGUACGGCAACCCUGUCUUGGAAAUCAUGUUGUUAGACAACGGUGAAUGACAGUGUCCUGGACUAGGGGGUACUCACCACGUCGUCUCCCGAUCUAUUAGAUUGGGCCGAGGACCCCCGUGGCCGUAUACUCAUGGGCCAGUUCGGACGGCUGCCGCAUACAAGGAAGAUUCCACAAGACUUGGCGAUCAAGACAAGGACUUCUCCCCACCGGCGUAUUCGGCUAGGACUCUUGUUAUCCUAGGCCUCUGGUGCAUUAUAUAAACCGAGGCCAGGCUAGUCGAUAGAUAGACAAUAUAUACAACAAUCAUACCAUAGGCUAGCUUCUAGGGUUUAGCCUCCUUGAUCUCGUGGUAGAUCUACUCUUGUACUAUCCAUAUCAUCAAUAUUAAUCAAGCAGGAGUAGGGUUUUACCUUCAUCGAGAGGGCCCGAACCUGGGUAAAAACAUCGUGUCCCUUGUCUCCUGUUACCAUCCGGUCUAGACGCAUAGUUCGGGACCCCCUACCUGAGAUCCGCCGGUUUUGACACCGACAUUGGUGUUUUCAUUGAGAGUUCCGUUGUGUGAUCGACAAAAGGAUCGAUGGCUCGCCUGCAGAUCAACUACGACUUCGGCAUCUUCGUCACCAGCUCGACUGGUCACCUUGGUUCGACCAAGAAUUGUGCCCCGUGUUCGGAUCACCAUGUUCGGACGAGGGCCUUUAUCAAACAUCAACUCCGAUCUCUAUCAAGAUCACGGAGGAAUCAUCUAUGGAGCUCGGGGGCUCAACGUCAACAUUGCCCUCAAGCGACCGUGCUAUUUUUCUGGACAGCGAACUCGUAUCUGCCACCACCACCUCCUCGAGUAUCGCUUUGACGAUCGCUUUGGUGGAAUUGUGCGGAAUUGAGUCUACAACAACCCUGAGAAAUUUCGUCGAGUUCCGAUGGAGGAAUCUCUGGCAAUCCACGAUAUACCGGAGCCUUGUCAAAUCUGGACGGGAAUUUGGAUGAGUUUAGGGCGUGGUGUCCAUCUUCUAUCUCGGACGUCCUUUGGAAGAUCCAACCGUUGAUCGGCUGCGGAAUUCCUAUAUCUACCACCUCUCAAAAUUUCGGCUCGAUUCGACCGUCCAAACUUUGGGAACCUUCUGAUUAGUGCAUCACUUUUCGGAUCUGUUUUCUGCGCGAAAACGAAUCCGACCCAAGUUCAUCUUUUUUAUGAACAGGAUUUCGAACAUCCCUUUUGAAGGAAGUUUUGUAUGGGUAUUGUGUUUUGUUCCCGAACACAUCCCACUAACUAUAAGAUCUUUUAAACAUGAUCUUCAACAUCAUGCUGGUGUCAAACCAGUCCGGCAAUAUUACUCCACGGCUGCCGACCUGCGCUAGACACGGCAUCACUUUGUUGAGCCGAGCUCAACUUCUUCGGAUCAUCAUCUCGACAAGUCAAACAAGAGCCCGGCAUCGCGAAGGAUAAAUCAUCACCAACAUCGCCGCCCCAUGGAUUACACGGAGCGGGCAUAACCGGCAUCGCCGCACGGUCGCUUCAUCAAGCCGGCAUCGACCACGUCACGACCUGCAUCGACAGGGCCGCACUAUUGCUUCUUCAAGCUGGUGUCCAUCACGCCGACCUACUUCGACUCAUCGGCUGACAUCGAGGCUUCGACAUCUCGGCUGGACCGGGGGCUUCGCCGUCUCUUAAUCAACCUACUCCGGACACUUCGGCGUCACUAGCCGACCAGCUCCGUCACGUUAGCUGGGCCGAGGGCUUUGCCUCGGCGAGUCAACCUUUACCAGCAUUGCCAUGCCGUCGUUUUAUCGCCCAUCAGGCAAUGGGUGUGCGGAGCGGGUCACAAUUUUAGGAAUCACCUUCCUUCGGAUUGCUACAACAAAUAAACCAGGUGCUAUUAAUCCCAGUAUUUUUUUUGCUUGUUUGGGUUCAUUUUUUCCAAGGAAUUAUUACUCUGGGUUAUCCGUCAUAUGUACACAGGUCUAUCAAAUGGUGGCCGCAUUAACGACAAUCGCAUGGUGGUUCGGUCAGUUUCCGUACAUAGUCCGGCGAACGCCGCACUCGGAGCUCGGACCGACCUGCGAAUUCAGGCUUUGCCACGCCUUUACUACAUCACGCCGACGCCCUGCAUCGACAUUGACUUCGGCGCCAGGCCAUAUUUCUUCUAUUCCUCACUUUGCAUAAAUUAUUUAUUAUGCAACAUUUUUUUUAAUUAUCAUUAUUACUAUUAUCUCCAGUUCGCACUAUUUUAUGUGGCACAGGAAAAUGAUCUAGCCGGACUAUAUCCUUUGGCGUCACCUCGGCUGGACGGGGGGCUUCGUCAACACUUCAUUACCCCAUGCCGGGGACUUCGGCAUCACUCUGCCGGCCUGCAUUGACCGUGCUAUGUCACCACUUCGGAGUGCCGAGCUCUUUGCUCCGACACCUCGGGACCGGCUUGGGGGAUGGCACCUUGUCCCGCAUCAAGCUCGGACCGCGUCAUCAAUACCGAACACAUUAACCAGCUAAGUUGCCUUCAUGCUCAAAGUUUUAAAUUUUUAACUUGUGUUCGGCUCGACCAAGCAUUAUACUUUUUUGGAAAAAAGUUGCUUGUAAAUUUUUUUCCUUGUCCAAACUUUGUUUGUGACGCACAAAUUCAAAUACCCCGUUUACUUGGGGGCUUCCUUCAUGAAGAUUUUUCCUCUUGCAUAUGAUUAUACUUGUACGGCUUCAUUCCUUGUUCAUGUAUUACGCCAUAAUAUGCACCAUAUUGACUUAAGCGAUUUGCAAGCUGGGUUGCCUCGCUCCUGUGUUUUCCCCUACGUUCCCGAUUGUUCAGCUAGGGAGUAAAGGGAGCACCUCUGCGAUUGUCACGAUCGGGUCAACCGAGCCGGACCCCAGACUAGGUGAAGCCGAAAGCUAGCGCUCUUAUAGUUUUCAAUGAUGGUCGGCACACAAUGGAACUCAUGAGUAGAAAAAAUCUAUUACACAAGUCUCAUAAUAACAAUGAGCACCGAAGAAAGGUAUCGGUGGGGUACUAUUUUCUUCGAAGAUGCUUCUUACACUUCACGGUAAUAUAGCAUAAGUUCCCUGAGCGUGCUUUGUCUGUUACAGCCUUAUGGCCUGAUUGCCUGGUUAUUGGAAACACCGUCGAUAUUCUCGACCGAUGGAGUAGAUAACACUUCUCGGCCCUUGACCGAAGAGGGAGAAGCUGACGGUCGGUUAAGACGCGUUUAAAGUUCGGUUGAACAUAGAUAUGAUAUAAGUACUUCGGUACAUGCAAUCAUUCUUCUACCAAGUCACUUGGGGGCUCUUAAGUUUAUUUGAGACGUUUUAUAAUAAGUGUUCUUCUUCUUAGUCGUUGCAAAGUUUUAUUAUUAUUUAUCACUCCUUUUUUCGACACGAGUGUGCGGUCACUAGCCGGGGAGCCUAAUUUCUCUCUCAAAUCCGCUAGAGUUUAGUUUGCUAAACUGGCCUGAUGAGAAGUACUCCGCCCUCGGGAUAGGAGGUUGAAGCCGUAGGCUGACCCGCUCGAAGUCUUGAGAUAGGAUGUAUCAUGUUAAAACACGACAGAAGCACUUCUUUUUUCUAAGACCAACUUUCGGAUUGGCACCGAACACUUGAUAUUGUUCGGACGUCAUGUUUUUACUGACGUUUCUUGGUUUUCCAAGCUUUUUGGCACUUUUAAAACUAUUCGUGCUUUUCCAGCAUUAGUCUCGCAGUGCAACGCCGGACACCUUUAGGGAUUCGGCAAAAACAUUCUCAGAUAUUGCUAUAUAUGCAUCGGUUUCGAAUUGUGUCUUCGGUCAAUAGUUGGGUUGCCCGGCUCCUGCACUUGCUUCCUACGUUCCGUUUUGUUCGGCUAGGCGUGCAAAGGGAGAACCACUGCGAUUGUGCUUCCAGCUCACAUGGUUAAGCACCUCAGUGGAGAAAGCCGAAAACUGACUUUCACAAUAAGCGUAAACUGGUCAGCGAUCCGAUGACUAUGUUAAAUGAUGGGCCAUUCAUAACAUUGGCCCAAGUGUUUACGGCUUGACCCCAACUGUCGCCGAACACUUCCGAGGGCUAUUAACUGGCCUCCCAAACUAAAUCCUCAAUAUUUUGCUCUUACAUUAGAGCUGAGGUUUAAUGAUCAUGCUUAGCAUGACAACCCAAAGGAAGAAACCGAUAGCGGGACCAUUUUCUUUGGAGGACAUUUCUUAUGUUAAACAGUAAAUAUAACAUAUCUCUCUGCGUACCUUUGUUUAUAAAACUGUAUGACCAGAUUGCCUUGUUUGUUGUAAAUCUUUACCCUCAUAAAGGCUUUAUAAAGUAGGACAAACACUCCUCGGCUACUGGCCGAGGAGGUGGAAGCUGAUGGUCGGUCAACAAAGUUUUGUACAAUGCGGAUUCGAGCAUUAAUGAUGUAAAGUACUUGAAUACAUAGAGUCAUUACACAUAAUUUGUGAUUUUACUAUGGAUAUCGAUCCUUAAUUCGGCCACCCGUGCCCGCAUUAAGGCUCGGGGGCUACUGGGCUUCGGGCUUAUUAUUUACAAAUAUUAAAGGGGCACAUUGAUCCCCUGAUCUGGUGUUGCCACCCGACCAGUGUCUCGGGGGCUACUGCAUUGCUUGUCCAAUGCAGAAAAUUUUAUGUACAAUAUAGUUUCCGAGGAGAUUUUGAUCCUCAGGUUGGUCGGCCGCACCCAACCCGAGUCUCGAGGACUGAGCAUGCCGCUUUUAGUGUCCCGAAGUAUUCUGCCGAGCUAGGACUUGAUCCUCAGGCCGAUUUUGCAAAUUGACCUGAGUCUCAGCGGCUACUGGGAUCAGCGGUCUUAUGUCAUCCUUCAUGUGCAUCUUGGGUUUUAGACCGAUACCCACCUUGAGGGCUACUGGCUAUAUAUCUCGACAGAGAAUAAAUUGCACCAAUCAAAAAUAUUGACAAAAAUCGGCCCACAUUCAGGGUGGUGCACCACCUCGGAAGCAGUCCGGCAUAAAGCUCAGGCGCUAGUGGCUGGCUCCAUAGAGGUCAUUUCCGGCAUUAAGCUCGGCUAAACUCCUUCAACUUUUUUGAACCAAGGUGAUAUGACACCUCGGAUAUAGUCCGGCAUUGGAGCCUGGACACAGUCCGGCGUCGGAUAUCGGAUAUAUUUUCGGCGUUGGAGCUUGGAUAUACAGUCCGGCGUUGGAGCUCGGAUACAUAGUCCGGCGUUGGAGCUCGGAUACAUUCCGGCGCUAGAGCUGGGAAGCGGUCCGGCGUUGGUGCUCGGCUGCAAAAGAUACCUCGAAUGCAGUCCGGCGUUGGAGCUCGGACGCAAGAGGACCCUGCCUCCCGGGAACAACUUCAAACCCGAGGUGUGGCAUAAAAAUAAACAAAGCAUUGAUAAAGGCCGGAAACUUAAAGGGGAUCCUCGGAUACCCGACGUGUAAACUCGUCGAAUGCAUUUCGGAAAUCCUCAAGAUCGAAGAUAAAGAAGAUUUGUUGAACCAGUUUUCAAGACCGGCAACCGAAGAUGAAGAACAGUUCGGAAGAAUCGAGGAGCGUCCCUAACUUGAAGACCGGUUCAGGGGGCUACUGAUGGUGUCCUGGACUAGGGGGUACUCACCACGUCGUCUCCGAUCUAUUAGAUUGGGCCGAGGACCCCCGUGGCCGUAUACUCAUGGGCCAGUUCGGACGGCUGCCGCAUACAAGGAAGAUUCCACAAGACUUGGCGAUCAAGACAAGGACUUCUCCCCACCGGUGUAUUCGGCUAGGACUCUUGUUAUCCUAGGCCUCUGGUGCAUUAUAUAAACCGAGGCCAGGCUAGUCGAUAGAUAGACAAUAUAUACAACAAUCAUACCAUAGGCUAGCUUCUAGGGUUUAGCCUCCUUGAUCUCGUGGUAGAUCUACUCUUGUACUACCCAUAUCAUCAAUAUUAAUCAAGCAGGAGUAGGGUUUUACCUCCAUCGAGAGGGCCCGAACCUAGGUAAAAACAUCGUGUCCCUUGUCUCCUGUUACCAUCCGGCCUAGACGCACAGUUCGGGACCCCCUACCCGAGAUCCGCCGGUUUUGACACCGACAGUGAACCUUCGAACUAUGAAGAAGCGAUGGCGGGCCCAGAUUCCAACAAAUGGCUUGAAGCCAUGCAAUCCGAGAUAGGAUCCAUGUAUGAAAACAAAGUAUGGACUUUGACAAACUUGCCCGAUCAUCGGCGAGCGAUAGAAAACAAAUGGAUCUUUAAGAAGAAGACGGACGCGGAUGGUAAUGUUACCAUCUAUAAAGCUCGACUUGUCGCUAAGGGUUAUCGGCAAGUUCAAGGGGUUGACUACGAUGAGACUUUAUCUCCCGUAGCGAAGUUGAAGUCCGUCAGAAUUAUGUUAGCAAUUACCGCAUACUAUGAUUAUGAGAUAUGGCAAAUGGACGUCAAAACGGCAUUCCUUAAUGGUUUCCUUAAGGAAGAAUUGUAUAUGAUGCAGCAGGAAGGUUUUGUCGAUCCUAAGAAUGCUGACAAGGUGUGCAAGCUCCAACGCUCGAUUUAUGGGCUGGUGCAAGCAUCUCGGAGUUGGAACAUUCGCUUUGAUGAGAUGAUCAAAGCGUUUGGGUUUAUGCAGACUUAUGGAGAAGCCUGCGUUUACAAGAAAGUGAGUGGGAGCUCUGUAGCAUUUCUCAUAUUAUAUGUAGAUGACAUACUUUUGAUGGGAAAUGAUAUAGAGCUUUUGGACAGCAUUAAGGCCUACUUGAAUAAGAGUUUUUCAAUGAAAGACCUUGGAGAAGCUGCUUAUAUAUUAGGCAUCAAGAUCUAUAGAGAUAGAUCAAGACGCCUCCUAGGUCUUUCACAAAGCACAUACCUUGAUAAGAUAUUGAAGAAGUUCAAUAUGGAUCAGUCUAAGAAGGGGUUCUUGCCUGUGUUGCAAGGUGUGAAAUUGAGCUCAGCUCAAUGUCCGACCACGGCAGAAGAUAUAGAAGAGAUGAGUGUCAUCCCCUAUGCCUCAGCCAUAGGUUCUAUUAUGUAUGCCAUGCUGUGUACCAGACCUGAUGUAAACCUUGCUGUAAGUUUGGUAGGUAGGUACCAAAGUAAUCCCGGCAAGGAACACUGGACAGCGGUCAAGAAUAUCCUGAAGUACCUGAAAAGGACUAAGGAAAUGUUUCUCGUUUAUGGAGGUGACGAAGAGCUCGUCGUAAAGGGUUACGUCGACGCUAGCUUCGACACAGAUCUGGAUGGCUCUAAGUCACAAACCGGAUACGUGUAUAUUUUGAAUGGUGGGGCAGUAAGCUGGUGCAGUUGCAAGCAGAGCGUCGUGGCGGGAUCUACAUGUGAAGCGGAGUACAUGGCAGCCUCGGAGACAGCGCAUGAAGCAAUUUGGGUGAAGGAGUUCAUCACCGACCUAGGAGUCAUACCCAAUGCAUCGGGGCCGAUCAAACUCUUCUGUGACAACACUGGGGCUAUUGCACUUGCCAAGGAGCCCAGGUUUCACAAGAAGACCAGGCACAUCAAGCGUCGCUUAAACUCCAUUCGUGAAAAUGUUCAAGAUGGAGACAUAGAUAUUUGUAAAGUACAUACGGACCUGAAUGUAGCAGAUCCGUUGACUAAACCUCUCCCUAGAGCAAAACAUGAUCAACACCAGAAUUCCAUGGGUGUUCGAUUCAUCACAAUGUAACUAGAUUAUUGACCCUAGUGCAAGUGGGAGACUGUUGGAAAUAUGCCCUAGAGGCAAUAAUAAAAGGAUUAUUAUUAUAUUUCCUUGUUCAUGAUAAUUCUCUUUUAUUCAUGCUAUAAUUGUGUUAUCCGGAAAUCGUAAUACAUGUGUGAAAUAGACACCAACAUGUCCCUAGUAAGCCUCUAGUUGACUAGCUCGUUGAUCAACAGAUAGUCAUGGUUUCCUGACUAUGGACAUUGGAUGUCAUUGAUAACGAGAUCACAUCAUUAGGAGAAUGAUGUGAUGGACAAGACCCAAUCCUAAACACAGCACAAGAUCGUAUAGUUCAUUUGCUAGAGUUUUUCCAAUGUCAAGUAUCUUUUCCUUAGACCAUGAGAUCGUGUAACUCCCGGAUACCGUAGGAGUGCUUUGGGUGUACCAAACGUCACAACGUAACUGGGUGACUAUAAAUGUAUACUACGGGUAUCUCCGAAAGUGUCUGUUGGGUUGACACGGAUCAAGACUGGGAUUUGUCACUCCGUAUGACGGAGAGGUAUCUCUGGGCCCACUCGGUAAUGCAUCAUCACAAUGAGCUCAAAGUGACCAAGUGUCUGGUCACGGGAUCAUGCAUUACGGUACGAGUAAAGUGACUUGCCGGCAACGAGAUUGAACGAGGUAUUGGGAUACCGACGAUCGAAUCUCGGGCAAGUAACGUACCGAUUGACAAAGGGAAUUGUAUACGGGGUUGCUUGAAUCCUCGACAUCGUGGUUCAUCCGAUGAGGUCAUCGAGGAGCAUGUGGGAGCCAACAUGGGUAUCCAGCCCGCUGUUGGUUAUUGACCGGAGAGCCAUCUCGGUCAUGUCUACAUGUCUCCCGAACCCGUAGGGUCUACACACUUAAGGUUCGGUGACGCUAGGGUUAUAGAGAUAUGAAUAUGCAGUAACCCGAAAAUUGUUUGGAGUCCCGGAUGAGAUCCCGGACGUCACGAGGAGUUCCAGAAUGGUCCGGAGGUGAAGAAUUAUAUAUAGGAAGUGCAGUUUCGGCCAUCGGGAGAGUUUCGGGGGUCACCGGUAUUGUACCGGGACCACCGGAUGGGUCCCGGGGGUCCAUCGGGUGGGACCACCCAUCCCGGAGGGCCCCAUGGGCUGAAGUGGGAAGGGGAACCAGCCCAUAGUGGGCUGGUGCGCCCCCUUGGCCCACCCCCUGCGCCUAGGGUUGGAAACCCUAGGGUGGGGGGGCGCCCCACUUGCCUUGGGGGCCACUCCACCCUUGGCCGCCGCCCCCUAGGAGAUCCCAUCUCCUAGGGCCGGCGCCCCACUUGCCUUGGGGGCCACUCCACCCUUGGCCGCCGCCCCCUAGGAGAUCCCAUCUCCUAGGGCCGGCGCCCCCCCUUGGGAGCCUAUAUAAAGGGGGGAGGGAGGGGCAGCCGCACCCUUGACUCUUGGCGCCUCCCUCUCCCCUGCUACACCUCUCCCUCUCGCAGAAGAACGGCGAAGCCCUGCUGCGAUGACUGCUGCAUCCACCACCACGCCGUCGUGCUGCUGGAUCUUCAUCAACCUCUCCUUCCCCCCUUGCUGGAUCAAGAAGGAGGAGACGUCACGCUAACCAUACGUGUGUUGAACACGGAGGUGUCGUCCGUUCGGCGCUAGGAUCUCCAGUGAUUUGGAUCACGUCGAGUACGACUUCCUCAUCCCCGUUCUUUGAACGCUUCCGCGCGUGAUCUACAAAGGUAUGUAGAUGCAAUCCGAUCACUCGUUGCUAGAUGAACUCAUAGAUGGAUCUUGGUGAAACCGUAGGAAAAAUUUUGUUUUCUGCAACGUUCCCCAACAUAUACGGCCGUGGCUAAAUUUCGUGUUUUGACCCUUUUGACAAACAAAAUCAAAAUCUGACCCCGGUUUGAAAUAUUUUCGGGAUUUGACGCUUUUGCUACCGCCAGAGUCUCUGGCGGUAGGGUUAGACAGCCUACCGCCAACGUCACUGGCGGUAGGGUGUGACGAAGGGGACGGCGGCCGUCGCCGCGUGCUGACGUGGAUAAGUACCCUACCGCCAGGGGCCCUGGCGGUAGGCUGUCUAACCUUACCGCCAGUGCCUCUGGCGGUAAGGUGUGGCAGGGUUUUUCCAUGCAGACAUUCUGUAACAAAAGAUGCAAGGGCCCUGGCGGUAGGUUCACCCUACCGCCAGCCCCCAUGGCGGUAGGUUGUCUGAUCCUACCGCCAGGACCCCUGGCGGUAGGGUCUUGUGUUUUGCCGUAUAGAGCUUCUGUAACGAAAUAUGAAAGGGCCCUGGCGGUAGGUUCACCCUACCGCCAUGGGGGCUGGCGGUAGGUUGUCUAACCCUACCGCCAGGGUGCCUGGCGGUAGGGUCCUCUGUUUUGUUUUUCAAGUUCAUUUGGUUGCUUGUUCUCAAAUUCAUUAUGACAGCAAUAUCACAGCAAGUUUCACAAAUAUGACAGCAAUAUCAUAGAUUUUAAACAAUUAAACUUGGGCAUCACAUAGAUCCAUAUUAAGAUAAAUUGAAGUGCAUAGAACAUUUCAAACACAUAGUUCCACAAAUAGCAAACACAUAGUUCCACGUAGUUUCACAAGCACUAGACAAGUUCAACCAAACGAAGUUCAACCAAACUAAAAGAGCCAAGUAUCGAAGAGCAUAAUCAGUUGCUCCUUCACCUCUUGGAGGUACGGUCCUCGUUACUCUUUGAACGAGUCUCUUCGGUCUUCUUCUUGGGCCGGCGAGGAACCGUUCUCUGGAAAGGGUCCGGACUCAGCAAAUCCUUCUUUUUCGAAUUCCUCUUCGGCAGCUGAGAUGCUUGAGAUGUUUGAGUUGAUGGAGGUCCAUAAUAUUCAUCGUACUCCUCCUCCCCGUUGCUCUCCUCCUCCUCCCCUUCUUCAUGUGUGGCCUCCUCCUCCUUCUCCCCUUCUUCAUGUGUGGCCUCCUCCUCCUCCUCCUCCCCAACCAACCUAGACGACGGGGGAGCAUGGCUCGAUGAGCCGAUGAGACCCUGUGUGGCUACAGGCUGAUAAGCUUCAACUGACCCAGCUCCAGCACACCCAAGCAGCCCUACCAGCUUGCAACAACGCUUCACGAACUUCUGCACUCACAAUGAAACAAGGGCAUAAUAAGUAUCAGAUCGACUGAUUGCAGGUGAACAAGAUGCAUCUGUUCCGACGAGGCUGGAAUUGUACCUUCAUCGUCCCCCUCACUUUGUUCUCAGAUUCUAUGCUCCCGGGGAGAUCACCUAGUGCAUCUGAGGCUUCAAAGAUGCAUCUGUUCAGCUCACCAGACUGCAACGACAUAAGUCAGUCACGAUGACGAAUAAACUAAUUUAAAUACAACCUCGGUUCAAACUUACCACUCUGUUGAUGAGGGGUGCAAACUCCCUAAAUCUACUGUGCAUGUCUCUGAUGCUGGUCUGGUAGGCCUCUUCCUCGGGGUCAUCCCUCUCCAGCUCCGCGAUGUCUUCCGCCGUCCACCGAGGCCUGAGACGAAGACGGUGCUUCUGGCCAUCAUCGUACCACUACAUGUGUCGGCUCAGGUAAGCAUCCCAGUCAGUAACUUUCCUCUCCACGUCUUUACAGAACCUCCGUCGGUUCCACUCCGUCGCAUGAGUUUUAUGCUUCUCUCCCCAGUCUGUGAUCGACCGAUUCUUCUGCCGGCUCAUCCUGCAAGGCAUAAGCAACAAGAAUCAUCAUAAGCACAAUGAGAUCAUCAUAAGCAACAAGAAACGUGAUAAGCGUAAUGAAAUCAUGGGCACGGAGAACAAAGCGCUCACAGGUGGAGCGCGUGGCCGCCGGUAUCGAUGGGCUGGCCUGGUGGGGUAUGCUGAUAAAUCCCAAAUUGUGUGGCCACGCGGUGUGGCAAGUGCCACUCGACGGCGUACACACAUAUCAUGGGCACGAUGCACCGCCAGAGACCACAGUCCGCAUCGCACAUCACGUUCAGAUCAAAGCCCCACUGUCAGUCAUGAUAUGGCCACCAGUUUACCUGUUACAUAUACAUUGGUAAGUUCCCACUCUCGAUCAAAAGUGGAAUCAAAGAGAAAGGUGUUGAGCGAGUUCAUAUACCUGCAUAUGCGUCAAAGCGUCCAACUCGUUGGUGUAGGUCUUGUACGAAGUCUUGUUUAGGCCCGUGUAGAGUUUGACAACGUCCCACUCGUAAGCUACGGUGGGGUGUCGAGUCUCGUCGCCGUCUUCGCUAUAGGCACCCCACGGGCGUCUUGGCAACUUCUUCGGACGCCCCACCGGCAGCCGCUCCUACAUCCAAAUGGAGAAGGCCCAGACAAAGCCACCCAUAUUGGACUUGUCUCCCGUCCUCUGCGUUGCGUCGUCAAGCUGCAAAACAUCAAAUGAGGAUCAAAUAUAAGAAAAUGUCAUGGACACACUUUCGUAGGUAGGUAGGCAAUUAGAUCCUCUCUUACCGAACGGUAUAGGUAGGCGAGAGAUGCGGUCCCCCAACUGUACCCUGCCUCCCAGUCCGCUAGGAAGAAGAGAUACGACCAGUUGGCAGAGUUCCCAGAGCUGUCUGGAAACACGACCUCCAUGAGAAGAUACCACAGGUAGGCCCUCGCAUACCACUCCAUGGUCGUCUCGUCGUCGCCUUUGGGGCAUUUCUGCCGGUGCUCCGAGAGCCAGGUCAGUGGCACACCGGAUGUACAGUUACCCUUGACAGCGGGGCAGUCGCCGAUGAGGUGGAACCGGUCUCACGUAAGCAUACGUGUAAGGUUGGUCCGGGCCGCUUCAUCCCACAAUACCGUCGAAUCAAGAUAAGACUAGUAACGGCAAGCAUAUUGAACAAAAUCAAAGCCCACAACUUCUUUGUGUUCUACUCGUGCAUAGUAACUACGCAUAGACCUAGCUCAUGAUGCCACUGUUGGGGAACGUAGCAUAAAUUCAAAAUUUUCCUACGUGUCACCAAGAUCUAUGUAUGGAGUCAUCUAGCAACGAGGAAGGAGUGGAUCUACAUACCCUUGUAGAUCGCGCGCGGAAGCGUUCAAGAGAACGGGGUUGAUGGAGUCGUACUCGUCGUGAUCCAAAUCACCGAUGAUCGUAGCGCCGAACGGACGGCACCUCCGCGUUCAACACACGUACGGAGCAGCGACGUCUCCUCCUUCUUGAUCCAGCAAGGGGGGAGGAGAUGUUGAUGGAGAUCCAGCAACACGGCGGCGUGGUGGAAGUAGCGGGAUUCCAACAGGGCUUCGCCAAGCGCUGCGGGAGGAGGGAGAUGUGUCAUGGGAGGGAGAGGGAGGCGCCAGGGCUUGGGUAUGGUUUCCCUCCCUUCCCCCCACUAUAUAUAGGGCCAAGGGAGAGGGGGAGGGCGCAGCCUUGCCCCUUCCUCCAAGGAAGGGUGCGGCCAAGGGGGGGAGGAGUCCAUCCUCCCCAAGGCACCUCGGAGGUGCCUUCCCCCUUUAGGACUCUCCCCUCCUCUUGUCCCUUUGGCGCAUGGGCCUCUUGGGGCUGGUGCCCUUGGCCCAUAUAGGCCAAGGCGCACCCCCUACAGCCCAUGUGGCCCCCCGGGGCAGGUGGCCCCACCCGGUGGACCCCCGGGACCCUUCCGGUGGUCCCGGUACAAUACCGAUGACCCCGAAACUUGUCCCGAUGACCGAAAUAGCACUUCCUAUAUAUAAUUCUUUACCUCUGAACCAUUCCGAAACUCCUCAUGACGUCCGGGAUCUCAUCCGGGACUCCGAACAACUUUCGGGUUACCGGAUACUAAUAUCUCUAUAACCCUAGCGUCACUGAACCUUAAGUGUGUAGAUCCUACGGGUUCGGGAACCAUGCAGACAUGACCGAGAUGACUCUCCGGUCAAUAACCAACAACGAGAUCUAGAUACCCAUGUUGGCUCCCACAUGUUCCACGAUGAUCUCAUCAUAUGAACCACGAUGUCAAGGACUUAAUCAAUCCCGCAUACAAUUCCCUUUGUCUAUCGGUAUGUUACUUCCCCGAGAUUCGAUCGUCGGUAUCCCGAUACCUUGUUCAAUCUCGUUACCGGCAAGUCUCUUUACUCGUUUCGUAACAUAUCAUCCCGUGAUCAACUCCUUGAUCACAUUGUGCACAUUAUGAUGAUGUCCUACCGAGUGGGCCCAGAGAUACCUCUCCGUUUACACGGAGUGAUAAAUCCCAGUCUCGAUUCGUGCCAACCCAACAGACACUUUCGGAGAUACCUGUAGUGUUCCUUUAUAGCCACCCAGUUACGUUGUGACGUUUGGCACACCCAAAGUAUUCCUACGGUAUCCGGGAAUUGCACAAUCUCAUGGUCUAAGGAAAUGAUACUUGACAUUAGAAAAGCUUUAGCGAACGAACUACACGAUCCUUGUGCUAGGCUUAGGAUUGGGUCUUGUCCAUCACAUCAUUCUCCUAAUGAUGUGAUCCCGUUAUCAACGACAUCCAAUGUCCAUGGUCAGGAAACCGUAACCAUCUAUUGAUUAACGAGCUAGUCAACUAGAGGCUUACUAGGGACAUGGUGUUGUCUAUGUAUCCACACAUGUAUCUGAGUUUCCUAUCAAUACAAUUCUAGCAUGGAUAAUAAACGAUUAUCAUGAACAAGGAAAUAUAAUAAUAACUAAUUUAUUAUUGCCUCUAGGGCAUAUUUUCAACACAUGCAUCAUAUCAAAAUAAAAUUUUAAGCAUAUUCCUCCAACAGCAACUACUACACAUGAUGGAUCAAAUCAUAUCAACAUGCAUCAUAUCAAAAAAUAUCCUCCAACAUACAUCAUAUCAUCAUAUUUUUAAAUAAAUUUUUCCAAACAACAUCUUCAUAUCAUCAUAUCAACAUGCAUCAUCAAACUAGGGGUCAUCUUCACACUAGAUCAUAUCAUCAUAUCAACAUGCAUCAUCAAACUAGGGUUCAUCCUCAUAUCAACAUUACAUCAUAAUUUUUUUAACAAAAGAAAAUUAUAAACUAGGGUUCAUCUUCACACUAACAUAUGAACUAUUGAUUAGAGUUCAUAUCCAAUACCACUAGUUACUGAAGAACUAAGAACUACAACUACAAUCAAUCUUAGGUGAAAAAAAAUCCAAUCUAAGUUAAAAAAUAUGAGGGAUUUCAAGCAAAUAAUGUGUCGAAUCGGAAGCAAAUUUGCAAAAACUAAUUGGAGGGAUUGGAGGAGCUUACGUUUCUCUCUUCGGGGCCAUCUCGAUCCGCAAAAACGAUCAACAAACGAUGAAGAUCCGAGAAAGGGAGUGGAGAAGAUGAGAGAGGAAGAGAGGGGCGACUUGGGGGAGAAAAAGAAGAAAUGCCGACGGGGGGAGGGGGAGGGGNNNNNNNNNNNNNNNNNNNNNNNNNNNNNNNNNNNNNNNNNNNNNNNNNNNNNNNNNNNNNNNNNNNNNNNNNNNNNNNNNNNNNNNNNNNNNNNNNNNNNNNNNNNNNNNNNNNNNNNNNNNNNNNNNNNNNNNNNNNNNNNNNNNNNNNNNNNNNNNNNNNNNNNNNNNNNNNNNNNNNNNNNNNNNNNNNNNNNNNNNNNNNNNNNNNNNNNNNNNNNNNNNNNNNNNNNNNNNNNNNNNNNNNNNNNNNNNNNNNNNNNNNNNNNNNNNNNNNNNNNNNNNNNNNNNNNNNNNNNNNNNNNNNNNNNNNNNNNNNNNNNNNNNNNNNNNNNNNNNNNNNNNNNNNNNNNNNNNNNNNNNNNNNNNNNNNNNNNNNNNNNNNNNNNNNNNNNNNNNNNNNNNNNNNNNNNNNNNNNNNNNNNNNNNNNNNNNNNNNNNNNNNNNNNNNNNNNNNNNNNNNNNNNNNNNNNNNNNNNNNNNNNNNNNNNNNNNNNNNNNNNNNNNNNNNNNNNNNNNNNNNNNNNNNNNNNNNNNNNNNNNNNNNNNNNNNNNNNNNNNNNNNNNNNNNNNNNNNNNNNNNNNNNNNNNNNNNNNNNNNNNNNNNNNNNNNNNNNNNNNNNNNNNNNNNNNNNNNNNNNNNNNNNNNNNNNNNNNNNNNNNNNNNNNNNNNNNNNNNNNNNNNNNNNNNNNNNNNNNNNNNNNNNNNNNNNNNNNNNNNNNNNNNNNNNNNNNNNNNNNNNNNNNNNNNNNNNNNNNNNNNNNNNNNNNNNNNNNNNNNNNNNNNNNNNNNNNNNNNNNNNNNNNNNNNNNNNNNNNNNNNNNNNNNNNNNNNNNNNNNNNNNNNNNNNNNNNNNNNNNNNNNNNNNNNNNNNNNNNNNNNNNNNNNNNNNNNNNNNNNNNNNNNNNNNNNNNNNNNNNNNNNNNNNNNNNNNNNNNNNNNNNNNNNNNNNNNNNNNNNNNNNNNNNNNNNNNNNNNNNNNNNNNNNNNNNNNNNNNNNNNNNNNNNNNNNNNNNNNNNNNNNNNNNNNNNNNNNNNNNNNNNNNNNNNNNNNNNNNNNNNNNNNNNNNNNNNNNNNNNNNNNNNNNNNNNNNNNNNNNNNNNNNNNNNNNNNNNNNNNNNNNNNNNNNNNNNNNNNNNNNNNNNNNNNNNNNNNNNNNNNNNNNNNNNNNNNNNNNNNNNNNNNNNNNNNNNNNNNNNNNNNNNNNNNNNNNNNNGAUGGGGCACAAGGGCGGGGAGACUCGCAAGGAGCAGCUCGGGGAGGAGGGGUACCGCGAGAUGGGGCGCAAGGGCGGGCUGAGCACCAUGGAGGAGUCUGGUGGCGAGCGCGCCGCCAGGGAGGGCAUCGAGAUCGAUGAGUCCAAGUUCAAGACCAAGUCCUAAGUAAUGUAGGUCAAGAUGUCCCAGUGUCUAGCUGAGUAGCUAGCUAGUAGUGAGCAAGCUGUCUGCUCAUGUUUGUAGUAAUGAAUAAUGUAGGUCAAGGUCAGGUCUUGGCAUGACGAGAGCACGCAUGUAGGCGAUCGCAUGUACUGUUAUCAUGUGUGCGUUAGGUGUCUUAGCUUGUAGUAGUGACCAUGUGUUCUUCAGGUGUCCUAGCUUGUAGUAGGUGUCGUUGUGGCCCGUGAGUCAGCUUGCUAAUGUAUGUGAGUCGUUGUUAAAUCAGGUCGAUGUUGAAUCAGAACGUGGGCUCUUAAAUUGUUUUCUUGAACUGGGUAGAGAGAAACAACUCCCGGCCGUACUGGUACAUGAACAAAUGGUUGCUGGUUGGCAUCAUCGAUGGCAAGGUAUUUCCGAGGAACGACAUGGGAGGAGGGAUGCACGGCCGAGGAUGAGGGCCUCGGGUGUGGGGAAGCAGAAAGAGCAUGUGCCACAUUGGUCGGUGCAUAGUCUAUGUUGGUGUGGGUUAGGUUUAGGGCCAUGAAUGACAUCUUGGCAAGCAGAAGAGCAUGUGCCACAUUGGUCGGUGCAUAGUCGAUGUUGUUGUGGAUUAGGGUUUAGGGCCAUGAAUGACAUCUGGGCAAGCAGAAGAGCAUGUGCCACAUUGGACGGUGCAUGACUAGUUGAUGUUGGUGUGGGUCAGGCCGUUAGGGUUUACGGCCAUGAAUGACAUCUAGUUAAGCAUUGCAAGAAAAUAUAGCACGGCCAAUGCCAUCUGCUUAAGCAUUGCAAGAAAAUAUAGCACGGCCAUGUGACUAUUUACAAAUUUUCUAAGUAUAAUGAUAUCCAUUAUCUCAGGAUUUUUUUCCCUUUUGUAAAUUUGCCAUGUGAUGACUGCAACAUUUUCAAAAUUUGCCAUGCUCUAGAGAAACAUUUCCCCCCUUAAUUUGCCAUGUGACUAUUAAAAAAACCUAAAUCGUUGCCAUGAUUUUAGGAAACACAAUUUGUGCCAUGUGAUCAGUAUAAACAUUUCAAACUUUACCAUGUUCUAGAGAACAAAUUUUCUUAAAUUUUGCCAUGUGAAUAUCUUACAUUUUUUCCUAAAUCUUGCUAUGAUUUAGGAAUUAAAAUUAUCUCAAUUUUUAAGCUAACACUGCAAACCUUUCCAAGUUUACCAUUUUUUAGAAAACAAAAUUUCUUAAAUUUCACGUCUGACUAAUCUUUUCAACAAAAUUUGUAAAUCUUACCAUGGUUUAGUAGUCGAAAAUAUCUCAAUUUCCAUGUGACCAUGGCAACUCAUUUGAUUGUUUCUAUUUUUUUUCCUAUUUAUUCCCCUACAUUGUGGGAACUUCCGAANNNNNNNNNNNNNNNNNNNNNNNNNNNNNNNNNNNNNNNNNNNNNNNNNNNNNNNNNNNNNNNNNNNNNNNNNNNNNNNNNNNNNNNNNNNNNNNNNNNNNNNNNNNNNNNNNNNNNNNNNNNNNNNNNNNNNNNNNNNNNNNNNNNNNNNNNNNNNNNNNNNNNNNNNNNNNNNNNNNNNNNNNNNNNNNNNNNNNNNNNNNNNNNNNNNNNNNNNNNNNNNNNNNNNNNNNNNNNNNNNNNNNNNNNNNNNNNNNNNNNNNNNNNNNNNNNNNNNNNNNNNNNNNNNNNNNNNNNNNNNNNNNNNNNNNNNNNNNNNNNNNNNNNNNNNNNNNNNNNNNNNNNNNNNNNNNNNNNNNNNNNNNNNNNNNNNNNNNNNNNNNNNNNNNNNNNNNNNNNNNNNNNNNNNNNNNNNNNNNNNNNNNNNNNNNNNNNNNNNNNNNNNNNNNNNNNNNNNNNNNNNNNNNNNNNNNNNNNNNNNNNNNNNNNNNNNNNNNNNNNNNNNNNNNNNNNNNNNNNNNNNNNNNNNNNNNNNNNNNNNNNNNNNNNNNNNNNNNNNNNNNNNNNNNNNNNNNNNNNNNNNNNNNNNNNNNNNNNNNNNNNNNNNNNNNNNNNNNNNNNNNNNNNNNNNNNNNNNNNNNNNNNNNNNNNNNNNNNNNNNNNNNNNNNNNNNNNNNNNNNNNNNNNNNNNNNNNNNNNNNNNNNNNNNNNNNNNNNNNNNNNNNNNNNNNNNNNNNNNNNNNNNNNNNNNNNNNNNNNNNNNNNNNNNNNNNNNNNNNNNNNNNNNNNNNNNNNNNNNNNNNNNNNNNNNNNNNNNNNNNNNNNNNNNNNNNNNNNNNNNNNNNNNNNNNNNNNNNNNNNNNNNNNNNNNNNNNNNNNNNNNNNNNNNNNNNNNNNNNNNNNNNNNNNNNNNNNNNNNNNNNNNNNNNNNNNNNNNNNNNNNNNNNNNNNNNNNNNNNNNNNNNNNNNNNNNNNNNNNNNNNNNNNNNNNNNNNNNNNNNNNNNNNNNNNNNNNNNNNNNNNNNNNNNNNNNNNNNNNNNNNNNNNNNNNNNNNNNNNNNNNNNNNNNNNNNNNNNNNNNNNNNNNNNNNNNNNNNNNNNNNNNNNNNNNNNNNNNNNNNNNNNNNNNNNNNNNNNNNNNNNNNNNNNNNNNNNNNNNNNNNNNNNNNNNNNNNNNNNNNNNNNNNNNNNNNNNNNNNNNNNNNNNNNNNNNNNNNNNNNNNNNNNNNNNNNNNNNNNNNNNNNNNNNNNNNNNNNNNNNNNNNNNNNNNNNNNNNNNNNNNNNNNNNNNNNNNNNNNNNNNNNNNNNNNNNAUAAAAGGGCCACGCCGGUGCCUCAUGCCCUCAUCCUUCAUCAGCAUCAGGCAAUCACCAACACCUUACAAGCAGUCACACAACGUUUCCCAGCUGAGGUUGUGGUAGCAAGGCAGAGAGAGCAAUGGCUUCCGGCCAGCAGGAGAGGUCGCAGCUGGACCGCAAGGCCCGCGAGGGCGAGACCGUCGUCCCCGGCGGCACCGGCGGGAAGUCCCUCGAGGCGCAGCAGAACCUCGCCGAAGGUACGUGCAUGCGUGAGAAAUGUCGUUGUACUAUACUCGAGCGAUCUGUGGCUUCCAAUACUGAUUGCUAGUAUUGCUGUAUUUGUGCAGGGCGCAGCCGUGGCGGGCAGACUCGCAGGGAGCAGAUGGGGGAGGAGGGGUACAGCGAGAUGGGUCGCAAGGGCGGGCUGAGCACCAACGACGAGUCCGGCGGCGAGCGCGCGGCCAGGGAGGGCAUCGACAUCGACGAGUCCAAGUUCAAGACCAAGUCCUAGAUGAUCCGUUAGCCUAGCAAGCAAGAUGACUCUGCUUAGGUCGGCUGUUGGUUUGCCCUAGCGUCCACGUACCGAAUAAUGUAGUUCAGGCGCACGUAGGCGAUCGUACGUAGUAUCAUCAUGUGUGCUUCGUAACCGGUAGUCCGUAGCUACUCUACGGUGAGUAGCGUCAGGUCAAGUCGGAAGCUGUGGCUUGGUCAGGUGGCUGGUCUGCCUCUGGGCCCAGGAGUGUCUACAGUGUCCACUGUAUCCUUGCUUCUUCAGUAAUGUAUGUCGUCUUGCUCAAAUAUGUCUUGUCUCGUCUGAUCUGUGUUGAUUCCUGGUGCUACUGGGUGUAGACCUUGUUGCUCGUAGAGCUAUCACCGGCUCAGAACACCAUG